GUUAGAAAUACAGGGGAAUGGUGGAACAGCAGAGAUGAGAGGCGGCACUUAAAGAUCAGGAUGGAGUAACGAGGAACGGCUAGAAAUCGCCAGAGAAAGAGUAGAGACUGAGGCGAGGGCGGCCACUGAUGCUGCGACGGAACAUCGACGAGGCAGACGAGGAGAAGGAUCGAGAGAANNNNNNNNNNNNNNNNNNNNNNNNNNNNNNNNNNNNNNNNNNNNNNNNNNNNNNNNNNNNNNNNNNNNNNNNNNNNNNNNNNNNNNNNNNNNNNNNNNNNAUCACCCAUUCUGUAUGCGGUAAUUCCGCUCGGGGUAUAACAUUCAACUGCAAUUUCAUAAAAGGUUCUGAAGGAUUAUUCUCUACACAUCAGAAAAGGUCACCAUCUUUCAUCUGGCAUUUCCUAAACAUUGUUCACACUGCGCUAGCUUUGAGGAAGAAAAAAAAAAUAGUAGCAACAACGUUUCACGUGCUAUGAUGCAUAACAAGUUGGUCUCCAAGACCAACCCAUCACAUCCGCUUUGAUGUAAGUUGUCUCUUCUCAUAUCUUAGGAACGAAAAUUGUCCCUUUCUAAGGUUGAUUCUAGAGAUUUGGCCCUCCACUUUCCUUUUUGAGUUCAUAUUUGAUCACAUCCUUUUAUUUGAUGAGCAAAACUAAAAUACGAAUCCUACACUUCGGUGACCGUUUGAAUUCUUGCCCAAGGCUUUCAUAUUACAAAAAAAAAUAAAAAAUCAAUGUAUUUAAAAAAUACUUCAGCUGUGCUUGCAAACAAGUGUAAGCUGAAGUAUUAAAGUGGUGGAAUGUCAUUGGAAGGUUAAACCAACGAACAGACCAUGGCUAGCAGAGUAUCCUUCCAAAUGUCACUUCUAGAAAUAUAGACAUAGCACAAUGUAGAGUUUUCUUCUUAAAAAAAUUUGGCUCGAAUCUCAUGAACUUAAAUAAUUCCCAAAGGGUCUUACAUCUCAACAAACAACAUGAUUGCAUUUACAUUGGACACAGCACAGUGCAAAGUUUCCGGCCGGCCACCCCGGAGGAGUUGCCCUCCUCCGGGACCUUUCAUUGGAGGUUUACCAACCUAGUAUGCUAGGAGAAGGCAGUGACCUCCCUCCAGGCGGGAUCCCAGCACUAGAAGUGCUAUGGCCGGAGAGCCCAAUGGGGACUCUAUCCUGUUUUCCUCCCCUCACUUCCCUGUAAAUGGGUUGUGGGAGGAAGCACCCUAGGAUGUCCUAUUAAGGGUGGAGCACUUUAAGGACCUGCUUAGGUCCUCACUUCUAGAAAUAUAGACAUAGCACAAUGCAUAGUUUUCUUGUAAAAAAAAUUUGGCUCGAAUCUCACGAACUUAAAUAAUUCCCAAAGGGUCUUACAUCUCAACAAACAACAUGAUUGCAUUUACAUUGGACACUGCACAGUGCAAAGUUUUUUUUUUUUUUUUGGUUAGUGCAAAGUUUUUAUUCCCCUUAAAAUAAAAUUAAGAAAAAAGACAAAAAGACAAAAGUUCGAAUCUUUUUGAAUCUCUAUAAUAUAAAUAAUUUCUUCCUAAUGUCACUUCCAGAAAUAUGGACAUCUAGUCUCUCUAGAUUAGAUCAAAACAUUAUCCAACGCAAUUCAUUUGAUGAAUGGUUGUAGUUUGAAAUCUUACAAAGUUCUAAAAUUCCGCUGGCCAAAAAGGAGUUUUGAUAUAUGCGUUGUAAGUUUGAAUAAUCAAAUAAUAAAUUUCAAAUAUAGCUGGUAAGUGAAAAUUACAUAUGACUUUAUAUAUAUAUAUAUAAUAGACCAAGUAACGAUUGCAGCCAUAAGGACGUACUUAAGCUGAACUUGCACCGAGAGCAACCAUGUCUACUGAAGAGAAAAUAGCCGACCCUGAGGCGGCGAAGCCGGCUGAAGCGCUGCCGCUGAAAGAGGAGGCCCUGCCUCCACCCACGAGGCCUCCCGACGAGGCGAGCUUGCUCACAGCGGACGUGGCUCUUCAAGGGUUGCUGUUUGCUUCGAUGCUAAUCGCGCUCUUGAGGACCAUUCUAAGUUUGGUUCUGGAGAUUUGGUCCUCUACUAUCCUUUUUGAGUUCAUAUUUAUAUUAUUGAUGCACACCAAUACACACGCUUUUACUUGAUGGGCAAAAUUUAAAAAAUCGAGCAAGUUAAUUGAGUCGAGCCCCGAUACCGCGGCCACAUGCAACCACGGCCGUGCGAGGCCAGCAACCUCCGUCUGUCGCGACUUCUAUUGGACAUAGGUUGUGAGUUCCGUGCGGAGAAAAAAAGAGACCAUAGGAUAGCAAACAAGUCAAAUCGGUGAGGAGUUAAUGUCGCCGGUGGAUUCACACAUGAAGGUGAGGGCUUGUGAUGGCAAUGGGUGGGCGACACGUAAAAAUCCUAAACUAUAUUAACUAUGACACUAAUUAUUCCAAAUUUUUUUUUUCAUCAUAAAAAAUCGAAACUCGUAUCAGAAAUCCAAAAGUACUCUCCAUCCAAGUUGGUCAUUAAAAAUUUAAUGUGCCUGUUUGCGUGGACAACAAUAGACAAAUGAAGCAGACAUGACUCGGGAGAAUUCCACCAAAAAGCCUAAACCUUGCCUGGUGUGACAACGAAACCCAAUUUUUUUACCUGUUACUAAUACUAUAUAUAAACUUGUACCAGUGACUUGCAAAUAUUAUGCAUCACAGUUCCAUUCAAGACGGCCGUUAAAAAUCCAAUGUGACCGCUUGCUUGGACAUCGAUAAGCAAAUGGAGCCAAUGUCGAUAUGAUGUGAUUUUAGUAUGGUCUAAAGUGACUUUAGACCACUUGCCAAAGUUAUAAGUUUUUAAAAAAUUAAAUCUCCGUGGUAACAAGUUGUCUCUCACAAUUUUUAGGGUCCAGGAAGUGGUAUAAUUUGGAGAUGCAGUUUUUUUUAAGGGCUAAUACCCUAAAAAACCCCAAACUGGUACACUCGUGAUAAAUUUACCCUAAACUAUUUUUUUGACCACAAAAAAUCCCAAAUUGGUAUUACUUUUGACAAAUUUACCCCAAACUGGUAUAAUUGUGAUAAAUUUACCCUCUGUUAGUUUUCGUUAAAUUUUAUUGUCAAAUUAUUAAGUUAAAUGACACGUGACAAUUAAUUAAUAUAUCAAUUUGAGAUUUUAUGAUCCAUUUGUCAUAGUUUACAAUUUUUGUGAUUUUUUUGUAGUAUUAAUCCAAUUUAGCGAAUAGUAUAUUUGUCACAAUUUAUCAGUUUGGGGCUUUUUGUGGUUGAAUAAAUUAGUUUGGGGUAAAUUUGUCAUAAAUGUACCACUUUAUGGUUUUUAAUGGUCAGUCGGGGUAAAUUUGUCACAAGUGUACCAAUUUUGGGUUUUUUAUGGUAAAAAAAAUAGUUUUGGGUAAAUUUGUCCUAGAUGUACCAGUUUGAGGUUUUUCAGGGUAUUAACCCUUUUUUUUUAAUAAUAAUUGGGACGAAUUCCUCUCUAUUUAACUUAAAGCGCUCCGAGCUUAAUUUGAAACUAAUAUGCAAAAUAAACGAGCUUCAACUUAUUCUCCAUUUAUUUCGUAAAAAAUGAAUGAUUUGGAAAACAUUUUAUAUCGUUCAUAAAAAUGAAUAAAUUAAAUAUAUUUUCAUUAUCUAUGAAAAUAUUUAGAUAUAAAUUAUUAUCGAUAGUAAAAAAAUUUCAUUAAUUAAUUAUUUCAAGAAAUAUAAACGAUGAUUAUCAUUCAUUUUUCACGAAAUAAACGGAGUGCUAACUUUAACAAAAGUGUAAUGAAAUAUAUUCUUGCUUUGCCUUUCUUUUCCUUUUUCUCUAUGCACUUGAGACCUUACAUUCGUCCACCUUCUUUUUAGCAUUUCACUUAUGUUCUUCUCCUUUUCGGGACAAGAAAGAAUAUGAAGGGAUAUGAUUGUUCACUUUGGAUCUCUUUAUUGGCAUCAAUUAUAUGGUCUAUCGUCAUACCAAUCUGAUAUCUAUCAACGUCUUUUUUUUGGAUAUGGAUUCAUCAACAAUGUUAGCGUGCAAACACUCAGUACAAUUUUGUGCCGAAGGGUAAUACUUUUCCCCAAAAAAAAAAAAAAAACUGGAAUCCCUCACGAUCUUCCUUCUUUGUUCGAUGAAAAAUCAUUUCUGGAAAAUUUCUUUCCUUACUUUCCAGUUUUUGAAUCACGUAAAGCUACUCGAUCCAUAAAAACGUUUACCAUGGGCUAAAAGUAAUAAAUAAGCUUAGAGAAAAAUGACUUGGCAAGAAGAAUUGUUUUCCCUGAUUUUUUUCCUAAUUUCUUUGUAAAUCGUUGUUAUUUUCAUGGAUUAUAGAAUAAACGGUGAUGAUAGUCAUCACAUGUUACUUUUAACUAUAUAAGCCACCCUUAAUGAAUUCACUUAUUACCAAUUAUGAUAAAAUCAAUUUCUUCAACUUGUUUUCAGCACGAUCAAAAUUUUGUGUUUACUUUUUCUGAGAUUGAAUUUCCUAAAACAUUUUCCCUCAAAAAAAAAAAUUCUUAGUGAGAUAAACACAACCUAAGAGUUUGUUUUCACAUGAUGUUAUUCGAUUGAAAGAAAUAGUAAGAUGGAAUUAUCAAUGGAUAUGAGAAUUGGACAUUGAUUUGUUGUCAUAUGAUUAUUGGGGGUUGAAUAAGAGAAUAAUGAAUCGGUGUAGCAUUUUAUAGAAUGAUCUUAGUGAAAUAAUUUUACGAUAAAAUCUCUACGUUUAUGGAAGUCUGAUUGGGAGGCACAGAGUGCCAAAUCAAUGGAUCAUUGAUGUGAUUCCUUCCUGAGCAAGCUGGUUCAUCAUGGACUCUUGGUAGUCAAAGUCUUCGUUGAUUUUGACUUUGCCAUUCUAAUCCUGUGACGUUUCCUUCUCGUUGCACCACUCCAUACGCUGUUCUAUCUUCUUUUUUUUCUCUCUUUCUGAGAGUGGUAGCUAAUGCGAUUUUAAAUCUAAUGAUAGUAUUUUGACGCAAGGCAAAAUUAUAUGUAUACUACAUUUUUAUUCUUUCCAUUCAAUUAAAUUAGAUUUUAUCAACUUUUCUAUUGAUUGAUGACACGAUUGGCUAGAUUAUUUAAAGAUAAAAUAUCUUCUGAACAUAUGGUAUUUGUUUUGCAAGUAUUUUUCAAAUUUCUAAAUCAAUUCCAUGGCUACUAAACAUUUUGUAUUUCACGAGAGAAAGUAGCCACUUCGCAACUAAAGUUUCAUGAUAUCGACUCGAUAGAAACCAAAAUAGCCAAAGUCAACUUCUUUCAACCAUUCUUUAGCCAACCAAAGUCACUCGUAAAGAGUUGGCCUUUAUAAUAUCAUAAGCUUUUCAAGAUCGGGAUAACGAUCAAUUCCAUGAUGAAUAAACAAAGCAUUACCUCCUCUUCAUUGAUCUCUCUUGAUCUUCUCUCCGAGAAAAAAAAGUCGAACUGUAUAACAGCAAAAUCAAUGCAGCACAUUGCGAAAUCUAAAUCACUUUUAGAAGCCAAAAUUACAAAUGGAGAUCUCCAUGGGUCAAUAAAAGUAGAACACAGGAUAUGUUGACUAAGCUAAGAGCCGGGGGCAGUUCGUAUUCUAAUGAUAUGUCUUUGUAGAGUUUGCUUUCACCCUGAAACAGAACCGCACGGUGUCCAAUGCGUCUUCCUUCUUCCAUUGAAUCAUAUCAUCCGAGAGCACCGUGUCGCCAUAAAUGCCCCCGCCCUUGCCCACAAAUUAACAAGAAUGACGGGGGCACGGGGACCCACUCGUGGCUUUGCUUGAACAUAAUUGUAGUGUCGCCUUCAGGACAGGGGUGUGUCCCAUUCGGGGAAAAAGUAUCAUGUCUAUUUUGAAGAAAACGCCCCGUCUGUUUUUCGUGCUCUCCAAACCUCAAAAAUACAAAGGAAGUUUGGGAAAAUAUGGCAAUUUCAAUGGGGACGCAUGGGCUAAAAAUCCAUGAUUUCGGGGUUGCCCUGCCAAAUGCGGCGUAUGGACUAGAUUACACCUCUCUUCACUUCCUCCCUAUUCUUCGAGCAGGUCUUGCCCGCUCGAGCCGCAGGGCAUGUGAACCUGACUCGUGCACAACUGGAUUAUGUGAAUUCUCUAUACGUUCCAUCUCAUCCAUUGGUACGCAUGACCCUAGAUUGAUUUAGCAUCUUCUUCCUAUUAAGUGGCUCCCGCUUCACCGCACCCGAUAUCAUCAAUCUCCUCAUGUGAGUCAUGUGACCACCGACAGUUGACAAGUUUAUGUUCCAUCCGCCAUGUGAGUUAUGUGAUCACCAACAGUUUAUAGGUCUAUGUUCCAUCCGCCAUAAUCAUGGCCCCUUGUCCUUUUCCCUCUGCUCCUCUCCUUUCUUCCCUAUCAAUUGUGUUUUGUCUUUUUUAUGCUGCCAAAAUACCCAAUGCCCUCUUGGCGAGGAAUUUAUUUAUCCUUUUCUUUAUGGUAUUGAUUUUAAUGAUAAACUGGGAUGAUGGCCUUUCUCUGUUCCUAAAAAAAUCUCUAGAUAUAAAUUUGGGAGUUUAAUAAAUAUACUUUAGGGGAUUCAAUGCUCUCAUGCUUUAUUCAUGUAUAGAUUCUCUGCCCCAGUCUUAAUGAUGAUCUUAGGAGUUUUAGCAUCUCGUUGAAUUACAAAGAUUUAUUCCUCCACACAUUAGAUCUGUGUUUAUCUAACAUAUUAUGGUUGUUUUCAUACAAUGAUGGUAUAGAGGAAGCUGAAUCUAGGCAUGCACCAUCAACUAACAACAUCAUAAUUAUUGAAGAAUGAAUUUUUUGGCGUGUACUCAUCACUGACAUAGACUCGAGAUAUGGUGAUUGGUUGCCACUUUUGUUUGACAUAUCUGUUCAUGUGGAACGAGUUUGUGUUUAACUUUGCAAUUGCUCCAUCAAUCCUCCUUAUGUUCUGGAUUUGGCUUUGUUUUUUAGUAUUCAUGCUCUGUUUUGAUUUGCUUUGUCAUGAAAAUUAUGUACUUCUGCAUCCUUUUGAGUAAUGAAUACAAUUUUCUUUCGAUCGAAAAAAAAAAAAAAACUAAGUCAAGCCCCGACACCACAGCCAUUCAACCAUAGAUUUGUGGCUCUGGCGACCUCUGCCAAUCGCGAGUUCCAUGUACAUAGGUUUAUGAGCUUUGUGCAAAAAGAAAAAUCCCAACGCUGAGUGCGCAAUUCCAUAAAAAACCUAACCUUUAUAUUUACCGUAAUACCAAUUAUCCAAGCUGUAUUUUUAUCAUCAAAAUCCCAAACUUAUAAGGUAACCAAAAAAUACGUUCCAUCAAAGUUUGGUCCAAGAUAAAUGUUGAAAAUCUAAUGUGGCGUCUUGGAUGGCGAUGAACUUAAAAAUCUGAAUAAAGCUUUUGAAAGAAAACUGGACUUAGCAACUUUUAGGGUCCAAGAAGGAAGAUAAUCCACUUGGCGGUCCUUUUUGUAAAAGAAAUGAGCUACAAUUUUAACUUCAAAGGAAAAGUGUGAUGGAAUACAAAUUCUUGCUUUGCUUUUACCCUUUUCCGCUAUGCGCUUGAGACUCACAUUCGUCCACCUUGAUUUUAGCAUUUCACUUUUGGUCUUACUCCUUCUCGGGAGAAGAAAGCAUAUGAUGGAUCUCUCUUUAUUUGGAUUUUUUUUUUACGACUCUCUUUAUUUGGAUGAAGAGACCAAAAUAUUCAACAUGCCCCGGUUUAGAAUUUUUUUAUCUUUCCUUUUAUUUAGUUUCUUUUCUAGGUGAACUUCGUUUAAACUCCACGACAACUCCUUCCACAUCAUUCCUUGACCUUUUCGCACGUUUCUUCCUUUGCUUCAAAUCCUUAAUCUUCCCCUCGUUGGCACUGCUCUCUGCUCACACGCCUCCAAAACCCUAACCCCAUGCCCAUGGCCAUGGUCAUUUCCGGUGAUUGACGAACUGACCUCCUCAAAGUUGCCGGGGAGUGCAUGAUCGAUGUGAACGCUCCAACACCAGCAAGACCUUCAGACUUCGAUGGGUACAGAUGUGGACUAAAUGAACCUAUUGGUAUUUGACAAGGAUGACAUGGAGGAAACACGAUGAGGCAGCCAAGGAGGAAAAAUAAAAUCCCGCAAGAUCCAAAGGUGUGAAACUGUUUGGUUCUAGAAUUCAUGGGCUCUUAAGAGUGCGUUUGGUAACGUUUCUGUUUAAAAAUUGUUUAUGGGAACAGAAAUUAAAAAAAAAAAGUGUUUAUGUUCCAGGGAACAAUUUUUGAACAAAAAAACGCGUUUGGUAAAUCUGUUCCAGAAAUACAAAAAUAAUAGAAACACGUUUGGUAAGUUUGUAUAAUUUUUUUAUUUCUUUUAAUUUUUUAAUAUUUUUAUUUUUAUUUUCUAUUUUCUUUCUUAUUUUUCUUAUUUAUUUUUCCUUUUUUCUUUUUUCUUUUUCCUUUUUCCUUUUUUCUUCUUUUGGCCGGCGGCCUCGCCUAGCCACAGCGAGGCUCGCUGGCCCCUGGCAAGGGGCGGCGUCGUUGGCCGCUGUGUGAGCUCGGCCUCGCCGGGUUUGGGCGAGAUCGAGCUCGCCCAGCCAAGCGUGAGGUCGGCCUCGCCGCGCCGGGCCGACGGUGACCCAGAGCCACACCGUCGUCUCCCUCCACCGCAUCGGCAACCGCGCUCGACGCCUCCUCACCGCCACCGCAUCGGCGACCACCCCUCCGCCUCACGCUCGAUCGACGCAUCUGCAGGUCUCGAGCCUCCGUUCGCCACCGCCGCAUUAGAUCUCACCGCGCCAUGACCCACGACUUUGAGAUCCGCUCGAUCGUCGACCCCGCGCCGGCCCACGACUCGACCGGCCGUCCUCGCCGCUCCGCUCCUAGACGUCCGCCGCUUGAGACCCCACAGCCGAGCCCCGCACCGCAGCCGCCGCCGCCGCCGCCUAGCGACCCGCGACCCAGCUCCGUCACCCGCUCGCAGGUGGAGACGCUUGCAGCGGCUGUCGGUGCCAGAGAGGACGACGGUGGAGAAGCCAGAUGGUCUCGAGACAGAGGCGGCUAUCGGCGCUGGAGAAGACGACGGUGGAGACGCUUGCAGGAGGAGAGGCUCGCAGGAGAACAUGAUUUUGUUUCUUUUUUGUUCUUCAAAUAUGUUUCAGAAAUAAGAAACAAGAAUUUCUCAUUUCUUAUUUCUGUUCCCUUUUUGUUUCUGGGAACAAAAAAACAAAAAAGGAACAGAAACGCACCAAAACGCGUUUCUGUUCCUUUUUUGUUUCCAGGAACAAAAAAACCAGAAAUUUUUGUUUCUGGGAACAGAAACACGGUGCAAACAAACGUGCCCUAAGUCUUUUCAUACGUACAUCCGAAUUUGACAAAAGCAAAAUUUAAAAUUGAAGCAAUUAAUCACGAUUGACUUGAUGAGUCAAAAAAGACUCUUGGGAAGUAUAAAAUUCAUCGAUUCGAGACCAACGGAAGAUCAAAUUUGUUUUCCGAUAGCUUUAGCUUUGAUUAAACUCCACUAAACUUUUGUUUUAGUAAAACAAAACUCCAAAGGUCUCAUUGCAAUUUUUUUUUUCAAAAUCGGACUCCUUCCAUUUAAAUUGAAAUUGAGUGUCCUCCAUUAUAGCUCAGAAGCUCCAGGAAGAAGAGAAAAUAGGUGGGAUCCCAUUGCCUUAACUCAUCUCUUUAUAAUAAAAAAAAGAGAGAGACUUUUCGUAUUAGAUGCAGGCCUUAACUAUCAAAGACCACUCCUUCACCAUAGAAAUAUCAAGGAAAUAAAAAGGAAAGAUCUUUUUCAAUGACUUUUGGGUAGGUCAUUGAACUUAGAAGCCAUAGGAUUGGCUGAACAUGCAGAGAGAGCCAGUUUGCUGCAAAAUUUGGUCAAUAACGAUGAUUCCUUGAAGCAUCGGUCAAGCUUGCCAAAGUUGACAAUUAUUUAUGUUUCUUAACACAAAAAAAAUCACUAGACCAUGUGAUGCAAAAAUUUUGGGAUUAGAAUCGACUUUUGCGCCCCCCCCCCCCCCCCCCCAAAUAAAUGGCAUAUUCAUUCAAAGUCAAGUCAACAAAAGCAUACACCAAAUUUUGGUAAUUGACGAGUGUAUUAAUUUGGAGUUUUAUCAUUUAUUUGUCACAUAUGAUUGGUUUGUGCUUUUUCCUAGUAUUAAUCCUAUUUAACGGAAACUAAUGGAGGGUAAAUUUGUUACAAUGUGCCGAUUUGAAGUUUUUGGUUAUCAAAAAAUUAAUUUGGGAUAAAUUUAUCACGGGUAUAUAAGUUUGGGAUUUUUCGUGGUAUUAACUCUAAAAACAAUAAGAUUUAGAGAAAAACAACUUGGCAAGAAGAAAUCAUUACCCUUAUUUUCUUGCUACGCUUUAAAGUGAGAAGAAUAUACUUUAUCAAUGCUCAAUUUUUCUACAUUCCCAAGCACGAUUAAUCUAAUAUUUUACAAAUAUGAUUUCAUAAUUUCUAUCUUGAUUUCUUUGUAAUCGUUUUAUUUCAAUGGAUUAUAGAAUUAAUGAAGAAGAUAUCAAUUCUAGUUUAUUAGUCAUUCCAUGUUACUUUUAACGAUACAAGCCACAUCUAGUGGAUUCACUUAUUACUAAUUACAAUAAAAUCAGUUUUUUUCAACUUGUUUUCACCAUAAUCAAAUUUUUCCGAUUCCCUUUCUCUGAAAUUGAAUUUCCUAAAAGCAUUUUCCCGCAGCAAAAAUUAGCGAGAUAAAGAAAUCUUCAGGGUUUUUAUUUUUAUUUUUAUUUGAUUUUCUAAUUUCAUAUGACAUUAUAUGAUGGGAGGGAAUUGUAUGAUGAAAUUAUCAACGAAUAUGAGAAUUGGAGAGCAAUUUGUUGCCAUGUAAAUUUUGUGGUUGAAUGGGAGAAAGAUCAGUAAGUGUUGGAUUUUACAGAGUGAUAUGGUGACCUUUUUUUUCUCUUCUUUUUGAUAAAAUCACUACAUUUAUGGAUGUCUGUCUGCAAGGGACAAAGUACCAAAUGAAUGAACCAUUGGUGUGAUUCCUUCUUGAGCAAAAGCUGGUUUAUCAUGGACUGUUGGUAGUCCAAGUCUUUGUGGACUUUGACUUUGCCCUUACUGGUAGACUAUUCUUUUAUUUAUCUAUUUUCUUUGGAGAGUGGUAGGUAAUGCAAUCUUUAAUUUAAUGAUUUUAUUUUGAUGCAAGAUAAAAUUGUAUAUAUACUGCACUUCACAUGAUAACUAAAAAUUCUAUGUUUCACGAUGGAAAAAUAGCCACUUCACAAUUGAAGUUUCACAAUGCUAACUCAACAAUAGCCAAGGUAAGUUGCAUAUACCAAAAUCAGCUUUUGUCGACCAUUUUUUAGUCAAUAAAAGUCACCCGUAAAGCGUUGAUAUGUACGAUAUCAUAAGCUUUUCACGGUCCAAAUUAUGAUCAAUCCAAUGAUGAAUAAACCAAGCAUUGCCUCAUUUCCGUUGAUCUCAUUUGAUGUUUUCUUUGAGAAAAGAUUCAGACAUGGAAAAAAGUUCAGGAGCCCUACUUAUCAAGUGCUGCUAGGCCGGAAAAAAUAAAAAUCCUUGAUCAAAUGGUGGCCGCCAAUCAAUCAACUAUCAAAGUAAUUAACUCAUUGGGGACCUCAACCAUCAUUCAUGGCGAAACUGGCCCGUGAGGAUCCAUGAAAAUCUUGUCAAAAAAGCAAAGUGAUAGUGAAAAGAAAUAAAGCAAUACGGAAAAGAAAAAAAAAUAUGGAUUCUAGUGUGGAAAAGAAGACCCGCCUUUGCUUUAGCAUGUGCAUUUGGUAGUCCAAGUCUUCGUAUGCUUGGGUCAAUCAUUGGUUUGAUUCCUUCUUGGAGUAAAGCUGGUUCAUCAUGGACUGUUGUUAGUCCAAGUCUUCGUAGACUGACUUUGCCCUUCUAAUGCUGUGAUGUUUCAAUCCAAUGAUGAAUAAACCAAGCAUUGCCUCCUCUCUGUUGAUCUCAUUUGAUCUUUCCUUCGAGAAAAGAUUCAGACAUGGAAAAAAGUUCAGGAGCUCUACUUAUCAAGUGCUGCUAGGCCCAAAAAAAUAAAAAUCCUUGAUCAAAUGGUGGCUGCCAAUCAAUCAACUAUCAAAGUAAUUAACUCAUUGGGGACCUCAACCGUCGUUCACGGCGAAACUGGCCCGUGAGGAUCCAUGAAAAUCUUGUCAAAAAAGCAAAGUGAUAGUGAAAAGAUAUAAAGCAAUACGGCAAAGAAAAAGAAUAUGGAUUCUAGUGUGGAAAAGAAGACCCACCAUUGCUUUAGCAUGUGCAUUUGGUAGUACAAGUCUUUGUAUGCUUGGGUCAAUCAUUGGUUUGAUUCCUUCUUGGAGCAAAGCUGGUUCAUCAUGGACUGUUGUUAGUCCAAGUCUUCGUAGAUUGACUUUGCCCUUCUAAUGCCGUGAUGUUUCAGUUCUCUCGCACCUCCCCUAUGCUGUUCCGCCUUAUUUUUUCUCUGUUUUAGAGUGGUAACUAAUGUUAAUGCCAUGGUAAAAUGAGGCACAGGGAGCUUAGAUUUUAGAUUGUUGGCAUCUAUAUCAAUAUCACAUCAAACAAUCUCAUGCAAUUCAUAAUCUAAUGAUUGUAUUUCAGUGCAACGCAAAAACCAAAUAUAUGCAGCACUUUCGUACUUUCCAUUAAGUUAAAUUAGAUGGUAUCAACUUUUUUUUAUCGAUUGAUGACAUAAUUGGCAAGACUAUUUAAAAAUCAAAGUAUUUCUAAAUAGAUAGUGUUUGUUUGCAAGUUUAUUUUAUUUUAUUUUAUUUUAUUUUUCUAAAUCAAUUUUGUGGUAAUUAACAUUCCAUGUUUCACAAUAGAAAACAAAAUCUCGCUAGAUCAGAGGUAUAAAGAUGUUCCAUUCUGAAAUUCAUAAGUUCUUAAAUCUUUUCAGGCAUAAAUCCAAGUGUGAAAAAAACCAACAUUUAAGAUUGAAGUUAUUAAUCGCGAUGACUUGAUGAGUCAAAAAACACUUUUGGAAAGUAUCGAAUUCCCAUUUGAGUAGCAUCUAUUUUCACAAAUCUAUUUAUUCACUUGCUAAAUAUUAAAUCAUGAUUUGAUCAUAUCACUUAAUGAAUCAAUUUUAGUAUACUUAUUUAAAUUACUUGUAAAUAACCUAGAUUUAUUUGUUAAACUUCAAAUGAUGAAGAGCUCAUGCUUAUUGAGCUUCCUCCUUUAGCUCAAAAGCUCAGGGAGAAGAGAAAAUAUGUGGGAUUCCAUUGCCUAAUUCUUACUCUUUUUAAAGGAAGAGAAAGACUUCUCAUACAAAUGUGGGCCAUAAUUAUUGAGACAUUUUUUCCUUUACCCUAGAAUACGUAGGGAGUCAUGGGCCAGUUUUGCUGCAAAAUUGGUUGGCAAGCAUGCUUCCUUGCAGCAUCAUUGCGGCCUGUCAACCGUGACAAAUAUUACGUUUCUGAACACGGAAAAUCACUCGACUAUGUGGUGCAGAAAUUUUGGGAUGAAAAUCUACUUUUGCCCCCAAAUAAUUCAUUCAAAGUCAAGUAAACAAAAGCAGACACGGAACUUCCAAAACAAGUUCGUUUCCCCCAUUCUAAUUAAGGUGAACUCCAGUCGGUCCAGUUUAAUGGGCUGAUCAGGCCCAGGCCCGGAAUAACUCUGAAGCAUAAAGCCUAGUGGAAUUAUCACGCUUGAUCUUCAUCAAAGCACUCCCUAGUGGUCAAUUGAAUUAAGAAAAUAUUACAUUUUAUUUCGGAGGUGAACCAUCCUUUGCAUUUAACCUGUCGUUAGUGUCAAAAAUUGCUUAUCACAAAACGUUUUAGUUGGACAUUAAAUCCAUGCAUUGUGCUGAUUAUUAUAUAAAACAUUACUAAAAUAGAGUACACAAAACCAAUGUGUAAGCACAGUCUUGUGGCGUAUUAAAACUUUGAGCCACCAACAAGCGUGGUAAAUAAGCUCAUGAACAUGAUGUGACCUAUUAGAUCUCAUUUGGAAUUUAACUCAAUUAGCAUUUCCACAUUCACAAUUGAACUCGAAAGCCUCUAUGAUGAUUGGGAAAAGUUUAGUGAAGCCUUUCUAAUGACUAUAAUGAUUAUAAAAAAAAAAAUAUUGACUCCCCCUGAAUUCAAGUAUGAAAGUUUUCUAUUUCAAAUAAUGUUUCGGAGGUGUGGCUCUUUGAUCUCUCAGUUAAUGCUUGUGGAUUAUCUAUUACAAAGGGGGAAAAAAGAGGCAAAAAUAAAAGAACUUAUGGACAACACGAGACUAUUCCAUGUUAAAAUUUGAGAAUUGGAAAAAAUUUGCCACGCUUCUAUUAAUUUGAAAUUAAAUGAUUUGGGUUGCUAUUUCAGAUUUACCUUGACAUUAGAUGAUGUCAAACCAAGUCCAUUUGCAGCUAGAAACAUUUUUUUAGUAUAAUUAAGAAUUGAAAUGGCUCCUCUUCAACUUCUGUGAAUCCAACUUAAGAGCCAUGCUUUACUGGAAAAACAAAUUGGACAUGCAUUUACCGAUGUAGAGUAUUAAUUUUCUUCACGCCACAAUUUUGUGUUGGUUAUUGUCAUAGAGGUGAUGCCAUAAGUGCUAAGAUACUUUCACACACAUUGUAACAGCUACUUUGAUGUAUAUAGUAUUAUGAAGUUAUCGUUCUCUUGCGUGAAGAAAGGAAAAAUGAUGCUUAGCUCUUUGUUGGUUGAUCUCCAACUUGAAAAGUUUGCUUUUUACAUGGAAAUGAACAAAUAUUGGACAGGGAAGAAAAAAGGGGAAAAACUCAAGUCUAAGUGCAUAUGGCACCAAAAGGAAAUCUGAUUUUGAUAAGACUAGAUAUGAAUCGUAGUUCAGAUUCAAGUUGAUUCAGUGAGGGCGACUGCAAAAGUCACCGAAUGGAUCAGUCUUUUCCUUUAGUUUUUGUCCUAUUUAAUAAAAUAAAAAAGUGUGGGAGGAUGUUGCAGAUGUCCAUGAUGGACACGACUUCUUGUAACACUAGAAAACCACUAGAAGACACUCAGGACCAAAGCAUGUUGUGAAAGAAGCACAUUGGGGCAUUGACCAAUUUCAAAUAUAGUAAGACAAAGCAAUAAAUUAUAAGAUAUCUAAAAAUCACCACAUAAUAUAUUGACAAAAUAAGGCACUUGGAAUUUAUAUAAUUUGACCCAACCUCACUAGGUAAGUUAAUUAGCAAAUCAAGCCAUUGAAACAUAUAAACCAAACCAAACCAAAACAAAGAAGAUCUGAACAAGGUUAUUUGCAGAAAUAUAUCACUAGUCAACAUGCAAAGUGCACAAAAAAGGAAGAUUUACAUAAACCUCUUUGUAAGUCAUAUGUUUAACAGGAUAAGAAGCACUUCUUAUCAGACAAAAAAAGUACUCAACAGGGCAGAUGUCCAUUUUUUUUUUCUUCCGCAGAAAUUUGCCAAGUUUGAUCAAGCAACUCCUUAAUGUGCUGAGUUUCCAAAUCUCCCGUGGUGAAGAAUGCCUAUUUGUUUCAAUUUCCUCCACAUUGAUACAUCAGAAACAUCAGGAUAGAGUUGCCAGAGAAGAUACGCAAAUUGUCUAGUGAUUCUGGUCAACCAGAUUACCACAAUGAUCUAAAUGAAAAUCCAUUAGUUUCUUCAAGCCACUCAGUCGGCCAAUCUGUCCAGUCGGUUGAGUUCGUUCAGCUCCAAAUUCCAGAUUUAGUCUGGUGGCAUCUUUAUCCACUUGUAGUUUCUCAAAGACUAGCGUUCAAGGCUUAUGAUGGUAACCAAUCGAGUGAGGAAGCUCCAAGAUCCCAGUUCCUUACAGAGAAAGCCUCAACAGGGAAGUCGGGUAACUGAUUGAAGGUUUUGUAGUCAGUGAGGAACGAUGGCAAGCACAGAGAAUUUCUAGACUCUUCAAUCCUUGACAUUCAAGCAUAUGAUUCAUUGAUGUCCCAUCAAUCAAGGGUUCUCUCAAACAUUCCAUUUUACUAGGCUCCUAGGGAGAUGGUGGAGAUCAAUCUUUCUAAAUUCACAUGUAUCUGAAAUCUAGCAUCUAACAUAACCAUUUUGACAUCGAAAGGUCCACCUGAUCUGACUGAAUUGAGGUCAUAUAGCAAUCUCUUCCAAGGCAGUAAGCCCAUGUCAGACUUUCCCCUUCCAUCUUGGUAGUUUGUAGAUGUACGUUCCCGAUAAGUUAGAGACUGUUGAUGUCUGUCCAUCUUGGUAGUUCUUACAAUAUUUUCUGUUCGUGUGAAGUCCUCCGAGAUGCACUAACCGAGACAUACUCCUUUGAUCAUUUUAUUCAAAUCAAUUCACUGUUCCCGCUGCUCCAUGGUUUAUAGCAGCAUCGUCAUAUGGACCACCCAUCUCCAGUGAUCUUACUUGUGCUUAGACUCCUCUGGAAGAAAUAUUUGAACAGAACAGCAGAAGCAACGAUGGUAGCAACUGUCACCACACACAGGACAACCUCAAGUGCAUCAAUCGUUUCACGCCAGCACAAGUGGUCCACCUUGGCAGAAACAACAAUUGUUGAGCUGCUGCCCCACGUGUCGGAUUCUGAAUGGUCUUUACCCUAAGCCUACGUGGAGGGUAAGACUCACCCAAUAUUUCCUCUGGAUCGGAAUCCGAAGUGACGAUCUGGAAUUAAAAUGGGAGGAGGAGAGUCGGAGAGGGAUGGUGGGAUAUUCGAAGUCGUAUCGGAGUCAGUGUCGGAAACUGGAGGAAGCAGAGGAGGGUUCUUUACGUCUUUUCGUAUUUUUGUUUUAAUUUCUUUUCACGCUUUUUCCUUUUUAUCUUUCGGAAUUUGGUUUUUUCCUUUCGGUUGCUCUUUUCCUUUUUCGCUACAUGCGAGUGGCCCGAACAUUUUCCGCCAGUAAGAGGGGAAAGGGGGAGGGGUCAAAAUUGUAUUUUCGUUUCCCCUGCUGCAGAGUUGAAGGCAACAGCGUCAGUUCCCGCGCGAGAUGGGACUUGCGGCUCGAGGAUUAGAGGCGGUCCGACCUGCCCUUGCUGCCUGACGCAACCAAUUCUUAACGUUGCAGUCUCAUGUACACUGUGGAAGAUUAAGUUCGAACCAAAACUAAGUUUACGUACGUAUACAGGCCUAUUAUUGCUGUCUUGCCAGCGUGCUAGAAGCCAGGAAAUAUCUCCAUAUGAGGUAGCGAUAUAUACAACCUCGGCCAGGAUUCGCUCACAAUGUGAUUCAAAUUAUUCAAUUCAUGGAAAAUAGUGUGACCUACCUAAUGUUAACGGUGCCAUGACAACAUUUAUGUUUCUUUAUUUCUUUUUUUUUGUUCCCCGGAACAUGUUUAGAACAGAAAUCUAUUUGGUAACGCAAUUUCAUUUUUCUAUUUCUAGAAUAUAUUUAUAUUUCAGAAAUAAAUUUGGAGCGGAAAUCAGAAGUUAAAAUUUUUAGCUUUUCUAUUUCUGAAACAUAAAUGAGAAAUCAAAAUUUUUCGGGAGAAUUACCAAAAAAGUCCUAAACCUAUUGCAAUUGUGUCAAUUCAGUCCUAAACCUUUUACUUUUGUUCCAGUUCAGUCCUUCCGGCCAAAAUUAGCCGGCCGGCGCUGACGUGGCAGCCGGCCGGUGCCGGCGAGCUUUUUUUAAUAAUUUUUUAUUUUGCAAAAACAAUAUUAAUUUUUUUCUUUUUUUCCCUUUUUUUUCCUCCUCCCGCCGGAUCGCCUCAGUCCGGCGACCGGCCAGGCUGGCCGGUCGUCGGAGCCCAAGGAAGGAGGAGGGAGGAGGAAAAAAAAAGGAAAAAAAGAAAAAAAUUAAUAAAAAAUUUUAAAAAAUCAAAUAUUAUUAAAAAAAACUCGCCGGCACCGGCCGGCUGCCACGUCAGCGCCGGCCAACUAAUUUUGGCCGGAAUGACUGAACUGGAACAAAAGUAAAAAGUUUAGAACUGAAUUGGCCAAAAAAAAAAGUUUAGGACUGAAUUGGCACAAUUGCAAUAGGUUUAGGACUUUUUUGGUAAUUCUCCCAAAUUUUUCUCAUCAUUCACUCUCAUCACCACCUGUCGCCCACUUGCCGCUCGUGGGAUGCUAGACGCCCACCGCCGGUUGCCGACCGCCCGCCAUCAGCCCUGACCACUAGCCACCGACCGCCAGCCACCAAACUCUAGCCACCUGUCGCCAACUGCCGGUCGCUGGAUGCCGAACGUCCACCGGUUGUUGGCUGCUCAUUGCCAAUCAUUGGAUGUUGGAGGCUCACCACCAACCACCGGAUGUCCGCUACCAACUGUCUGCCGCUCGACACCGGCCGUUGAAUGUUGGCCGCUUGCCACCCAUCGCCGACCUCUUGUCGUCGGACUCCGGACAUCGGACAUUGGAUGUCGAACUUUGGACGUUGGACGCUAGUUGCUGGUCGUCGGACUCUAGACUUCAGCCACUCGCCACCGAUCGUCGAACUCUAGCGCUGGACGCCGGACUCCAGACUCCGACUACCCACCGUCAGUCACCGGACGCCAAAUGCCGAUCGUUGGACGUCAGACUCCGACCACUGGAUGCCGAUCGUUAUUGCUUUGAGAAAUAAAAAUUUUAUUCUAUUAUCAAACGAAUUUUUAUUUCAGAAAUAGAAAUUUUAAAUUGUUAUCAGACGCGUUUUUUUGCUCAAAAACCCGUCCAUAGAAUAAAAAUUGAGAAAUCAAUUUAUGGCCAUAAAUUGAUUUCUAUUCCAGAAAUUUUGUUAUACGCACCCUAAGUCACCGCAUUUGGGGGUGGGCUACAAUUUUUUCACUUUCAUUGUUCUUUCUUUUUCAAAUUGUUUCACGUGAAUGAGUCGUGUAUGAAUUUGAUAAAAGCGCGAGAGGUGUAUAAAUUUAUUUCGUGCUUAUUAACACCUAAGUUUGACGAGUGACCGAUCUAUCAACACUGGCCAUAAAUGAAGAGAUUAGGGGAUUGUUCUCUGCAAAAAGUUAUUGUCACACCCUUCACGCUCUUGAAUCGCACCUUGUUCUUCACUUCCGUUGUUGUUUUGUGUACUAACUUCUCUGUAUUUUGGAAUAAGACGAAUUUUUAGAUUAAGCUUGAAUCUGAAAAUAUUUGACUAGAGAAGUUUGCCAUCAUAAUGAAGUAUUUGCAAUUUCAUAUACCUCCACUAAUAUAAAUAGACAAAUGAAUUAUAUCAAUUUUAAUUUGAGCGUAUAGUAACCAACUAAUUGAACUGUAGAGCACCCAUUUGCCCAACAGAAUGUCUCCUUCUCUUUGGCUAAAAUACAACAUAAGGCAUCCCCACGCAAUCUUUCUAAAUGUUCCGAUUUUAGCAAAACUUACUUCAGUGCUCUGAUGCACACGACGUAAAUCACCAAAUGUGACAUUGAAAAAGCCUGCCAACAAAAUAAGAUCUGAAGGGCAAAUCAGGAAAGAUCGUAAAGAAUCUAGAAUGGAACAUAUCGCAUUUGAGGGUGAUGGUUGUUCUGACAUGCUUGAUUGCUGUUUUGACAUGCUUCAUUGCUGCAAAGUGAGGCGAUACUCAAGCUUUUCAAGUUCAAGAGAUUGGAAAUGCUAUCAUCAGCUCGUCGCUCGGUAUGAAUAUGUAGACAGAGAAGAAUUUCUAGGAGUCUCGGCACUUGGUGUAUCUCAACACAUGUCGGUUUCAAAAUCUUCCAAGAUGAACAUCUCCAGAUAUCAUAGGAAUUUCUGAUUAGAAAAUUUUCACUAAGCUCUGCAUCUAUUCUUCUAGCUAUUCCUGCUUCCAUACUGCACUAGUUAUUGUUCUCAUGAUAGAGAACCUCAUCUUCAAUACUUUCAAAUACUUCAUGUUCCCGACCAACCAGGCAGCUUCUCUAUGUCCAUGUUCAAUUUAUCGAACUUAGCAAGUGAUUCCAAAUUCCAGAUUGAGUCUAGUAGUGUCUUUAUUGACUUGCAAUUCCUGGAAGACUAGUGUUCAAGGCUUACAAGGGAUCCACUUGAGUUGGGAAGCUCCACGAUCCCAGCUCCUCACAGAGAAAGCCUCGAUAGGGAAGUUAGGUGACAGAUUGAAAGUUUUAUAGUCAAUGAGGAACAAUGGGAAGCACAGAGGACCUGCAAGCUCUUCAAUUCUUGACAUUCAGGCAUAUGCUUUAUUGAUGUUAUACAGCAAUCCCUUUUUAAGGGAGUUAAUUCCAUGUCAGACUUUCCCCUUCCAUCUUGGUAAUUCGUAGAUGUAUAUUCCCUUUUAAGAUAGAGAUUAUCGAUGUUUGUCCAUUAAAACCAACAUGUGAAAUUGCGAAUCGAACAAAGUCAACGUCUAGCAAGCUAGUCGCAUAUCUUUCUCCCAAAUAUCAUGUACUUUUAUUCAUGUGAAGUCCACCAUCAGGUACUAACUGAGUUAUCCAAAGUUAGAUUCAUCUACUAGUAAGAAUACUUUGAGGGACCUUGUUUAGCUUUAUUAUACUUGUUUCAUCGUUUGAUUCCGUCAUUUCUCGGUUCACGCUGUUCCAUGGUUUAUAGCAGCAUCGUUAUUUGGUUUGCCCUCUCUAGUGAUCUUGCUGCUCUUAAUCUUCCCUGCUCCAUGGUCUAUAGUAGCAACUGUCGCCACACACAAUGCAACCACAAGUGGUGAAUCGUUUUGCACCAGUACAAGCGGUCCACCUCAGCAGAAACAACAAUUGUUGAGCUGCACGAGGAUUGGGGGUCGUCUGACUUGGCCUCCCCGCCCGAGUCGCAAUGGGUCAGGAUUUUUUCUUUUUUUUCCUUUGAUAAAUUAUAAAGUGUGGGAAGAGAGGACCAAUACAGUUAUCCAUUCUUGUUGUUACAUAAAGCGUUAUGUACAUUACAAAAUAUCUCCAUUAAGCCAUAACCACUCGAUUCAUCGACAAGUGUGCGAAUCUAUCACCAUAACUAAUAUGCCAAAAGCCUAAAAAUCUUUCUACAUAAUGUUGUGAAUAUCUAAAAUAUUGAGUGGUGAAAAGUCCACUCAUAACAUGAUUCGAACUCAUGAAUUAAUAGAAGAUGGCGUGAUCCCUUCAUCAUUGGGCUACUUUUUUUUUUUUCACUUUCAAAGUGAGCCUGAUCCAAAAAUGAGUGAUCUAUAAAUCUAUUUUGUGCUUAUAAAAUUUGAUUUAAGUCGAAUGAGGUGUUGAUGUGUUAAGGUUACCAAUAAAAGAAGAGGUUUGAUGACUGGUUUCUAUAAAAUUGAUUGAUUUAAUCUUCAUAGUUUUAUUGAGUUUCACUUAUUAUUUAGGGUUAAUACCUUGAAAAACCCCAAACUGGUACACUUGUGACAAAUUUAUCCCAAACUAUUUUUUUGACCGCAAAAAACUUCAAACUGGUAUAUCUUUGACAAAUUUACCCAAACUGGUACACUUGUGACAAAUUUACUCUCUGUUAGUUUUUGUUAAAUUUUAUUUUCAAAUUAUUAAGUUAAAUGAUACGUGACAAUUGACCGGUAUACUAAUUUAGGAUUUUACGCUCCGUUUGUUACCGUUUACAAUUUCUGUGAUUUUUUUUGUAGUAUUUAUCCAAUUUAGCAUAGGGUAUAUUUGUCACAAAUUUACCAUUUUGGGGGUUUUUUGCAGUCGAAUAAAUUAGUUUUGGGUAAAUUUAUCAUAAAUGUACCAGUUUAGGGUUUUUUAUAGUCAGUCGGGGUAAAUUUGUCACAAGUAUACUAGUUUGGGGUUUUUCAUGGUCAAAAAAAUAGUUUUGGGUAAAUUUGUUACAAGUGUAUCAGUUUGGGGUUUUUUAGGGUAUUAACCUUAUUAUUUAACUUCCAUCAUUUUGUUUUGUGCACUAACUUUUCUGUGCUUUUUAUAAACAUUUGACUGUGAAUAUAAAUCCGUGAGAGCCACCAAACAUCACGCAUGCCAUGCAUCAGGGUUCUUAUAUUAUUUUGUUUGCGUGAGCUAAUUGCGAUUUAAGGGGAAAAAAAAAUGUUCCACGCUCUUUGAUAAUUUGAAAAUGACAUUUUGUGACUUUUGUUGUAUAAGGUUAUAGACUAUUUUUACUUCGAACACAGGUGAUGAAAAAGUCCAAUGACUUUUGUUCUCAAAGAUUAUGGACCUUUUUACUUGUUUAAAUCUUUUACAUGUAAAGUAUCAACUCAUACAUCCAAUAAGCAAUUAUGAAAUGACGAUGGCAUCAUUCUAUAAGAUAGUGAUCAGUCUGAUCAUAUUCACACUAAAUAUUUUGUAAAUUCUAAAUAAAACAUAUACGUUCAUCUACAAAUAAAAACUAUCAAAUCCACUUCCAUAUAAAUUUUAAAGAAUAGAAUCGAUCUGUCAUGAUAAGUCACGUUCUGGAAUUCUCUCUCAACCCGAGAAAUAUGGGCUCCACAAAUAAGCAUAAUUCACUUGUCUCGCAUGUUGAAUAAUAUUCUUUUCAAGUUUGAAUAUUAUUGGCAAAGAAAAAGUUUGAAUAAUUCGAGUUAUUGGAUUGAUUCGAGCUUGGAAUCGGAAAAAUUUUACUCAAGCAGCUUGUGAUCAAAGGAAGCGCCAAAAGAGGAAGAGACAGAGAACGGAAAUUUGUCCAGGAGCACGCCUUAUUUUAGCCAAACUUCCUUCAUUGCCCUCACGGAAACGACGAAAUCACCGGACGUGACACCGAAAAUGCCCACCGACAGAGCAAGAGCCCGAGGUCGAAUCAGGAAAAUUCGCAAAUCCGUCGUCCUCUCCUUCCUUUCCCCCCCACCCAAAAACAAAAGCUCGCCGUAGCUUUCGAUCGCCAUCCGCCGCGAACAUCGGUACGGAGUCCACGAACGCUGCGACGACCAGGAUUCGAGGUUUGAAUUCGAGCAAUGCGCACGAAGAACGCAAUCGAUCUCUCCACCUCGCCGGGCGAUCGCGCCAUUUUGAUUGCCUGAGAUUGGAAUGAUGUUGUUGCGCGGAAGAAUGUGGAGUUGAGGGUGAUGGUUGUUCUGAAGUGCUUCAUUGCCGCGAGUGAAGGCGAGAGGUAAUUGCAAUUCGUGUUCAUGUAAUCAGUUACGGCUCUGAUCCUCCCACUUGAUUGGGAUUGGGAGUCUAGUAUCGAGCAUGUCGGUUUUGAGGUUGGACAGUGAGGUUUGUAGUGUGAAUUUGGCGGAUUAGGCACUUCAGGGUUGGGGGGGAUCGUCGACCGUGUUGUGGAGCUGUAGUGCCUGAUUUAAUGGGGCAUACUAUUACUGAAUUAUUUGGUUGGAUUAGCUAAGCUCUUGGAUUGCCGAGUUUGGAUCAAUACUACAACUGGAAUAUGGUCUGAUUGAAUUUCCAUAUAUUUGUUCGAUUCAAAUAUUUCAUCCCGCUGUUUCUACUUUGGGGAUAAAAUUUGUUGAGUGUCUCACAGUAGUGAUUGACUAUGGCUAUUCGGCCUUUCUCCAGUCGAGUAAUGGACUGUAGCUUGUAGGUUUUAGCAACUAGCUUUAUGGGAAAGAGGAGCCUUAUGCUUUUCACUUAUUCGCCUUUCGUUGCAUUUGAACAUAUAGUUCUUUAAGUUCACGAACAAGGAUGGCAGAAAUAUACUGAAAUAUUAUUUUGAGUUGAUGUUUCCUUGUGAAGUGUUCCUCUUACUUGAUUGUCGAAAUAGCUUGCUAGAGACAUAAGAAACUUGCUCCUUUGCUUGUCAUUAAAUGAGUUUUUGACCACAUUUUCAAUGUGAAAUUUUCUCAACUGGUAAAUGCAGAACUCAGAGUGAGGUCCAAGGCUUGUAAAGCUGUUUACAAUCGCACUCUUGCCAUGAUAUCGGCGGAGUAUGCAUCUGCUGUAAGUGUUCUUUAUAAGGAUUUUUACAUUUACCUAGAGCUUGUUGUUGUUAUUACUCUUCAGGUUUCACCAUUUAAAUACAAUAAUAUUGUAACUAGAUGCACAGCUUUUUAUUUUGCAUGUUUAAUGUCAGAUUUGACAGAACUUAGUAGUCGGACUUGUCCUAGAUGUGAUGGAAAGACCAAGGUAAUUUAAGAUGGUUUAAUAUGACAUUGUUGCUAAGAUUGCCUGAACAAUGGAUCCUCAGUACAGUAUUAAAUAGUCAAUUUUGUGGGCAUAUGCCGCCUCCUCUUAUUAGCUUCUAAACUGGUAGUUAAUGCCUUUUGAUAUGAAAGCUGGGGUUCAAAUUCAUUGGAUAUGAUAGUGGGCAUUCAGCACUGCUUACACGCAAAUCAUUUGGUUGCAGUGGCUUAAAAAUCUGCAAUGCUUGCGAUGCCUAUAUGUUUAAAUUGCAUCUAAUUGUUUAUAUCUAUUUCUAAACAUACAUAUAUGUUACCUGUAGGCAUACGUUGGGGUGGCCAAGGAUCUUAAUGCUGUGAUUAUAGCUUUUAGAGGUGCACAAGAACAUAGGUAUGCAUGUUAACUUUAGCAACUCUUCCCCUUACAAAUGACUUGCAAAGGUUUUGAUGAAAAUUUAGGCUAAGAAGAGCAGCCUCCUGUGAGUGCGUACACAAGACCCAUGGGUCGACUGUCCAUAAGAAGGGAAAAGGGUGAAUCAUUUCCACCAAGAUGCAAAAGUUACCUUCUUGUAAUUUUAGAUUGGUUCAUGAGAAGAUCACAUACUUCACUAAUUUUGUUCUGUGAAAAAUUCUAUCACCUUUCUUUGUCAUUUGAGCUUUUCAGGUAGUGAUUACUUCUAUUUAUGUCUACAGCAUACAGAAUUGGGUUGAAGAUCUCUACUGGAUAGUGGAAACAGCUUGACGUACUACCCUGGCAUGCAUGGUGCCCUGGAUAGCUCUAAAGAUGAUUAUGCCUCUUGCAAGCUGUGGAUUCUUCUCAUUUGGAUUGAGUUACAGUCUUACUCUAUUGAUUUCUGCUUGGGUUAAUCAUGGAUUUUACUAUUCUUAUCUUGAUAUGACAAUUCAACCUGGUAUUUUGGAUGCUGUUAUAAGAACCAAGGAUUUAUAAGAGGACAUCAAUGUCACGGUGACAGAGCAUUUUAUGGGAGGGGCUAUGGCAUCUUUUUGCGGAAUUGAUCUUGUGGUAAGAUAGUUAAAAACUGCUAUGGUCUGGAAUUGUGAAUUUUAUCGUUUUUUUCCUAUUGCGUUCUUCCAAUAUUCAGAUGAUAAUCUGUUAAGAGUCAUCUAGAAUUCUCUGUCAAAUCUGUGUUGAAGAGUCUAGACUCUUUAUGUGGAUCUUGAACUUUCUAUUGCUCUCAUAUUUAUAUUCACAAUUCAUCAUAGACAGCAUCUUGUUUUCUUUCAGUUUUGGUAAGUCAAACCAUAGACAAAACACAAGCAGAAUGGGGUGCAAAUAGCCAUUUACGCUAACCACCAAUUGUUUAAGUAUCUAGCAAUGUAAAUUAAGUCUUACCCAUAAAGCUAUGGAGCUUCAAGUUGGUUGAAUACCUAAAUAUAGUGGAUAAGGUUACUUCCAACUAAUCAUUACAAGGUUUACUUGCUGGAAAAUUUAUGGAGUUGUCGAUAUGUUUAUGGUCUGGACAUAUAACUUUUUAAAGCACUUGAAGCUCAAGUUUUAUGUCAUGUAAUCUUGAAGUGCUAAUGCAUUUUAAGAUAGAUUAUAUAUCAAUCCUAAAUGUGUGUUUGGUGUACUGUUUCUAUCUAAGUCUCUCUCUAAUCAAAAGAAGCAGCUCCUCUUUAGUAGGACUACAAGGCCAGAUAUGUUGUAGGCUGGAGCCAAUGUUAAGAUGUCUAAAUUAUGCCUUUUCCCUCAGCUUUAUUGGACGGAGUGUUCCAGGGUACAUUUGGAGGCACCUGUUGCUCAACUGGUACCAGAAAUGGUGCCCAAUCCAAAAUCAUGUCCCAUUGAUUCUCUUCUCCAUGACAAGUGGUGAUUUUUUAGAGUUAAACUUUAUCUUGAAGUCUGAUUACACUCAUGUUCACUUGGCCUAUGAUAGGAUCAUAGGUUGCAUGGACUUUAGACUAUACCCUUUCUCAAAAUAUUAGUAGCAAGUAUAACAUCUUGUCCUAAAACUUUUAAAUGAUUUAAAAUUUUAUUUUUGUUUACUGGUUUCUUGCUGAAAAUUUUGUCGAGCCAAUUGUGACGUCCUGCCCAUUCGUUGCGAUCCUUUUUAAGAUUGAGUUUCUCCUUCGCUACUUGUGACAGUAAGUUUUGUAGUUCAAGAGGCAUUUUCACCAUGAACCAGGAAUUUUUUGUUUAUGUUAUUAGCAGGAUGUGACUCACCCCACCAACAUUCAAGUGCUUCUUGUGGAAGCAAUUAAAUGCGCUUCUGUUGUAAAUUCAUGUCCAAUCCCACUAUUCCAUAUUAUUAAACACCUUUUUGUGGUGCUGAGGGUGGGUUUGGUUUUGUUGUGUGUGGGGUUUGGUGUUGGGAAACUUAUGGAUGGGAUCUUGAUGGAGUUAACACUAGACCUUCGACCCUUAUGGAGACAAAGGGCUGUCUAUUGUUCACCUUUGUAUAUGAAAUGCAAUUUAUGGUUAUUGAUGCAUAGUGCUUUUUUCCCAUCUUGGAAGGGCUAUUGAUGUAUUGACAUUCAAGUUAUUUGGCUGUCUAAUUAUGUGUGCUGAAACUGUCUUUUCCAGAUCAGCAUUCGCCUGAUUUACUUUACCGAAACACUUUAUUUCCUGGUUAAUCAUGAAGCACAGGAUAUUCAGGUUUUAACAUUUGGACAACUCUGUAUUGCCAAUGCAGUGUUUGCAUCUUACUACAGUGACUGCAUACCAAAAACAUUACGUACUCCUCCUGGACAAGAUUUUUUGUCUUAUUUGCCUCCGUACUAUUUUUGGUUCCCACAGAAGACGUACCAUCAAUUCCCUAGAGAGGUAUGGUGUUGAUCUUGACAGAAUAUCAAAUAAAUUAUGGGAAAUUGUUAGGCUGCGCAUGAUAAAAUUUUUGUUUCUUAAUUUCUCUAUUUCUCUGUUCCCGAAACAGGUUUAGAACAGAAAUCUGUUUGGUAACGCAAUUUGAUUUCUUUAUUUCUUAAACAGAUUUUUAUUCCAGAAAUAGAUUUGAAGAAGAAAUCAGAAACUAAAAUUUUAGCUUCUCAGUUUCUGAAAUAGAAAUUGAUAAAUUAGGGUGCGUUUGUUUGCGUUUCUGUUUAAAAAUUGUUCCAGGGAACAGAAAUAGAAAAAAAGUGUUUCUGUUCCGGGGAACAAUUUUUGAACAAAAAAACGCGUUUGGUAAAUUUGUUCCGGGAAUUAAAAAAUAAACAGAAACACGUUUGGUAAAUUUGUAUUAUUUGUAUUAUUUCUUUUAUUUUUUUAAUAUUUUUAAUAUUUUUAUUCUUUUUUUUUUCUUUUUUUCUUUUUUCUUCUUUUGGCCGGUCGCUGACCUCGGCCAUGGCCGGCGACUGGCCGACAAGGGCCGGCGGCCUCGCCGGAUCUGGGCGAGAUCGAGCUCGCCCAGCUCAGCGCGAGGUCGGCCUCGCCUUGGCUAGGCGAGCUCGAGCUCGCCCAGAUUCAGCGAGGUCGCCUGGCGGUGGCCCGGCGAGGCCGAGCCUCACCGGCCGCUGGGCGAGGUCGGCGCGAGGUCGGCCUCGCAGGGGGCCGGCGAGCCUCGACGUGGCUGGGCGAGGCCGACCCUCGCCAGGGGCCGGCGAGCCUCGCCGUGGCUGGGCGAGGCCGCCGUGCCCUCGUUGGCCGGUCGCCGGCCAUGGCCGAGGCCGGCGACCGGCGAAAGAAAAAAGAAAGAAAAUAAGAAGAAAAAGAAGAAGAAAUACAAAAGUGUUUCUAAGAUUUGUUUCAGAAAUAAGAAAUACAAAAUUUGUGUUUCUUAUUUAUGUUUCUUUUUUGUUCCUAGGAACAAAAGAACAAAAAAACAGAAAAAGUGUUUAAAAACAAAAAAAAGAAACAUAAACAAACAGACCUUAAUUUCUGGCCAGAAAUCAAUUUCUAUUUCAGAAAUUUUGUCAUGCGCACCCUUAAUGACUGAAUUUGAGGUUUGCUUCGCAUUUCUUUCAACUUGUCUAACAAGUGAAGUAUCAUAUAUUCCGGCAUUGUAUGUACUCUCUUUUUUCAGCUUAUAAAUUAUGACUGUCUUGUUUGUUUUUCUUCUUAACAAAGCAGGGUAGUUUGUAGGACUCAUUACGUUAUAAAUUUUUUUUUAGUAACUCUCGUUCUUGCAAAAGCCAUCAUGAGUUUUUCAUUUCGAUUCCAAAGUUUAAGACACAUAAUAAUGUUUAUUAUACUCUCUCUCUCUCUCUCUCUCUCUCUCUCUUACACACACACACACACACUAUGUAUGUCUACUAAUGCGUAUAAUUAUUAGUGACUAGCUCAAAGACAGCCACGGUUGAACAUAUUAAUGUGACAUGAAAAUGAUUUGAUUCCACCUGCUUCUCUAAUAACGAAUCAUACUCGUAACAGUUUUCAUGUAAUCGGAAUCUUCCCUUUAUUGUAGGUAUGGCUAUAUAACAUAGGAUUCGGUAGUUAUCAGGUUGAGAAAGUUUGUGAUACCUCAGGAGAAGAUGCAUCAUGCAGCAAGUGAUGAGCUAGUUUCAGUCGAAGCUACUUGUUCAAACAAUUAUUUUGUGGAUUUAUCAUGCAAGAUGCAAUAAGUCGUGAUGGACCAGCUUGUUCUAGAGAAUGUCUGUUCUUUGUUACUAGGAAUAUUUGUGGACAACUGAUCAGGGUAUUUUCCUGCAGAUUGGUAACCGGUAACAGCAUUGUGGACCAUUUAGUCUUUCUAUAGUGUGCAAUUAGUGGCUAAGACAUGAGAAUCGUGCAAAAUCGUCAUGGACACUAUUGACGGAAUGUGGAAGCGAAGAUGUCAAAGGUAGAUGUGUGAAUGUUGCAACUCUGACACUUGCAUGGUUAGGCAAUUAACCGGUUUUUAUAAGGUGAAACAAAGACUACGUUCACAGACCACUUCUCAAUCUAUGACACGUUACCUUCUCCUACAGGCACAUUGGCACAUAAGAUUUCUUGGCAGAACUAAGUACUUCAACUAUUUCCUCGUAGGGAAUUGUGCAGAUGAACUGUUAAAUCAAACCAUCUCGGAGACAGAUGAUGACUUUUGUCUUACAUCAUUUCCACUGGCAACCUUCGCAAAAUUUUUACUUUUAGGAGGUAAACAAUUUAUAUCAUCUUGGCUUUGAUAUGUAACAAUGAUCAUAUCAGCAUUUGGAACAAGAAUUGUAAGCUUUUACCUUCUUUUUCUAAUAUGCAGGAAUUAACAUUAGUGGAAACCUGAAAAGUAAAAAACUUGGGGGGAAACUUCUGCCACUGAUAAGAAGGGAAACAGAACUUUUGUCUUGCUGACAGGUACCUGUUCAAAACGUCAAAAGUGAGCAUUACCAAAGUGCUAAGUAAGCUCAUGGUGCUACACAAGUCAGGUCUAAAGUACAAUGCCAAAUGUUUACUAAUGUUUCAAAGAUCCAAUCUAGUUCAAAAGCAGAUACUCAACCAGGUCAGCCAAGCAACAUCUUCUUCAACAUGUACAAGCAAUUGUUCAAACUUUUCUUCACUAGAGUGCUUGAAGUUUUGCCCAUAAUACUGCGACAUCCUUCUCCUCAGUAACCUCUAUUAAGACCUCAUCCGUCAAAUUUAAUUCAUUUAAUAGAAUUAUGCUAUUUGCUUUUUUCAUUAGCUCUACCCUUUCAAAGGCUUUCAUGAUAAUAGGCAACUCAUCUUCGCCUUCCAGUACCUUGGCCAAAUCUUAUGUUAUCAAUAAAGCUCGCAUCUUGAUGCUUCAUAACACAAAAUUGUUACUCCCAUUAAAUUUCUCAAUUUCAGUUUUCUUCUCAUGAUUGCAAUAACAGAAUUUUCAGAUAAUAAUCAGACAAACAAAAUCUCCAAAUUAUAAUCAAGAAAUUCAACCCCAAGCUCUGAUACCAAUUGUUGGGAUAUAAUACGUGAAAACGACGGGAUCUUGCAAUUUAAGUCAAUGCGAAAUCGCCAGAGAAGUAAACAAGAAAUAAUAAGGAUACCAGAAAAUUUACGUGGUUCGAUUCAAGUAACGGUACCUACGUCCACGGGGAGAACUAGUAACAAAUAAUCCACUAUAAUCGGAGUAUCAGAGUUUACAAUCACUCAAUGAUUCAAGUGUUUUCCACAUUUAGAUUUAACCCCAAGUUCAAAGUGUUUAUAAAUAAAUAACUCACUUGGACAUAAACUCAUGGCAUAAAAUUACCACGUAACAAAACGCAGCUCUAUGUACGGCUUCGCGAGGCUGCAAAGACUUUGGCUUCAGAUAAACUCGCAGAUCGCGGCUUUCUUCUAAGCUUCGGAAGACGUACGUUCAGCGGCUCCUUCUUCUCGACUUGUACAUGCAGCAGCCAAGGAAAGAAAACCUCAUGUGAUGUCCGUUUAAAAUAUAUAUAUACGUGUGUGCCCAAGGUCAAAAGUUUGACCUUGGGCCCCACCACUUUAACUCCUUCACGUGCGGGGCUUCUUCCUUCGGCGGCAUCUUCCUUCUCUACGUGGGGGUGCAGCAGCUUACGAAAAAACGAAAGAAGACCCAAUUCUUUCUGCUUUUAUAUAUUUAUAUAUUUCCUCUUUUGUAGAUUUUGAAGAGUCCAGCGAAUUUCUUCUACUUGAAAAAUCUUUAUCAAUAAAAUUUGAUAUAAUAAAUCGUCAUCCGAAUUCAUACUCAAGACAUUGAUUUAACAGUAUCCGUGGUUGACAAAAGGAAGAUGUCUUUUUUUGCUGUGGGUUGAGGGUGGAGAGGAGACAGUUGCAGCUUAAGUUAAAAAGGGGAGUUUCUCCCUCGAAUCUAGAAAACGACAAUUCGUUUCUUAUUAUAGGUGGGGUUUUCCUUUCAUUUUUUCCAACCCAACCUUAGUUCAAUGAAAAAACAUACUUUAGAAUUAACAUAUGCAUACGUCCAAGCAAAAUUCAAUAUUGAAAAGACUGAAUUAUUCCUACUCAAAAACUUUAUUUAAGUCUCUCACUUCAUGUUUGAAUAAUAUAAUUUUCAGUUAGUUUUGAGUACUUUUGAUGGUGAGACUUUAGGAAUUGUGGAUGGACUUUUUUUUUUAGAGAAAAUGACAAUUCUUUUAUACAAAGGAACACAAGGUUAAUCGACCUCAUAAAUCAAGAUUCAUUUGGUCGUGAAACAUGAGAUUGUUUGUACUAAUCCGAUUGAAAAUUAAACUUACCUAAUUUUCCAAAUUCACAUAUAAAUCCUUUCAUGAACCAUUAAAUCAAAAUUAACCAAGAGUAGGUAUGUCAAAAAGCGAAAUAUCACCAAAAGAUGAAUUAUAAUAAUAUUAGCAAACAAAUAAUCAAAAUAUUACCAAAUAAUCCCACAAAUGCUUUACUUCCCAAAUGGAAUUUAAAAUUCUCUCAACUUGCCAUAAUUUUCUUUUCUUAGGCUAAAUAAUAAGCAUCUCCAAACAUAUAUCCUCUCCAUGGCUAAAUAAUAAGGAUCUCCGAACAUAUAUCCUCUCUAUAUAUAUUACCCUAUCUUUCUUUCAUCUCGAGAGUGUCGUUUGCAAAAGUUUUUAUGAUUGUUCCGCACCGUAAGUGAUGAUGGACGCCGCCACAGGGGAACAUGACCGUAUUCCCUUCUUCCUCCUCGUCGGAGCCCUGCACGCUGCCGCCGCUGCCGCGAGAGCUCGCAGGCUCCGCCGCAUUCCCAAGCCUCUGGUUCAUGUCAGCUCGGUUGGAUUCGUCCCUCUGAAUGACCACCGAGUCGCUGAAUGCGCUUGGAUUCGUGCGCAAGCAUGUCGAGAUCGCAGCUCCUCCUCCUCUUUUGCUGCUCAGUCCCUCGGUUUUCGCAGGUAGCGUGCUUGUUGUCGUCCGUUAGGCUUUUCUUUUUUCGGUGCUGAGGAAUCUCGGCGUGGAUUGUAUAUGCCAGACUGAUCGGUUCUUGGUCAGUAGGGGGCCUUCUUUAGGUUGAGUUUGAUGUCUAAAUAUGGGGCGGCAGGUGGAGAAUUUGAUGAUUGACGAGGAAGUCUGGAUAACUAAUUCGAGUGAUGUGUACCUGGUGGAGCAGUCGAGUUGAAGCAGAGGGAUGAUUAUGCUGUCAGGAUUGUGCUUGUUGAUUGAGACACCGUAUUUUUUUAAUCAUGUUCGUCGUGUUUGCUUUGUAUAUUUGAUAUUGGAGAUGAUUAUGUAAUAGAAUGAAUUGCGUCGUUGUUUCUUCUAGUCUAGCACUUCAUGUUCUUCAAUGUCGGUUCUGGGUUGAAUUAGUUUGUUGAUACAAAACGGAGCUGCAUUUCUCUUGGCGGUAUAAGGUUUUGAGGGAUAAGUACACUAAUAGUGUCAUAAGUUGUGUACGAUACUCACUUUGGUGCCAAAAGUUUCCGUCGGAUCACUUAAAUGCCAAAUUGAAGAAAAAACAAUCACUUUGGUGCCACCGGCGAGAAAUUCCGGCCAAAAUGAUUACGUGGCUUUUAUAUUUAAAAAAAAAAUCAACAUGGCUUAAGAUUGUCCACGAUGGAUAGCAUAAAACGACACCAUUUUCCUUUUUUCAUAAGAAACGACGUCGUUUCUUGUCAUCCACUGUGGAUUCACAUAAGAAACGACACCGCGUUGCUCCAUAACAAAAAACGAUGUUGCUGAAGAGGAAGUAAAAUAGGGUUCGUAUACAAUUCUCCUCGACGCCGGCCGUAGCUCGCUCACCCACCGUCGUUCACCCACCGUCGUUUGCUCGCCUGCCAUCGCUCGCUCGCCGUCGCUCAGCCACCGCUAUAGUUGCGCCGUUGUUCACGAUCAUUCAGGUUUGUCAUGUUCUCUACGUGGAUCAAUUUUGCGAAAAAUUUAAGGUUCCGAUGGGCAAGUUAGGGCACGGUAGGCAAACUGAGGGCUCGGCUUAGGAGGAAAGUAGUGGGGAAAGUGGUGGGGAUGUCACUUUUAUGGGGACGGAAUAGAAAAAUUAAUUCUUCCAUCGUUCGUUCGCUUUCUGUUGUGGGGACCGAAUAGAAAAAUAAGGUGCAGAGAAGCUUAACUCGGAGGAAAACAGUGGUGGGACCGAAUUUGUUUGUUUAAUUAAUUGGACUGCUUUUGUGGGGGACCGAAUGUGAAUGUGAUUGAAUUGAAAAAUGGGUGGUGGGGACCUCACUUUGUUUAUUUAAUUCAAUUUCUUUUGUUUCUAUAAAUGCACCGAAUUGGGAAGAUUUUAGUCGCAUUGUUCCUUGACAACAAAACGACAAGGACCUACAUGUGAAGUUAUCGAUUCUGUCAUGUGGUUCCAACAAAACGAUAAUGAUUAUUUUUUUUCAUUGGGUGUAGCAUUGACAUGGACGUGAAUCAGAUAGGCGUCAUUGUUUGCUAUGGUGGAGAGUUUGUUAUUGGCACUGAAGAUUGGGAAUAUAGUGGUAGAAAUGAUGGUACUAUUUAUGUCAAUGUUUAGAAGCCAUCAUAUAUUGAUUUUCUGAGGGAUUUUGUGUAUUUUUUACGAUGUAAAGUGCAAAAAUUACAUUACUGUGUUCCUAGAAAGGAAUUGAAGGAUGGGUAUUAAGGAUAUCAUUUACCAUUAUCUUCACAGUGAAGAAGUUAAGGUAUUUGUUGAGUAUUAUAGUGAGGAUGAGGAUAAGGAUGGGGAUGGGGAUGAGCAGACCACCACUGAAGGAGGAGAAGUGAGGGAUCAUGUUCAAGCGAGUAAUUAGGUCGGGGAUGAGUUUAGGUUAGAUGAAGCACAAAAUGAGAGGGAGAUAAGUCAUAUUGAUAGAGAUGAACAAAGAGGGAGAUGUCCUGAAAUCUUGGGUGAAGAUUUGAGUGAAGAUGUGGGCGAUGAAGACUUCAUUGGAUUAGAAUGAGAAAUUGUUUUAUCUAGUGAAUCGGAAGAUGAAUGUUUGGCUUUAGUAAAUUUCCCAAGUGACGAAGAUGAUGAUGAACUCCAUAGUCAAGACAAAAACAAAAGGAAUUUCUGAGAAAAAAACUUACAGCUUCAGCAAAAAGGCCCGAGCUAGUAAAUAGGGAUGGAGAUCCAGUUGAGGGUAAUAGAAGUGAAGAUGAAGAAAGCUGUGUCGAUGAAGUUGUUGGUUCGAAAAAUGAGCUUGACAAUAAUGAUGAAGAAUCUGCUCCUCGAAAAAAAAGUAAGUACCAUUGCUAUGAUCCGACUGCUAAUAAAUCUGUUUUGUUGGUGGGCAUGAGAUUUGACGAUGCCAAACAAUUCAAGGAAGCUAUUGUGAAGAACACAAUUGGUGAACAGAGGAGCGUUAAAUUUAUUAGAAACACGAAGGAAUUUGUGAGAGCUAAGUGCUCACAACCUAAUUGUUCGUGGAAGCUCUAUGCCGCACUUAGUAAGAAUAGGUCAUUCCAGAUUAGGUCCUUUUAGGAGGAGCAUACUUGUCCAAUUAUCUUUAACAAUAAAAGGGUAACAAGUGUGUGGUUAUCAAAGCAUUUUUUCAAUACUAUCAAAGCAAUGCCCGAGAUCAAGAGUCUUUAAUUUCAACAGUUAGUUAAGGAGCAAGUAGGGGUUAAUGUAUCGAGGAAUCAAUGUAAGAGAGCUAAGAUGAGAGUGAUGAAGAUAUUGAUGUGUGGGUAUAAGGAAGAAUAUGCGCAUGUAUGGGAUUAUGCUAGUGAAUGCAUAUUUCAAAACCCAUCUAGUAGAGUAUAUGUAGAGGUUGUGGAGAGGCCACUCCCUGAUCUUGGGCCUAGAUUUGAUAGAUUUUAUAUCUGUUUUGAUGCAUGCAAACGGAGCUUCUUGACUGGUUGUAGAAGAGAUAUAGGAUUGGAUGGAUACUUUCUAAAGGGUUUAUGCAAUGUAGAGUUAUUGGUUGCUGUGGGGAGAGAUGCCAAUAAUCAAAUGUUCCCGAUAGCUUGGGCGGUGGUAAAGAUAGAGAACAAGGAUAUUUGGUCCUAGUUCCCAAAAAAUUUAAUGGCUGACCUUGAGAUAACCGAUGGGGAAUGAUGGAUAUUCAUGAGUGACCAAUAGAAGGUAAUUUCAUUAUCAAUUAAUUCACUCCAUUUUAAUAUUAAUCACUUACAUAUUUUUCUUAACUUAUAUUUAUUGGUUUGAAUUUUUGUAGGGACUUAUUCCUGCAUUGGCUGAAUUGAUGCCAUAUGUUGAGCAUAGAAUGUGCGCGAUGCACAUAUAUGCAAACUGGUCAAUGAACUUCAAAAGAGAUAGGAUGCAGAAGCAGUUUUGACAGAUAGCAAAGAGUACGAAUAUGGCUGAUUUCAUAUUAGUCAAACAAGGAUUGUUGCAGCUGACAAAGAAAGGUUUUGAUGCACUCUUCCAAACAGAAGCUAAGCACUGGUGUCGAGCCUUCUUUAGCGAAGAGUUCAAAUGCGAUAUCAUUGAUAACAAGCUUUCAAUGGUAGAAUUUUAGAGGCCAAGUGCAAAUAAAUCAUCAGCAUGCUUGAUGAUAUUCGAGUUAUGAUUAUGACUAGAUAGCAUAAGUAACAAGAUGAGGCUACAAAAUGGAGUAGAGACUGUACCCCUAGGAUUGUGAAGAGAUUUGAUGCAAAUAUUGCUGCUAGUAGGUUCUACCAUUUAGUUUGGAAUGGAGAUAAUGGAUAUGAGAUUAUUCAAAAUCAGGAUAAGUAUGUUGUCAACCUAGAUAGAAGAAAGUGUUCAUGCCGAGCCUGGCAACUAAAUGGAAUUCCCUGUGCCCAUGCCAUUUGUGCUAUUCAGAUGAAGCAAAAAAAACCCAGAUGAUUACCUACAUGAUUGGUACAAAAAAAGUUCAUACCUUGCUUCAUACCAAUUCAUGAUGCAGCCUAUCAGAAGCAGCAAAUUUUGUGAGUCAACAAAUCAUGAAAGCCCUCUACCUUUAUCGCUAAAGAAGCAAAUAGGAAGACAAAAAAAGAGACGAAGAAUGCAGCAAGAAGAGACAUAAAGUCAAAGGAUGAGUAGGACUGGAUCAAAGAUGAAAUGCUCCUAUUGCCGCAAGGAAUGGCACAAUAAGAAAGGUUGUGAGCUGAAAAAGCAGCAUCAACAGCAAGAUGUAAUAGCUGAUUCAGUGCCAGGGACAGGACCUACUAAGAGUUUCUUGUUAGGCAUAUUGAAGGGAGGACAGAAGGCCCUGCUGUAAUGCCUACUGAAGGGAAAACAGAAAGCCAUGCUGUAAGGUAAGUAUCAUCUUUGUCUUAGUAACUUUACAGUUCUUAUUCGAUAGAGUUUGAUGAUUGACCAUGUGUACUGGCUUCUCUUGUGCUUUUCCUCUAUCAUGCACUUGUAAUUUGAGAAGUUUUCUCCAUUUGUUUCCACCGUGAAAAUGAGUAAAUGUCUAAUUAUUCGUUGUAGUUGGUCAUAAUCUUAAUACAGUACAUUGUUGUAAGGCCUACUAAAGGGCCAGAAAAAGGCCCUGUUGUAGGCUCAAGUGUAGGGACAAGGACUGGAAUAGGCAGGACAGCAACAACAACAACUGAGUCCACUGUUGAGCAAACAAGAAAAAAAUAUCUUGUAAGUUUUACAUCGUUGUGUUUGGUCUUUUAUGAGCUAAAAUUUACAUUUGUUAUGUGUUUCUCAGGUGAGAAGACGAGCAACUGCACAAGUUACAAAGAUUGCUACAAGGAUUGUUGUUGUUGAAAAUGAUGCACCACAGCGAACAAGAGGGGCUCUUGGAAAAAGAUUAAAGCAAUAUGGUUAUGGGAUUUACACAAAUGAACGUACUAGAAUGACUAUUUUGAAUGUAAGAUUUAUAAGUUUUAUGCAUUUAAUUUGUUGUACUUCAAUUCAUUUGGUUGACAAUAACAAUAUCACUAUGUUCUUAUAGCCUGGGAGAACUUCGGAGGUACUUCUCUCUCAAAGUGGGCCAACUCAAGAAUUAAGGGCGCAGCCAAAGAAGAGUGCUCCAAAGAAGAAGAUGACAGCGGAUAUAGCUGCGAAAUAGCCAUCCAAAAAGAACCCAACACCAGUUCCAUCUCAACCAACAAUUGGGAGCGGUAGUAAUGAUAUGGACCAACACAUGACACGUGCUAGAACAAAAAUAGCCGCCAUAAAAAACAAGGAAAAAGAAAAUGAGGUGACAGAAAGCCCAGUUAAAGAACCUGCACAUCCAGUUCGAAAGAGUGCUCGGAUUAUGAAUCAAUUCAAAGCUCCAAGAGGAAAAAGAGAUCAUGGUGUUGUCAAUAUUUACUAAUGGGAGGGUGCUGGACAUGGUCUCUUUUUAUGUGAUGCUGGACAUGGUAUCUUUUCAUGUUUUCUUUUUUUAGGAGUGUGCUGGAUAUUAUAUCAUUGAUGGUAGUUGCUGCAUGCAUAUUGCUAUUGUUUUUUUUUUUUUUUAAGAGAGUGCUGAACUUUCGAUGAUUGUGGAGUGAAGUUAGACAUGCUUUUCUUUUCUUUUGUAAACAAUAAAUUACUGUUAAUGGCAACUACAGGAAUGAUUAUUCAUUUUCUCUUGUGUUGGUUUCGGUUAGAAUGCUAGCAAGUCAGUUAUGCUGUAUAUUUUAUUUUUGAUGUUACUGUAAUGUUGUUGUUGCUGCAAUGUUACUGUUGUUGAUUGAAAUUGUGGAUUAUAAUGAAUUUGUGGGGUUCUGAGUAUAUGUGUUGCUACAAGAAUACUUUGGGUGCUGGUACAUCUUGUUACAUCAACACCUAUAUGGGCUGGUGCAAGAAGACCAAUAACUCAACUAGUGCAAGAACAAGGUGCAUUUGGAAUGUGACGUUUGGCACUAACAUGGUCUUUUUUAAAAAACUUGUACAACAUAAGUAAUCACUUUGUAAUCGUGAUUGGCACUUAAAUGAUCACUUUUAUAAAACUUGGCACUCAAGCGAUCACUAUUUACAACUUAUGGCACUGAAAUGGUCAAUCGUGAAUUUGCCACCAUCUUUUAAUUUCGGCUAGUUUGCAAUUGCAACAAACCAGCAAACUAGAAAACUAGCAAACCAGCAAACCAUUACCAAAUAAAAAAUGUAGCAAACCAUUACCAAAUAAAAAAUGCAGCAAAUCAUUACAAAAUAAAAAAUGGUUAAUAUCCUAAAAAACCCAAAACCAGUACACUUGUGAUAAAUUUACCCCAAACUAUUUUUUAAGUUAAAUUAAAUGUGACAGUUGACUAAUAUAUCGAUUUAGGAUUUUAGGCAUUGUUUGUCACAGUUUACAAUUUUUGUGAUUUUUUUAUAGUAUUAAUCUAAUUUAACGGAAUGUAUAUUUGUCACAAAUUUAUCAGUUUGAGGUUUUUUGUAGUCGAAUAAAUUAGUUUAGGAUAAAAUUAUCGUAAAUGUACCAGUUUAUGGUUUUUUAUAGUCAGUUAGGGUAAAUUUGUCACAAGUGUACCAGUUUUAGGGUUUUUUAUGGUAAAAAAAAUAGUUUUUGAUAAAUUUGUCAUAGGUAUACCAGUUUUGGGUUUUUUUUUAGGGUAUUAACCCAAUAAAUAAAUGCAGUAACCAUUACUAAAAGCUUUCAAUGCAGCAAACCAUUACCAAAUAAAAAAUGCAGCAAACCAUUACCAAAUAAAAAAAAUGCAGCAAACCAUUAUCAAAAUUUUUCAAUGCAGCAAACUAUAACCAAAUAAAAAAUGUAGCAAAUCAUUAUAUUUGAAGCAAAAAUUAAUCAAAACAAAUAUUGACAAUACACAACUAAACAAAAAAACUUUUAAGUGCUCACAACUAAUACAUUUCAAGUCCAAUCUUGCAUUUCUACCGAUAUAUUACAGCAACAAAAUAUUUUGCUCCAUACAAAAAUUGCAGCAAACCAAAAAACACAUUUUAUUUAUAAAUAAUUCAAUACAAGUGCAUAUUCCAUGUCUUCGACUAUGGUAGACAUACAAACUUCUUCUCAUUACUCACUUUACCUUUGAAUAAACUACCCAAGAGAAAAAGAACACAAUCAACGCUUGAUAAAAGUUUCUUCCAAUUUUUAGCCUUGAAAUCCCCCUCUUCAAAUGGUCCACCAAAUAUGUUAAACCCUUCAUUUGAGCUUGCAUUGAGUCGACAUCCUCCAACUCAUCCAUUAACAUAGGUGGAAGUUGAUUUUGGCUUUCAAGUAACUCCAAUAUCAUGUAUGUCGCUCGAUCAAAGAAUUUCCUAUCAACUCAUUUGAAGUAUUGGCACUUCGAGCCUUUUCUAUAUCUGCCGCACCCAUGGAAUCUUCUCCUGGGAUUCAAUCGAGUCCAAGAUGUUCUUCUCGAACUUGGUAACCCACAAUAACAGUAACACUCACCAUCUAAUUCGCCUUUUUUUAUAGGAAUGUGAGCCGCUGUUAAAGCUUUUGUCAUCCAUUUGCAAGAGCGAGUUGAUAACUUCAGGAGAAAAUUGAAGUAUGCACUCAAAAUGGUCAAAUUGGGGAUUUAGAGUUUUCAACUUCCGAUUCUAGUAGAAAUUGGGGAUUUAGGGUUUCUUAUGUGGGGGAAAAUGAUAAAAAGCAUCGUUUUGUUCUUUGUAUGCUGAUUGUAUUCUCUAGCGAUCCACGUCGGCAUCAAAAAUUAAUAAAAAACUGCCAUGUCAGAUUUCCGGUCAACCAAAUCGGCGAUGGCACCAAAGUGAUCGUUUUUCAAAAUUUUUGGCACUUAAGUGAUCCGACGGAAACUUUUGGCACCAAAGUAAGCGCCGUACACAACUUAUGGCACAAUUAGUGUACUUCUCCCAAGGUUUUGAUGUGAUUGUCGUUGGAAUUUACAGGGCCGUCUCGUGGCAAUAGAUUGCCUGCUUCCCCUUGUUUGAUAAUUUCUAGUUUACCGUAUUCUUCUGAAGCAAGUGCUGAAAUGGAGGAACCCAUAGGAUUUUUUGCUUUUUUCCAUCUAAUGUGUCUUGACACAUCGUGGAGUUCUUUUUCUGAUAUUUGGUUCUUGUAAUAUUAUGCAGAGACCGUGAAGGAGAUGUAUGAUAAAAUUCUUGAGUCCGCUAAUAUGAAAAGAACAAUGGCUCCAAACGCAUGGACGUGGUCGAUGAUUGAAAAUUGCAAGAACAGAGAGGAUAUCAGAGCUUCUCUUUGAUGUCUUGCAGAACCUACGUAGAUUUGUCUGUUGACUUCUUGCUCCAUUUGAGAAUUAAAGUUUUAGUUUGUGAGCAGUUGACAAACCAACUUGUUUUUUUCUUUCAUUGGGCAGAUUGUCAAAUCUUCAAAUUCAUGAGAAUUUUAACUGCAACCUUUGUCGGAUAGUCACAAAAGCAUGAGUGCAUGCAAGGGCUCUUGAUUUUGGGGAGCUUUAUCUACACAAGUUGUGUGCCAAGUUCAAAAAUUUUAUAUCUUGCUAAUAUAUUCACCCGAUUCUUCUUCUUCAUUCGAUUGUUGCUAUGUACCCUAUCAUUAGCACAAUCAUUUUGUUGUUAUGUUGUUUGCUCUCACAUGAUCUUUUUACCUAAAGUCUGUCAUGCUCGGAGAACAUAUUCAGUUGCUUAUGAAAACUUUUGACUAUCGCGCUGGUACCGGUAGCUAGUUAUGCUUUUUUGUUUUUUUUCCUUGAUGCAUCAAUUAUGUAAACCGGAAUUUUGUCCUACACGGUUGCUACACGUCUAUUAAGUGUGGGUAUUGAAAUAACAUGACACAUUCUUGCUAAUAGUUUUUCACGUUUGAAUGUGUAAAAGCACAUUCAAUUUAAAGUACAUAGGACAUUGUUAAAAAUGUAUUAACUUGUCUUGUGUGAGUAACAUGUUAACUUGCUCGACAUGCUUCAAUGUGUUUAAGUGGUAAAAAGGUCAAUUUAUUUUACAUGUACAAACUUGUUAACUCAUUGAUGACUCAGACAAUUUUAAGCUCAAUCCAACUUAGUAUGUGUCAAACACUUAUUCUGUAAACAGGUCUUUUCGCACAUUGCUGGCUCUGUAGGACUCUGAUUUAUUGAAUGACACCUCCACUUCAAGUUAUUGAAUUCAUUGUUGAAGCUUGGCAAAGAGCAUUCACUUUUUGCGGACUUGUUUUUAUGAACAUCAAGCUUCAGUAGUUGUCAGUUCAACCUGUUUCUAGUAAUUAAGCUCUUCAUAAUUUUCAAGCAAAAUAAAUCAAAUCAAUCUGCAGUUCCAAAGUGUAGUUCAUGUUAGGAGAUUGCAGCAAUUAAUUGUCACUGGGAGUACAUGAUUUAAUCAGAACCUAUAUCUGUAAAUCCUUAUUUAGGCUAAGAAAUUAAUUCGCAUGGUGCACUUAGUACUUGAUGAUAGAAACUAAGGGUUGACAAAAUUGUAGGUAAGAAGGCCUCGUGGGAGCAUAAUGUCUAUGGAUUGACCCCUACGAUUGGCUAUGCAAACCAUCUUUUGGUAAUGAUGAAGUGUAUCUAAAUCAAAAAAAUUCUUUUUUCCAUUUGUUUUAUUUACACAAUUCUUCCGCUAAGUUGGGGUAUUGCAAUGCAGCAAUAUGCUAAAGAGCACAAAGAUGCCACUCUCAGAAGAAGAAUAACUUGCCAUUGCAACCCAGCACAGCUGAUAGUGUUUUCAGGUUCACUUCCGUGCUGUUUUCCUGAGAAUGAUGUCAUUAUCAUGUAGGAAGCCAUUAUUGCACUUAAUUGUGUGAAAUGUACUACAUAGUUAUCAAGCAAUUUAUCCAAUUUAUAAGUGUCUUUUAUAUAUGAUUUAAUCAACUUGUUUUUAUUUUGAAUCAUUUUGUCUGCACUGCUACUCUCGAUCUAAUAGUUUGCUCAUGUUACUUGACAUCCUUUAUUUCCAUGGAAAAAUUUUGCAGCAUUUGUGAUGAUACAGACAAUUGGGGGUUGCUCACAAAGUAUUCAAAGAGAUUUGUCAAAAAGGGAGUGAAUCUGCAUAAAGCUGCAUUUGACAUCUGGAUGGAGUUUGCUGCAAAAGUAGGUGAGAAACACUCGCUCUGUCUCCCUUCACUGCUCUCAAGCCCUUGCCCCUCAACAAUCUUAUUUUCCAUUUCUCCCCACAAAUAGUUCUCUCAUCUAGGUCCCGCCACUUACUACAAAAGAUGGGAUGUGCUAGAAUAUUUUCUUACUGUACAAUGAUUUCUUUCUCUCCUUAAGCAAAAGGGUAGAAAUAAGAAUUGAAAAGAAUUUUCACUGCGCCAUGUCUUUCAAUGUCUUUGUUUCUUUAAUUGUUCUGAGAUUAUGCUUCUUUAUCCUAUUUAGUGGUUUGACGAAAAUUACCCUUUUCAGGAGACAUUGAAUCUCUAUGGAAAACUGAGAAGUUAAGAUGUGAGUCCAUGAAGCAGCAUACCAUGGGCAGUGGGUUCUCAUGUGCGAAGGUAGUUUACAAACACAAACUGUUGAAAUCACAAAUAUCAGACCCCGAAAGCACUAGGUCUUCUUGCAUUAGAAAAUCUGAUAAUGGGAAAAUAUUACUAUUGCGAUACAGAUCAGUACAAAGUUCUUGGUAAACCAGGUGAGAGGUCUAUGGCCAAAAAAAGCGGGAGUUAAUGCUUGAAUAAACCAAAUUUUGGCUCACAUCCUAGGACAUGAAGCACCUAUGGGCAUGAGAAUGCUCAUUGUCAUCACACGAAGGAGAUAUAACUACUUUUUUCGGUAUUUGGAAGCAUUUAUUGUGGCUUUUAGCACUCUGGUUUAAGAUUAAAAUUUAACCGACUGUCAUUUACUUGUUUUGUGGCAAACUAAAUGGUUUUAUAUUCAAUUUUUUGUGCAGGGAUAUUUACUUGAAGGCAAACCUGAGGAGGCUGCUACAGUCAUUCGCGUCUUGAAUCAGGUGCUCCUCACUUCUCAGAGCAUCUAUAGCUAUUAUUAAUAUGCUCAUCAUCACCAUCUGGCAUGAUUGCAAUCCUAAAUUACCUCAGCCUCUGAACUAGUCAUUCAAUUUUCCAUAUACUGUCAAGGAAUGAAGCAAUUAGUGGAAGAUAUACGGAAUUGUCCCCCGAAAUGUGCUCAGAAAAAUUACCAUGACAUAUCCUCUCUCGAGGGGGACUGGGUGAUUUGGGUUUCGUAUUUGGUGCCUACUAUACUAUUGAAAUAACACGAGUUAGUUCCAUGGAUCCUAAUAGAGUUUGAAAGAUCAUCUCAGACUCCUCCUGAAUUGAAUAAAGUUGGAAAGACACCAAUGUAGGCUCUGUUUGUUCAGAUGUCGCUUCUUAGGUGUCGCAAUGUGAAUGCCUUGGAUUGAUGCCAGAGUAAACCUGAUGCUAAGAGGUCCAGCAUCAUGGUUGAACUUCAAAAGCUUGUCAGUGAGUGGCUUUUCGAGGUCAUCAAAAGGAAGAAAGAAGAUGACCGCAAGGUACUUCCUUUGACUAAAUAUCCAUCACUUUGGGUAGAAGUAGAAAUAUUGCCUGUUUGGAGUUAUAUAUUGCUCUGGUAAUGUUUGAAGAUGACCCGUUGCUGGAUGUAUAUAUGCUGCUUUGAACUAUCUCAAAAUUUUUAAAACCUCUCAUUCUUUUCGCUCAUGUAGGCAUUGGCUGCUUCUCUCAAAUCCGAUAUCCCAGCCAUGGUUAGUUCCUUAUUAAACACGGGCUUGCAGGUGAAAGCGAAUAACCACCGAAGGCACCCUUUGUUAAAGUAUGACAGAAUUGGAGAUUGAAUGCACUAGCUGCAGAUCUGUCUCCUAUGUGGACCGCUAAGGUUGCCAUGUAAGUUUAAACCGAUUCCGCUGAGAAGCAAGACAAGCGCGGUACUCACGUCUCGAGCAACAAGCAUCUGAAGUUCUCUUGUAAAGGUCCCUGAACCAUGAAAAGAUCUGCUCCUUCUUGAUUUGAAUGCUGUCACUUCUGUACUUUCGGAUAAUGAUUUUUUUCUUUCCCAAAAAUAUCUGAAUGUAUUAGAGACGAUAGGUGCAUCAUCAGCAAUUGAAUUCUGAGAACAACCUCGGAUGACUAGUUUUUGCUGAGAGGACUCUUCUGGCUCACAAAUUUUAGAUUGGACCAAAUGGGCAGUUAAGAGAGACAAUUGAUAAGGUGGUCCUUUCAAUUUCAAUCUGAUUUGGCAGCGUUUUGUUAUAUUUCUGACAGAAUUUCGCUGUCCAAAAUUAAGAGAGUGAAUUUUAUGCCGACUCAUUCGAUCUUGGCAUACAGCGACCACCAUUGUUUCCUGAUUUAAUCGGAUUGAACUGUCCAAUCGUGGUGCCAGAGUGCAUAACAUAAAUUACAUGCCUUUUUACAUCAUGAAAGAUAACGAAGAACCUGAAUUACCAGAUUUGGCUUUGGUACCCACAUGCGUAGGUGCGUGCGUGCGUGCGUGCAUUUUGUGCAUAUAAGGUGUAAAAGAGGUGACAAACGCAAUCCUCUAGAAUUAAAACAUGUGCAUUAAUCGUGCGCAAGUUUUAGCAAUGAAUUGACAUAAUUGUAAUAGGUGUGACUUUUUUGAUAAUUUUUCCGUAUUCACACUAAAAAAUUUAGGAUUAUAAUCAGAUUGUAUAGGAUUGAAUUUGAAUUUAUACAAUAAGCUUAUGACUGAAUUUACGAUUCUCCCAACUCAAAUAAUUCUCCCCCUCUUCUAUCUCCUCUCCUCAUUUGUAUAAAAUGGGCAAUGAGGGUUGGCUUAGGUAGUGGAAGGGAAACCAUCCUCCCAAUGACCAUCCUGGAGAAAGUCCACCCAAAUUCAAAUCGCAGGGGAAGAAAACAAACCUCUUCUCACUUUGAAUCACCACACUGAGUGUUGAUUUUAGCUCCUUAAAAUCUUCCUACACAUCCAACCCCUCGGGAUCCUAGCAUCAAGAGACAAUCCUUCCGGAUUAUAAGAGUGAGAGUAGAAGUCACAUCCUAUGAUUUCCAAUCUUUCGCAAGACAUGCAAAUAGAUUUGCGUAUGGUUAAUAUGAGAAAAGAGCUAUCCUAUACACUCGCAUUUAGUUGAUAAAAAGGUUGAUCAAUUUGUAGAUGACAUGCAGCGACUUAAUUUCCAUUCACAUAUAAAUAACAUGUAGCCCAUCCUAGGUUGUGUCAAAGCCCCAAUACAUGUAUUAGAUACUAUGCCAUCUCAAUCCGAAAAAGCAAAAGGGACAUAUUGAUGUUUUCCAAUCAUCACACCUUGAGAAAAGACGACACAUUUUUUACUCUAGCAGGUGAGACAUCCUUCCGACGGUAGUCUCGGAAGAUGAAUCUUGCUUCCGAUCUCCAUAAUCUAGCAACAAUGAUGGUGAUUCCACUGGACUAGUGAGGACUACUUUUAUCUUCCUCUCCUUUAUGUACUUAUCACUUCCUUUAUCAAACAAAAAAUCUAAAAGAAAUUUCUCGAGUUACUUAACCCGAAACAUUAUGGAACAUAUAUUAGUAAAACUUGUCAUGUCAACAGUGAUGUCCUCUUCAUCUGUAUCAGGAACUUGUCUCUGCACCGCAGGACAGGUGGAGCUACUUGUGGUGCUUAACAUGGUAACUGCAUCAAAUAGAAGAUAGGAUGAAAAGCUACUCCAAUUUUUUUGAAAUAUCAGGACAUAGCUUCUGAGGCCUAUCACAGUUUCCCUUUAUCUAAGGUAUAUUAGACUACUAUGGCGGGCAUUCAGAAUCUUAUUCAAAGAUGAUCCUUGCUGUAAUGCGACUGACUCCACCUUAAGCAGUUCGUACCCCAGCAACAAUAUAGUCCAAUUGACAUGUCAUGGCAAAGAAAUUGCAGAAGAAUCUUUUAGCCGAUUCAAGUACCGUGGGCAUGUCCCUCCUCACAAGUAUGUUAGGGGCUCUAAUAAGUAUGUGACAUGAUAUUCCAUGGACUUGAGCUACACGAUUUCGAAUCAGAUGCUCCAUUGGGCUUGAUGAUGCCUACAUUCGGCCACACACAGUAUUUCUUCAAAGACGUAGACUUAACCCAGAAUGCUUUGGAUCUCUAGUAUAGAGUUCAUAUUGUCUCUCCCCAAUAGAGAGCUUUAAAUGCACUGGUGUCCUACUCUGAAAAUUAAAUUACAUCCACAAAUACAAGAUUGAAAGGAAAUUGUUCACCCGCCAUAACCUGAAAAGAGUAAAGCAUGAUCAUGGUGAAAGAAAAGGUCCAAAAAAUCUUCCCCUUGAAAGCAACAUAUCGAUCAGUCUUGUUGCCUAACAGAAUCGAGCAUGAGCUUUGUUUACCCAACUCAACUACAUAGACACGAAGAAGAGGCUUCAGAUAUAAGAACUUAACAGGGUACGUCACGAUAGCAGGAUGUGAUGAAAUGUAACAUUGUACAUUUUCUUUGAAGAUAUAAUGUAGUAAUGCAAUCUCGAUGGAUAUUCCAAAGAACUUACAAGAGAAGACAACUCCUAGUAACUACGGGGUACAAUGGAAAUGAACAUUCAAAGCCUGAGAUUAAUCCUGGGAAAAAUGGAAAAGUAUGGAACAACAAACUUUGAUUUACAUCACAUGAAGCAAGGACAACGUGAUAAGUGAAUUCAAGCAUCCCAUGGAAUUCUAUUGGCACCGGCAGCUUCUACUGAUUCCAGUUCUGCCACAACUAUAGUCCUGGAAGGCCACUCGUUAGGAGUCAUUUGGAGGCAUUGUAAAGCAAGCUGUGCUAUUUGGAAUGCAGAAUCUAUAUAUGUAAGGUAUAGGGAUGGUAUAAAUUUGGUUCCCAUUUCCUGCAGGCUGCAAACAUCGUGAGCCACCGGCUUCUUCCAAGAUAUCCAGUGUUUCUUUUUUGGGUAAUUGGAGCAUCUGCAGAAAUGAAAAGUUAUGUAGGCAAUACAACUGUAGAUUCCAUGCCAAAGGAUUUAAGUAGCUAAAAGGAAAACACACCUCGUAUUUCAUAGAGGGGAUUAUAGUGAACCUCACACCAGAAACUCAACCAAAACUCUGCAUCAAUUGAAAGUAAGGUUAACAAAAGGAAAAACUCAAAAAAUAUGGAGUUUCAAAAGACCAGUUGCACAUUGAACAAAAGCAACAGUAGAUCAAUUGCAAAUGUUUACACCUAGGUUUAAAAUCAAUCAAAUAUAUAUUGAGCUGUACCCAAGCAGCUGUCCUAAGCAAGCAAAAGAACAGAUAUUUAAUUUCCCAGAUGAACAACAAGCAAAGCAUCACAAAGGAGGGUCUAUGCGUAUAUGUAUGCAAGAAACACUCUUUUUUCCAAGACAAAUGAGAAGUAAAAUAUCAACUUCACAUUCAUCACAUUGCACUGACUGAUCAUUUGACCCAACAAAACAACUAUGAAGAAGACUAGCAAGCAAUACCCAAGACAGAGGGAACUUAUAAAUCCGAUGGCCCAACAAUAAUCAAGCUAUCAGUAUCAAGAGGUUUUAGACCUCCUUCAGGCUCUCCAACAUCAACCAAAUAAGCAUUGAACAUCAAUGACUCACCGGAACAAUUAACUUCAUCAUUCUUCAAAAUUAUGCAUUUUGACAGCUGCUCGCUGCCAUCAUAGGGCAUUACCUAUCAUAUAUCCGACCAUCAAUCACAGCAUGGACUAAUCUACUCCAAACAAGCUCAAUCACGGAGAGUAUUACAACCAAAAGCACAGAACAUAACAAUCCAUGAUGAUAGAAAAAAUGAAACCCUAGGCAGCAUCGAGCUGCUGCCAUUAAGUUUGAUCAAGCAAGCCAAAUAUGGGGGAAAACGGUAAUAAAUCAAUAGCCACUGCAAUUUUGACACAGAUUAGCCAAUCAAACCAAAUCAUGUCCAAGCCCAAUCAAAGGCAACUAAAUUGCCCACCAGGUUGAGCUGGACAUCACUAGAAGAGAUUAGUAGUGAAAGCAAAGGUACCUUGCUGGUGGAGGUGCAGAGUGAGAGGAAGCCGUCGCAAUAGACCUUGCGCUUCAGCUUCUGCUUCAGGUGCUUCUUGAAGGUGACAUUCCAGCACACACAGACUCAAGCACAUAACUCAUUUCAUCAAACACCAAAAUUGCACAUGAUCACCAAACACUGGACAGGCAAAACUUAGAUGGUUCACACUUACACGAAGCAUAAUUCGCACACUAAUUACAAACACAAUCCAAAAGCAGUUCAGGAUUGAAAAAGAAAACAAGAGCACAACACCGAUCCGCUCCUAGAACCUGUAUUGCCGGCUCAAAAUGCAGGCGUUGAGUCCAUCACAGAGCUGAAAGCUCUGAUGUAUUCAUCCGUGGGAUUCUGCUGAGUCCGGAUGUUCUGUAUAAGGGCAACAAGGAUGGUGAUGCCAGAUUUCUGUCCCUCAAGAUUCCGUUUGAUGCGAUGUUCAUUUUCCUAAUCAAAACUCCAGAGUUAGAGCUUAAGCUGGCAGACUUGAAAUCCAUAUCCUAGGUGCAAUUUCUCCCUCUUAACCCAACCUUGAUUGAGGAUGAGGACCACAAUACCAAUGUGUGCGCAGAAGCUCUCCCUGAUGCUCAUAGAGUUCAACUUGACUAAAAUUUCUGAGAUUCUACACCCAAAGACAGUCAGCCAUUGCUUCAGAUUUUCACUUGGUGAUCUGUCCUGUGCAAAUGUGAAUGAUGUUGAGCUACGGGUGGCUCUGGCAUCGACUCCAGAUAUGGAUCCCAAGUUGCUUUCUCAGCUGAAAGUAGCACAGCGGAUUGGAAAUCUUUUGGAGUUUGUACAUGGGAAGAAUUUGGAAGAUUUUCUCAAAUUGAUGCUUGGCUUGUGCAAAGCUCUUCUUUUAUGAUCACCAGGUUCCACGAAAGUUUUCACGUACAUGGAAGAGCCAACACUACCUGAUGAAAGUUCUUCUGAGGCAGCAAGUAGCAUAUGACACAUAGCUGACUCUGGUGGCAGUGCCAGUGUUUUCCUGGAAUUGAGUGGGUCUCAUGACAGAAACAAUGCUGAUAAUGCUUAUGAAUGCACAGUUCUAGUACUGAAGGCGGCCCCAAGGGAAGGUGCUCUCUUUUCCUUACCAAUCUUUUGUAAGUGAGUGCAAUUCUCAAGUCUCGGCAAGACAGCCUCCUUCUCUACUGGUACAGCAAAUGCUGCAUUCUAUCAGUUACAACUGUAGGCGAUGUUUGCUGCAUAGAAUGAUCUUUGUCAGUGUGCCCGUCAAAGAUUGCUAUGAUUGAAGGCAUCAUUGCUGAGAUAAAAUAUUCUGGUGCUGCUGUUCAGCCAGUGCUGCCACACUGGUAAUCUCCGAAUUCCAGUGGCUCCCUCAUUUAUGACUUCUCCAUAACAUUUGCAAAUCCCACUAAGAAGCACACCUUUCCUGAAAAAUAAACUGAACUUAAGCAUGGCAAUACAGAGUGUCUAUCUACUUCAAAGUCACAACAAUGAGUUGAUUGUGCUGUAAAGUCCUAGAAUGAGAACCAUAGUUGUAUGACCUUCCAACACACAUUCCAUCUAUUUGUUUACAGCAUAGCAAAUUUAUCUCCCAUGCAAAGUGAGGUUAUCAAUUUCAAAAUAUGUGUGAAGCAGCAAAUCAACGACGAUCUCUAAUAAGUUGUUACAUAUCAAAUAAAAAUGAUGCAAUCGACAUGCAUAUGUCACGGACCGAGAGAAGGCCGAUCCGUGAGGUUCCCCGAGGACGACCCCGACUCGUCCAUGGAAGACCUCCUACUCCAACUCGGGUUCCCAUCAAAGCUUCUCCCUGAAGCUUCCAAGGGAGGACGACACCGUCAUUUUGCCUGACUCUAGAAGCUUCCGUUAUUUAUGUCGGUAGACGGUAGUUAAAUAUUUAUGUCAGUAGUUGAGGCGGUGCGAUCUCGCCCGUCAGAUAAAAAGUAGAUCAACGGAUGUAAACCGAGGCCCUCAACUAUAAAAAGGGGUGCCCUCCUUCAUUUGUAAUCACCCAACAUUUCAGCAAUACAAAGUUCAUUUCCUUCCAGAGCUCCUCUCUCUUACUUUCUCUCUCAACGAUUCGGGUAAGCGAGCGGGUUAGCGUUCGAUCGAGCAACGCUUGGCCCGGGUAGUCCAAAAUCGCCCGAGUCGCCGCGCGGUCAUGAUCCCAAUUGAUCGGCCCGUGACAAGUGGUAUCAGAGAAAAAUAGAGAUUCGUUUGAGAGACCAAGGAGCGCCAACUGUUCGAAGGAAUGUCGAGCCAAGAAGCUGUCAUGGUUGGAGAGACCGUGCAAGUCCAAGAGGACCGCGGUCGUGGAAAGAAAAGAGACGCCUCGAGGGACGUCAUAGCUGUGUUCGAUGAGAAGAUCGCGAAUGUCCGGAGCGCUGUGCACGAACUCAUGGAAGGUCUUGACGACGUGCGAGACCGGAUCAUGGAGGUUGACAGUUCACUCUGUGAAGACUUCACUUCAUGCAUCAAUGAAGCUACCGCGCCAUUACACGACAAGGACGAAACCCUUGAAGCAUCGAUCGAUGUGUUGAAGGAGCGUGUCCAAGUGGUCGAGGAAGAAGCUCCGCGUAGGGACGAGGUCGAAGCCAUGAAGGCCGAGAUCCAAGAGCUCAAGACCGAGCUUGCCCUGUGCAAACUAAGCAUCACCAAUGGUGCUGUGCCGAACCAAGCGGUGCCCAAAAUUGAGGCGCCAAAGCCGAAAGAAUUCAAAGGCGAACGAUCCGCCAAGGAGGUGGACAACUUUGUUUGGAGCAUGGAACAAUACUUCGGUGCCGUCAACAUGAACGACGAGAUGACCAAGGUACGAACCGCGUCAAUGUUCCUGUCUGAUACGGCAAUGCUUUGGUGGCGCAAUAGGUGUGACGAGGUUAGACGAGGCGCUGAUCCCGUGUGCACAUGGGACGACUUCGUACGAGAGUUCCGGGACUACUUUUUCCCCCAGUUCGCUCAACAAGAGGCCCGUAGCAAGCUCCAUCCCUCGAGCAAAGAGGCACGAUCCGAGAGUACGUGAAGGAGUUCACCAAGCUCAAACUCUAGAUUCGCAACCUGAGCGAAGAGGAGGCUCUCGGAGCGUUCAUGGAUGGAUUAAAGCCAUGGACACUUCUCGAGCUCAAGAGACGGGACGUGAGUAGCCUGGCGCGUGCGCUGAGCGUGGCCGAGUCGCUCGUCGACCUCACCAAGACCGAACCAAGGAGUCGACAAAGAGAUUGGAGGACUGAUCGACCUUGCGAGGAUGAAGCUGGAAGAAACACUCCCCGGGCUGCGCAUGAUCAAGGCGGUCGAGCCAAAGCAUGGGGAGAAGGGUCUUCAAAGCCAGCCUUCCAAAAGGGUAGACCACCGACAGACUACGCGAGCAGGUUUGAUCAACCCCCGCCUUCUCCUUGUUUCAUUUGCCAAGGUCCGCACUGGACCCAAAAGUGCCCAAAGAAGGGUCGAAUCAACGCCCUCCUUGCCAUCGAGGAAGAAAAGGAGGAGUCCAAAGAAGACCGACGACAAAUCCGACUUGGAGCCGUGAAGAUGAUCAACUCCGUCCAAGCUCGGUCCCCAACCAAAGGAAAAGAAGCUGCGUCGGACAUAGAAAUGUUCUUCGUGCAAGUCAACGUGUGCGGCCGAACGCUACACGCCUUGGUCGACACGGGUGCGUCGAACAUGUUCAUGUCAAAGGAAGUGGCAAAGGCCUUGAACCUUCGCGUGGAGCCGACCGAGAACACCUUCAAGCCAAUCAAUUCGGAAGGCGUCCAUGGCGUAGGAUCGACUUCGAAUGUGGACGUCAAAAUUGGCGAUUGGAGGGGCAAAAUGGAUUUCGAGGUAAUCCCGCUUGACGAUUACGAUCUCAUUCUUGGUAUGCAAUUUUUCAAUAGUGUGAGAUCCAUGAUCGACAUGAGGACCAAAUGCCUCGUGAUUCUCGAUCCGGAUUACCCGACGACGGUCCCAAUGAUCAAAGGGAUGGUCGACACCAAGACCAUCGCGUCGAUCCAACACCUCAACAAGAGCUUGAAGGCCGUCAUGCGCAUCAACAAGUUUCCAAGGUGAAGCCGAAGGUCAAGUUGGAUCCUACUCCAACAAAUGCCAUGCCAAUCCAAGCGCUCUUCCCCGAGGUUGAGUACGCACCGCAUGCUCCGUCCAAGCCAAAGGCCGAGUCACGUGCCAAAUCCGACUUCAUCAAUGAAGGUUGCGGUCCGUCAUAUGAGAGCGUCCGCACCAAAUGAAACAAGAACAAGAGAGCCCGUGCCAAAGCCCGUGCUCGUGCCAAGAAGGCCAACCUCCGAGCUGUGAGCGACGAGGGCGUCGCUCGAAUGAGUGGGGGAGAAUGUCACGGACCGAGAGAAGGCCGAUCCGUGAGGUUCCCCGAGGACGACCCCGACUCGUCCAUGGAAGACCUCCUACUCCAACUCGGGUUCCCAUCAAAGCUUCUCCCUGAAGUUUCCAAGGGAGGACGACAUCGUCAUUUUGCCUGACUCUAGAAGUUUCUGUUAUUUAUGUCGGUAGACGGUAGUUAAAUAUUUAUGUUGGUAGUUGAGGUGGUGCGAUCUCGCCCCUCAGAUAAAAAGUAGAUCAACGGAUGUAAACCGAGGCCCUCAACUAUAAAAAGGGGUGCCCUCCUUCAUUUGUAAUCACCCAACAUUUCAGCAAUACAAAGUUCAUUUCCUUACAGAGCUCCUCUCUCUUACUUUCUCUCUCAACGAUCCGGGUAAGCGAGCGGGUUAGCGUUCGAUCGAGCAAGGCUUGGCCCGGGUAGUCCAAAAUCGCCCGAGUCGCCGCGCGGUCACGAUCACAAUCCCAAUCGAUCGGCCCGUGACACAUACCUCUAGGAGAAACCAUCCUAAGAAAAUGUAGCAAAAAAAGGCAAACGAAACUUGGAAAAGAACACAAAUACUUGUACAUAAUUAAGAGCCCUCUGGCUGUUCGGAGGCAUCAUAAUUUAAAUACCUUCAUUAGAUUUUCAGGCAAGAAUCCGCUAAAAGGUCAUUAAAAAGUGCAUGCAAAACUUCUCUGUUCAUAUCUAUGAAAGAAUUUGAUUGCCAAAAAAGGAAAACAUUGGUACUUACCUCAAUUUGUUUAAGGUUUGAACACAAGGGAACAAUUUGUGGUCGUGCAUCAAAAAGCUUCCAAGUGCAACGUGCACUUAUUCAUCUUCUUGCCCAUUAUCCUCUUACAUAUCUUAGUAUUCUUGUUACAUAUCUCAGUAUUCUUGCCCAUCGUCCUCUUACAUAUCUUUGUAUUCUUGCCCAAACCAGUAAUUUGUCUUCUUCAUCAUCUUAUCCCACAAAUUUGAUUGACUUCUCCGAGCAAAGCCGAGAAAUUUCCUCCGCUGCUAAUUUCCCACAACGUCUUAUUGUAACCUCUUGCAGUCCCUUCAAGCUUGAUAGAUCAGACAACUUCUGUAAAGAUCCACACCAUUGAAUCCACAAUGUUUUCAAAGAUUGAGGUAGUUCGCCUUGAAUCUCAACCAGAUUACCGCAGGAUUCAAUGUUCAAGUAUUCCAAAGAUUGGGGUAGUUCAAUCUCAACCAGAUUACGACAAUAUUCUACUGAAAGAUAUCUUAUUCCAUCCAUAUUGCUUAGAUCAGGGAUCUGUAUAUUCAAACCUUUGAUUGUGACCCAUCGCAGUCUCUUCAAGCUUGACAGCUCAGGCAACUUCUGUAAAGAUCCACACCAUUUAAUCCGCAAUGUUUCCAAAGAUUGGGGUAGUUCGUUUUGAAUCUCAACCAAAGAUCCACAGCUGUCAAUAUCCAAUGUUUCCAAAGAUUGGGGUAGUUCGCCUUGAAUCUCAACUAGAUUACCGCAUGAUUCAAUAUACAAUGUUUUCAAAGAUUGGGGUAGUUUGCCUUGAAUCUCAACCAGAUUAUGACAAGAUUCUACUCUAAGAAGUGUUAUUCCAUCCAUAUUGCUUAGAUUAGGGAUCUGCAUCUGUUUAAUGCCAGAAAGCUGCAACCGAUUUCCACUUAAAUAUUCAAAAACCUGAUUGCCACUAUGCACAUACACAUAAACAUGUGUCUUACCCAUUAUGCUGAACGGAUCGGGGAACUUUUGUAACGAAUCACGGGAACCAAUUUUAAGUUCAUCCAAAAAUCGUGGUAGUUCGCCUUGAAUCUCAACCAGAUUACAACACCCCGAUACUGUAAUACGCCUUAGCUUGUUUAACUUGCUUAGAUCAGGUAGCAUCGCCAGCUGUACGACGUCCCGAAGGCGGAAAUCUCGUAGGUUCUCCAAACAACCAAGGCCUUCAAUCUUUGCAACUGCAGAGCAGCAAAUGUCGAGAUCCGAUAGUUUCCUCAAAUUCGAUAGAUCCAUCGAGCCAAGUGAGUCGCAACCAGAGAGACGUAAGACGGAUAAACUUGAGGGAAGCCUCAGGAGGAGAGGCGGAUGAGGAGGGAGGCUGAGGUCUAUCGAUGAGGCGGUCCCCCCGAAAAAGCACAGUAGCAGAGAUUCCAAUUUGCUUAAGUUCCCAAUCCACCAUGGUAUCCGUUUUUCCAGGAGCCCAUAAGAUUUCCCAUCACAGUUAGGUGGGCCAAAGCCCAGAUGCAAUACCUUUAAGUUAGCGAGAUUUGAGAGAUCUGGAAACGUGUCCACCCUCAACUCCUCCACUACUAAUUCGAUGAGACUUUCAGGAAACCUUGGUAGGGCGUGUACUCCCGGCCAUCCCAAUAUCUUUUCCCAUGAACGCCCGUAUAAGCAAUAGCCACUUAUUGCGUGGGCAUGCGUGACAUGAUUAUAACGGUCGGCGAUUUCCAUUCCCUUGACCUUCCCCAUCUUCUUACAAGCAUCAUUGUUCGUUCUGUUUUCGAAACCAUUCUGCAUCUUCAUUACUUUCAAAUUCUUCGACAUUCCAAUGGAAUCGGGUACUUCUUCGAUGCUCGUAUGACUUAUGUCCAAAGUUAGCAAAUCCAAAUUUCUAACCAUCUUUGGAAGCCUCUGAAGAUUCCAACAAUUGCUUACAUCUAAGAAAAUUAAGCGUUUCAACUGACAAAUUGAUUCAUCAAUUUCGAUUAAUGAUUCACAGCCUGAUAAGAUCAAAUGUUCUAAAUUUAAAUGAGCAAAGAAGUUGGGGGUUCUCUCCAAGCAUUGGCAAUGGGCCAGAUUCAGAACUUUCAAAUUCUUAAUCCCCUGUGAAAGAAAAAUCAUGCACAGAUUACUUUCAAAUUUAAUGAGAUAGAAGAACAAGUAUCGUCUAGCAUAUGACAUACCUUCAUGUGGCUCCACCCUUUCCAAUCAUGAGUAAUUUCACUCCGAGAUAGAUCAAGGAUAGUCAAAUUCUCUACGGAGAAAUUUGCAAUCUCAAAUGUUGGGUGAAUAUUAUGCCAAGAAAGCCAGCGUACUUCUGGAAGGAGAUUUGAAUCCAAAACAUCAGUUGGAAGAACACUUGAUGGCCCUUUGUGCUGAAGAAGCAUCUUUUCUACACAAAAAGUUUGCUCCGAGUCAUCAACUUCAAGGAACCUUAGCCUUGAUAGGCUCUUAAAGUCAUUGUAGGUAAAACCAUGCUGAUGGUCCAAGCGGAGGCGAAGAGCUUCAACUUUUUUCUUCGUCUGCCCAAAGGAAAUUUUUUAAAAACAAGAGAGUUGAAGGGAAACACAUUUAGCCAAAUUCACUAUUUUAAGGGACUGAGUUGAGUACUACCGUUCCAUUAAUCUUAAAAAAGCAAAAAUGUCCAUAAGUAACUUGGAAAUUAAUGCACAGGGGAUUUUACCUUAGGGCUCUUCAACAAAUCCAACGCUUUCUCACGAUCCCACACCCUACUUUGUUUAUUUAUAUUGGUUUCUUGACAAACUAUUUGUCUUCCAAGGUCUCUAAGUUGGUCGUGCAUCCACACCUUAUUAUCCUCUUUAAUCUUUACCAAAGACAUGUUCUCCAAAACAUCCAUGGCAUAUUCCGGAUGGAAUUCAAAUUCCCAAAAAUGAACUACAAUGUCUUUAUCAUAUCCAAUUAAAAGACAAGCUAUAUCAAGGAACUUUUGCUUUUCCUUUUCUUCUAAUUCAUCAUAACUUAUUUUCAAUCUACUCUGGACAUCCUUAUGAGGAUCACUUUCCCACUUACGUAAUUCGAAAUCCCACUUUUUCUUUUCAGUAGUGCAAGAUAAAAGUGAACCCAUGAGCUCAAGAGCUAGUGGAAGACCUCCAGCAAUUUUUAUCGCCCUCUCGGAUUGGUCGAUAUACUCGUCCAAAGGAUGAUCUCUUCUAAAGGCAUGUUUGCUAAAGAGUUGAAGAGAUUGAUCGUGAUCCAUGCCCGAAAGCUCAUAACAACUGUCCACUUUAAGAACAUCAAGAACUUCUUUGUUUCUAGUAGUAAUAAUAAUUAUGCUCCCUUUACCAAACCAAUCACGCUCACCAACAAGUGCAUCGCUAUGAUUCUUUUCAUGUACAUCAUCGAGAAGGAGGAGGACUCUUUUGUUAGACAACCUGGCUUUGAUGGUAUUAAUCCCAUCAUCAAUGUUUCUUAUAUCGGUGCAUUUGUCUUUGAGGAUGUCGGAGAUGAGCUGAUUCUGCAAAGAUUCAAUGCCCUUGCGUUCUGACAUUUCACGAAUGCUGGACAGAAAGCAACAACCCUCAAAUUUUUCUAAAAGCUGAUUGUAGAUGAUUUUGGCAAUUGUCGUCUUUCCGAUGCCACCCAUCCCAUGAAUUCCUAUAAUCCGUGUUUCACUUGUCUGAGCACCUAUUUGUUCCAUGAUUUUACCCACAUGGUCGUCCAUAUUGACCAAGUUGUUUGAUACCACCAAAUAAGCCUUUUUCAACUCAUUGAAAACCUUCUGCGUGAUUGUUUUUGCAAGUUGACCUUCUUGCCUAUUGUUUGUUGAAAGUCAAAAGGCAAUGAGUUAGAAAAUUGAGUUAAGCCAAACUAUGCUCUGACAAGACCAAAUUCAAAACUACAGACCUAUUCUAAAUGCGUUCCUCAACGAUUUAUACCGUUUUGAUAAACUAGCACUAGAACUUAGGGUAAAUGAAUGACCUGAACUAACGAAAAAUGUUUCUUGUUGGGAAUGAAAUGGGACAAAAAUUGGCAUUGUGAUAUUAUUUAGCGUGAUUUUGCUGCAUAAUUUCAAUUGCAUACAAUUCAAUUUCAACAAGACUAACACAAAUCUAGAAAAGAAACCAAUUAAAAUGCAUCGAGUUUAAAGAUAUAAGGCACAUGAGAUGGAAUCCUAAAAGCAGUCACCUGUUGGGCAUGCUUUGCAGGUCCCAUCCAUUUACAUCCGCGACUGUAGUGAGAGCAUUCUUCCACUCUGCUAUAGUCUUUUCAUCAUAUCGCCCCUUUGUUUUGUGUGAAACAAGAGCUUUUUUAAAACUCCCGAUUUGGUGUCGAACCUCCGAAGGUGUCACAUCAUAAAAAAUGGGCAUGAUCUUUUGUCCUUCAUUUGUCUGGUGCUUGACCAUCUGAACUAGCUCCUUGAGACACCAUAUGCUAGAGGCAUAAUCUUUUGAAAAAAUAGGUAUUGAGAUCCUUGAGUGAUUGAUUGCUUCAAGAAGUUCUGGGGCAAACUCUUCUCCAAUGUGGAGGUCUUUGUCGUCCUUAAAUGUGCGGAUUCCCACAUUUGUAAGGCUAGUGUAGAGGUAGUCGGUAAAACCUGAUCGUGUAUCUAGCCCUCUGAAACUCAAGAAUACCUCAUAGUCAUGUCCGGAUGAUGUUGCAGUUUCCUCAACUUGUGGUGUAGUGCAAGUACGAGCAGCCCUCUCUACGAUACCAUUCUCUGUAGCUGAAUCAUUAUCUGUACUGCCCUCCACAGCGGUCUAACCUGCUCUUUUCUUCAGGAAUCCUUUGAACAGGAUGGCAGAGAGAGAUAUGGCAGCAAUUGUCACCAUACAGGGCAACCGCAAGUGCUCAAGCAUUUUGUGAGUUAGCAAAGAGAAUGUUUUUAGUUAGAAAUACAGGGGAUGGUGGAACAACAGAGAUGAGAGGCAGCACUUAAAGGUCAGGAUGGAGUAACGAGCAACGGCGAGCCCGCGAUGGCGAGAGACCGCCAGAGAAAGAGUAGAGAGUGAGGCGAGGGCGGCCACUGAUGCUGCGACGGAUCGGCAACGAGGCUGCAACUGCAAGUGAGGAAGGGCCGAAGGCGAGGCGGAGGAGGAGGAGAAGGAUCGAGAGGAAGAGGAGAGGAAGGGGGUCGUGUGGCGAGGAGGAGGAGAAGUAUCGAGAGGAAAAGGAGAGGAAGGGGGUUGUGCGGGUGCGGCGAGCGGCGAGAGGAGGAGGAGAAGGGGGCGCUAGCUAGGGUUUUGGAAACUCAAAAAGAAUAAAAUAAAGAGGCUGAUGGGGGUGAAGUGACAGCCUGUCACGUGGGUGGGGGAGGGGAAAGGCAAGCUGGUUCAUGAUGGACCAUUGGUAGUCCAAGUCUUCGUAGACUUUGACUUGGGUCAAUCAUUUGUUUCAGUCUUCUUGCACCACCCACAAGCUGUUUUGUCUGAUUUUUUUUCUCUUUCUAAGAGUGGUAGCUCAUGCUAAUACCACGUUAAGACGAGGCACAUGGAGCUUAGGUUUUGGAUUGUUGGCGUCCUUAUCAAAAUCACAUCAACCCAUCUCACGCAAUUCUUAAUCUAGUGAAUGUAUUUUGAUGCAAAAUUAUAUGUAUGCAACACAUUCCAUUUCUAUUUAGUUAAAUUAGAUGAUUCCAACUUUUUCAUUGAUUGAUGACAUGAUUGACUAAAUUUUUAAGAAAAAAGUUUUUUUUGGACAUAUAGUGUUUCAUUGCAAGUAUUUUUCUAUUUUUUGAAUUGAUUUUGUGAUAACUAAACAUUCCAUGUUUCAUAAUAGAAAACAAAAUCUCUCUAGAACUGGAGGUGUAAAAUUGUUCCAUUUUGUAAUUCAAUGUUCAUAAGUCUUUUCAAGCAUAAAUCCGAGUUAAAUCCGAGUGUGACAAAAAAAAAUUAAGAUUGAAGUUAUUAAAUCACAUGACUCAAUGAGUUAAAAGGAAGAAUCUUGGGAAGAAUCAAAUUUCUUGAAUUGAGAUUGAUGGAAGAUCGAAUAUGUUCUCUGAUAGCUUUAGCUUUCAUUAUCACUCCACUGAAAUUUUGUUUUAGUAAAACCAAAAUCUCGUCCCAAUUUUUUUUUUUUUUUUGAAAUUAGACACCAUCCAUUUGAAUCAAAAUUGAGCUUCCUCCAUUAGCUCAAAAGCUCGGGAAGAAGAGAAAAUAUGUGGGAUCCCAUUGCCUAAUUCUUAGUCUUUUUGAAGGAAAAAAAAGACUUCUCAUACAAAUGUGGGCCUUAAUUAUUGAGACAUUUUUUCCUUUACCCUAGAAUAUGCAGAGAGUCAUGGGCCAGUUUUGCUGCAGAAUUGAUCGACAAGGAUGCUUCCUUGCAGCAUCAUUGUGGCCUGUCAACCGUGACAAAUAUUACGUUUCUUAACGCGGAAAAUCACUAAACUAUGUGGUGCAGAAAUUUUGGGAUGAGAAUCUACUUUUACCCCAAAAUAAUUCAUUUGAAGUCAAGUCAACAAAAGCAGACACGGAACUUCCAAAACAAGUUCGUUUCCCCCAUCCUAAAUAAGGUGAACUCCGAUCGGUCUAGUUUAAUGGGUUGAUUAGGCCCAGGCCCGGAAUAGCUUUGAAGCAUAAAGCCUAGUGGAAUUAUUGGGCUUGAUCUUCGUCAAAGCACUCCCUAGUGAUCAAUUGAAUUAAGAAAAGAUCACAUUUUAUUUCGGAGGUGAACCAUCCUUCGCAUUUAACCUGUCGUUAGUGUCAAAAAUUGCUUGUCACAAAACGUUGUAGUUGGACAUUAAAUCCAUGCAUUGUGCUGAUUAUUAUACAAAACAUUACUAAAAUAGAGUACACAAAACCAAUGUGUAAGCACAGUCUUGUGUCGUAUUAAAACUUUGAGCCACCAACAAGUGUGAUAAAUAAGCUCACGAACAUGAUGUGACCUAUUAGCUCUCAUUUGGAAUUUAACUCAUUUAGCAUUUCCACAUUCACGAUUGAACUUGAAAGCCUCUAUGAGGAUUGGGAAAAGUUUAGUGAAGCCUCUUGACUAUAAUGAUUAAAAAAAAAAUAUUGACUCCCCCUGAAUUCAAGUAUGAAAAUUUUCUAUUUUAGAUAAUGUUUUCGGAGGUAUGACUCUUCGCUCUCUCAGUUAAUGCAUGUGGAUUAUCUAGCGGAAAAAAGAGGCAAAAAUGAAAGAACUUAUGGACAACGUGAGACUAUUCCAUGUUAAAAUUUGAAAAUCAGAAAAAAAAAAUAGCCACACUUCUAUUAAUUUGAAAUUAAAUGAUUUGGGUUGCUAUUUCAGAUUUACCUCGACAUUAGAUGAUGUCAAACCAAGUCCAUUUGCAGCUAGAAACAUUUUUUUAGUAUAAUUAAGAAUCGGAAUGCCUCCUCUUCAACUUCUAUGAAUCCAACUUAAGAGCCAUGCUUUACUUGAAAAACAAAUUGGAGAUGCGUUUACGUUGUAGAGUAUUCAUUUUCUUCACGUCGCAAUUUUGUGUUGGUUAUUGUCAUAAAGGUGAUGCUAUAAGUGCUAAUAUACUUUCACACACAUUGUAAUAGCUACUUUGACGUAUACGGUAUGAUGAAAUUAUCGUUCUCUUGCAUGAAUAAAGCAAAAAUGAUGCUUAGCUCUUCGUUGGUUGAUCUCCAACUUGAAGAGUUUGCUUUUACAUGGAAAUGAACAAAUAUUGGACAGGGAAGAAAAAAGGGGAAAAACUCAGGUCUAAGCGCAUAUGGCACCAAAAGGAAAUCCGAUUUCGAUAAGACUGGAUAUGAAUUGUAGUUCAGAUUCAAGUUGAUUCAGGGAGGGCGACCGCAAAAGUCACCGAAUGGGUCAAUCUUUUCCUUCAGUUUGUCCUAUUUAAUAAAAUAAAAAAGCGUGGGAAGAUGUUGCAGAUGUCUAGGACGGACACGACUUCUUGUAACACUAGAAAACCACUAGAAGAUACCCGGGACCAAAGCAUGUCGUGAAAGAAGCACAUUGGGGCAUUGACCAAUUUCAUAUAGUAAGACAAAGCAACAAAUUAUAAGGUAUCUAAAAAUCACCACAUAAUAUAUCGACAAAAUAUGGCAUUUGGAAUUUAUAUAAUUUGACCCGACCUCACUAGGUAAGUUAAUUAGCAAAUCAAGCCAUUGAAACAUAUAAACCAAACCAAAACAAAGAAGAUCUGAACAAGGUUAUUUGCAGAAAUAUAUCACUAGUCAACAUGCAAAAGUGCACAAAAAAAGAAGAUUUACAUAAACCUCUUUGUAAGUCAUAUGUUUAACAGGAUAGGAAGCACUUCUUAUCAGAUAAAAAAAGUACUCAACAGGGCAGCUGUCCAUUUUUUUUUUCUUUCGCAGAAAUUUGCCAAGUUUGAUCAAGCAACUCCAUAAUGUGCUGAGUUUCCAAAUCUCCCGUGGUGAAGAAUGCCUAUUUGUUUCAAUUUCCUCCACAUUGAUACAUCAGAAACAUCAGGAUAGAGUUGCCAGAGAAGAUACGCAAAUUGUCCAGUGAUUCUGGUCAACCAGAUUACCACAAUGAUCUAAAUGAAAAUCCAUUAGUUUCUUCAAGCCACUCAGUCGGCCAAUUUGUCCAGUCGGUUGAGUUUGUUCAGCUCCAAAUUCCAGAUUUAGUCAGGUGGCAUCUUUAUCCACUUGCAGUUUCUCAAAGACUAGCGUUCAAGGCUUAUGAUGGUAACCAAUCGACUCGGGAAGCUCCAAGAUCCCAGCUCCUUACAGAGAAAGCCUCAACAGGGAAGUCGGGUAACUGAUCGAAGGUUUUGUAGUCGGUGAGGAACGAUGGCAAGCACAGAGAAUUUCUAGACUCUUCAAUCCUUGACAUUCAAGCAUAUGUUUCAUUGAUGUCCCAUCAAUCAAGGGUUCUCUCAAACAUUCCAUUUUACUAGGCUCCUAGGGAGAUGGUGGAGAUCAAUCUUUCCAAAUUCACAUGUACCUGAGGUCUAGCAUCUAACAGAACCAUUUUGACAUCGAAAGGUCCACCUGAUCUGACUGAAUUGAGGUCAUAAAGCAAUCCCUUUUAAGGCAAGUCCAUGUCAGACUUUCCCCUUCCAUCUUGGUAGUUUGUAGAUGUACAUUUCCGAUAAGUUAGGGACUUGUUUGUCCAUCUUGGUAGUUCUUACAAUACUCUGUUCGUGUGAAGUCCUCUGAGAUGCACUAAUCGAGAUAUACUCCUUUCAUCAUUUUAUUCAAAUCAUUUCACUGUUCCCGCUGCUCCAUGGUUUAUAGCAGCAUCGUCAUAUGGACUACCCAUCUCCACUGAUCUUACUUGUGCUUAGACUCCUCUGGAAGAAAUAUUUGAACAGAACAGCAGAAACAACGAUGGUAGCAACUGUCACCACACACAGGACAACCUCAAGUGCGUCAAUCGUUUUGCGCCAGCACAAGUGGUCCACCUUGGCAGAAACAACAAUUGUUGUGCUGCUGCUAUUGCUCCUCCUCCUCGGAGGCAUGGGACGACGCCUGCUGGUUCCAGCUUGGUCGUCACUGCUCGUUCGAAAGAGAGGCCGAAUCGGAAUCCGAAGUGACGAUCCGAAAUAAAAAUGGGAGGAGGAGAGAGUUGGAGGGGGAUGGUGGGAUAUUCGACCUGGCCUUGCUGCCUGACGCAACCAAUUCUUAACGUUGCAGUCUCACGUACACUGGAAGAUUAAGUUUGAACCAAAACUACUCAGUUCACGUACGUAUACAGGCCUGUCAUUGCUGUCUUACCAGCGUGCUAGAAGCCUGGAAAUACCUUCAUAUGAGGUAGCAAUAUAUGCAGGAUACAACCUCGCCAAGGAUUCGCUCACAAUGUGAUUCAAAUUAUUCAAUUCAUGGAAAAUAGUGUGACCCACCUAUUGUUAAGUCACCGCAUUUGGGGGUGGCCUACAAUUUUUUCACGUUCAUUGUUCUUUCUUUUUCAAAUUGUUUCACAUGAAUGAGUCGUGUAUGAAUUUGAUAAAAGCACGAGACGUGUAUAAAUCUAUUUUGUGCUUAUUAGCACCUAAGUUUGACGAGUGACUGAUUUAUUAACACUGGCCAUAAAUGAAGAGAUUUAGGGAUUUUUCUUUGCAAAAAAGUUAUUGUUACACCAUUUACGCUCUUGAAUCACACCUUGUUCUUCACUUUCUGUUGUUGUUUUGUGUUCUAACUUCUCUGUAUUUUGGAAUAACAUGAAUUUUCAGAUUAAGCUUGAAUCUGAAAAUAUUUGACUGGAGAAGUUUGCCAUCAUAAUGAAGUAAUUGCAAUUUCAUAUACCUCCACUAAUAUAAAUAAACAUUAUACCAACUAAUUGAACUGUAGAGCACCCAUUUGUCCAACAAAAUGUCUCAUUCUCUUUGGCUAAAAUACAACAGAAGGCAUCCCCACGAAAUCUUUCUAAAUGUUCCGAUUAUAGCAAAACUUACUUCAAUGCUCUAAUGCACACAACGUAAAUCACCGAAUGUGACAUUGAAAAUGCCCAUUGACAAAAUAAGAUCCCAAGGGCAAAUCGGAAAGAUCGUAAAGAAUCUGGAAUGGAACAGAUCGCGUUUGAGGGUGAUGGUUGUUCUGACAUGCUUGAUUGCUGCAAAGUGAGGCGAUACUCAAGCUUUUCAAGUUCAAGAGAUUGGAAAUGCUAUCAUCAGCUCGUCGCUCGGUAUGAAUAUGUAGACAGAGAAGAAUUUCUAGGAGUCUUGGCACUUGGGGGUAUCUCAACACAUGUCGGUUUCAAAAUCUUCCAAGAUGAACAUCUCCAGAUAUCAUAGGAAUUUUUUAUUAGCAAAUUUUCACUAAGCUUUGCAUCUAUUUUUCUCGCCUUUUAUGCUUCCAUUUUGCACUAGUUAUCAUUCUGAUGACAGAGAACCUCAUCUUCAAUACUUUCAAAUACUUCAUGUUCUCGAUUUCAAAAAAAAAAAAAAAAAAUACUUCAUGUUCUCGACCAAACCAGGCAGCUUCUCUAUGUCCAUGUUCAAUUUAUCGAACUCAACAAAUGAUUCCAAAUUCCAGAUUGAGUCCAGUAGUGUCUUUAUUGACUUGCAGUUCUUGAAAGACUAGUGUUCGAGGCUUACGAUGGAUCCACUUGAGUUGGGAAGCUCCACGAUCCCAGCUCCUCACAGAGAAAGCCUCGAUAGGGAAGUUAGGUGACAGAUUGAAGGUUUUAUAGUCAAUGAGGAACGAUGGGAAGCACAGAGGACCUGCAAGCUCUUCAAUUCUUGACAUUCAGGCAUAUGCUUUAUUGAAGUUAUACAACAAUCCCUUUUUAAGGCAGUUAAGUCCAUGUCAAACUUUACCCUUCCAUCUUGGUAAUUCGUAGAUGUAUAUUCCCUUUUAAGAUAGAGAUUAUCGAUGUUUGUCCAUAAAAACCAGCAUGCAAAAUUGCAAAUCGAUCAAAGUCAACGUGGCUAGCAAGCUAGUCACCAUAUCUUUCUCCCAAAAAUCAUGUACUUUUAUUCGUGUGAAGUCCUCCAUCAGGUACUAACCGAGUUAUCCAGAGUUAGAUUCAUCUACUAGUAAGAAUACUUUGAGGGACCUUGUUUAGAUUUCUUAUACUUGUUUCAUUGUUUGAUUCCAUCAUUUCUCCGUUCACGCUGCUCCAUGUUUUAUAGCAGCAUUGUUAUUUGGUUUGCCCUCUCCAGUGAUCUUACUUGUUGCUCUCAGUCUUCUCUGCUCCAUGGUCUAUAUUAGCAACUGUCGCCACACACAGUGCAACCUCAAGUGGUGAAUCAUUUCGCACCAGUACAAGUGGUCCACCUCAGUAGAAACAACUGUUGAGGUGCACGAGGAUUGGGGGUGGUCUGACUUGGCCUCCCCGCCCGAGUUGCAAUGGGUUAGGAUUUUUAUUUUAUUUUAAUAAAUUAAAAAGUGUGGGAAGAGAUGACCUACGGUUUUCCAUUCUUGUUGUUACAUAAAGUGUUAUGUACGUUACAAAAUAUCUCCAUUGAGCCAUAACCACUCGAUCUAUCGACAAGUGUGCGAGACUAUCACCAUAACUAAUAUGCCAAAAGCCUGAAAAUCAUUCCACGUAACGUGGUGAAUACCUAAAAUAUUGACAAGUGAAAAGUUUACUCAUGACAUGAUUCGAACUCAUGAAUUAAUAAAAGAUGGCAUGAUCCCUUCAUCAUUGGGUUAUCGUGCUUGGGGUUGGAUUGCGAUUGCGACUUUUUCAUGUUCAAAUAUAUAUAUUUUUUGUGCUUAUAAAAUUUGACUUAAGUCAAAUGAGGAGUUAAUGUGUUUAUGUUACCAAUAAAAGAAGAGGUUUGAUGACUGGUUUCUAUAAAAUUGAUUAAUUUACUCUUCAUAAUUUUCUCUUGAGGUUCACUUAUUAUUUAACUUCGACCUUUUUGUUCUGUGUACUAACUUUUAUGUGCUUUUAUAAACAUUUGACUGUGAAUAUAAAUAUGUGAGAGCCACCAAACAUCGAGCAUGCCACGCAUCGGGGUUCGUAUAUUAUUUUGUUUGUGUGAGUUAAUUGCGAUUUAAGGAAAACAAAUCUUCCACAUUAUUUGAUAAUUUGAAAAUGACAUUUUGUGACUUUUGUUGCGUGAGGUUACAAACUCUUUUUACUUUGAACACAGCCGAUGAAAAAGUCUAAUGACUUUUGUUCUCAAAGAUUAUGGACCUUUUUACUUGUUUAAAUCUUUUACAUGUAAAGUAUUCAAUCCCAAUGAUUGUAUAACUCAUAUAUUAAAUAAGCAAUUAUGAGAUGACGAUGGCAUCAUUUUAUAAGAUAGUGAUUGGUAUGAUCGUAUUCGCACUAAAUAUUUUGUAAAUUCUAAAUAAAACAACCCAGCUCAAACUAUUGCAUAUACGUUCAUCUAAAAAUAAAAUUAAAAACUAUCGAAUCCACUUCCAUAUAAAUUUUAAAGAAAAGAAUUCAUCCGUCCUAAUAAGUCACAUACUCAAACUCUUUUUCAACUUGAGAGAAGUGGGCUCCACAAUCCACAAUUAAGCUCAACUCACUUGUCUUGGAUGUUGAAUAAUAUUCUUUUCAAGUUCGAAUAUUAUUGGCAAAGAAAAAGUUUGAAUAAUUCGAGUUAUUGGAUUGAUUCGAGCGGAAAAAUUUUACUCAAGAAGCUUGUGAUCAGAGGAAGCGCCAAAAGAGGAAGAGACAGGGAGAACGGAAAUUUGUCCAGGAGGACGCCUCAUUUUAGCCAAAAUUCCUUUAUUGCCCUCACGGAAACGACGAAAUCACCGGACGUGACACCGAAUUUGCCCGUCGACAGAGCGAGAGCCCGAGGUCAAAUCAGGAAAAUUCGCAAAUCCGUCGUCCUCUCCUUCUCUUCCCCCCACCCAAAAAUAAAAGCUCGCCGUAGCUUUCGAUCGCCAUCCGCCGCGAAAAUCGCUACGGAGUCCACGAACGCUGCGAAGACCACGAUUCGAAGGUUGAAUUCGAGCAAUGCGGACGAAGACCGCAAUCGAUCUCUCCACCUCGCCGGGCGAUCGCGCCAUUUUGAUUGCGUGAGAUUGGAAUGAUGUUGUUGCUCGGCAGAAUGUGGAGUUGAGGGUGAUGGUUGUUCUGAAGUGCUUCAUUGCCGCGGGUGGAGGCCAGAGGUAAUUGCAAUUCAUGUUCAUGUAAUCAGUUACUGCUCUGAUCCUCCCACUUGAUUGGGAUUGAGAGUCUAGUAUCGACCAUGUCGGUUUUGAGGUUGGACAGUGAGGUUUGUAGCGUGAAUUUGGCGGAUUAGGCAUUUCAGGGUUGGGGGGAAUCGCUGACCGUGUUGUGGAGCUGUAGUGCCUGAUUUAAUGGGGCAUACUAUGGCUGAAUUAUUUGGUUGGAUUAGCUAAGCUCUUGGAUUACUGAGUUUGGAUCAAUACUACAACUGGAAUAUGGUCAUAUUGAUACAAAUAUUUCAUCCUGCUGUUUCUAUUUUGGGGGUAAAAAUUUGUUGAGUGUCUCACAGUGAUUGACUAUCGGCUAUUUGGCUUUUCUCCAGUCAAGUAAUGGACUGUAGCUUGUAGGUUUCAGCGGACAAGCUUUAUGGGAAAGAGGAGCCUUAUGUUGUUUACUCAUUCGCCUUUUGUUGCAUUUGAACAUAUAGUUCUUUAAGUUCACGAACAUGGAUGGCAAAAAUAUACUGAAAUAUUAUUUUGAGUUGAUGUUUCCUUGAAGUGUUCCUCUUACUUGAUUGUCGAAAUAGCUUGCUAGAGACAUAAGAAACUUGCUCUAUUGCUUGUCAUUAAAUGAGUUUUUGACCACAUUUUCAAUGUGAAAUUUUCUCAACUGGUAAAUGCAGAACUCAGAGUGAGGUCCAAGGCUUGUAAAGCUGUUUACAAUCACAUUCUUGCCAUGACAUCGGCGGAGUAUGCAUCUGCUGUAAGUGUUCUUUAUAAGGAUUUUCAUAUUUACCUAGAGCUUGUUGUUGUUAUUACUCUUCAGGUUUCACCAUUUAAAUACAAUAACAUUGUAACUAGAUGCGCAGCUUUUUAUUUUGCAGGUUUAAUGUCAUAUUUGACAGAGCUUGGUAGUUGGACUUGUCCUAGAUGUGAUGGAAAGACCAAGGUAAUUUAAUAUGGUUUGAUAUGACAUUGUUGCUAAGGUUGCCUGAAGAAUGGAUCCUCAGUACAGUAUUAAAUGCCAAUUCUUCUGAUGAGAUUUUGUGGGCAUAUGCUGCCUCCUCUUAUUAGAUUCUGAACUGGUAAUUAAUGCCUUUUGAUAUGAAAGCAGGGGUUUGAAUUCAUUGAAUUGAUAGUGGGCAUUCACCACUGCUUACACGCAGAUUAUUUGGUUGCAGUGGCUUACCAAUCUGCAAUGCUUGCGAUGCCUAUAUGUUUAAAUUGCAUCUAAUAGUUUAUAUCUAUUUCUAAACGUACAUAUAUGUUUCCUGUAGGCAUACGUUGGGGUGGCCAAGGAUCUUAAUGCCGUGAUUAUAGCUUUUAGAGGUGCACAAGAACAUAGGUAUGCAUCUUAACUUUAGCAACUCUUCUCCUUACAAAUGACUUGCAAAGGUUUUGAUGAAAAUUUAAGCUAAGAAGAGCAGCCUCCUGUGAGUGUGUACACGAGACCCAUGGGUCGACUGUCCAUAAGAAGGGAAAAGGGUGAAUCAUUUCCACCAAGAUGCGAAAGUUACCUUUUUGUAAUUUGAGAUUGGUUCAUGAGAAGAUCACAUACUUCACUAAUUUUGUUCUGUGAAAAAUUCUAUCACCUCUCUGUGUCAUUUGAGCUUUUCAGUUAGUGAUUACUUCUUUUUAUGUCUACAGCAUACAGAAUUGGGUUGAAGAUCUCUAUUGGAUAGUGGAAACAGCUUGAUGUACUACCCUGGCAUGCAUGGUGCCCUGGAUAGCUCUAAAGAUGAUUAUGCCUCUUGCAAGCUGUGGAUUUUUCUCGUUUGGAUUGAGUUACAGUCUUACUCUAUUGAUUUCUGCUUGGGUUAAUCAUGGAUUUUACUAUUCUUAUCUUGAUAUGACAAUUCAACCUGGUUUUUUGGAUGCUGUUAUAAGAACCAAGGAUUUAUAAGGGGACAUCAAUUUCAUGGUGACAGAGCAUUCUAUGGGAGGGGCUAUGGCAUCCUUUUGCGGAAUUGAUCUUGUGGUAAGAUAGUUAAAAACUGCUAUGGUCUGGAAUUGUGAAUUUUAUCGUUUUUUUUUCCUAUUGUGUUCUUCCAAUAUUCAGAUGAUAAUCUGUUAAGAGUCAUCUAGAAUUCUCUGCCAAAUCUUUGUUGAAGAGUCUAGGCUCUUUAUGUCGAUCUUGAACUUUCUAUUGCUCUCAUAUUUAUAUUCACAAUUCAUCAUAGACAGCAUCUUGUUUUCUUUCAGUUUUGGUAAGUCAAACCAUAGACAAAACACAAGCAGAAUGGGGUGCAAAUAGCCAUUUAUGCUAACCACCAAUUGUUUAAGUAUCUAGCAAUGUAAAUUGAGUCUUACCCAUAAAGCUAUGGAGCUUCAAGUUGGUCAAAUACCUAAAUAUAGUGGAUAAGGUCACUUCCAACUAAUCAUUACAAGGUUUACUUACUUGCUGGAAAAUUUAUGGAAUUGUCGAUAUGUUUAUGGUCUGGACAUAUAACUUUUUAAAGGACUUGAAGCUCAAGUUAUAUGUCAUGUAAUCUUGAAGUGCUAAUGCAUUUUAAGAUAGAUUAUAUAUCAAUCCUAAAUUUGUGUUUGGUGUACUGUUUCUAUCUAAGUCUCUCUCUAAUCAAAAGAAGCAGCUCCUCUUCAGUAGGACUACAAGGCCAGAUAUGUUGUAGGCUGGAGCCAAUGCUAAGAUGUCUAAAAUAUGCCUUUUUUCUCAGCUUUAUUGGACAGAGUGUUCCAGGGUACAUUUGGAGGCACCUGUUGCUCAACUGGUACCAGAAAUGGUGCCCAAUCCAAAAUCAUGUCCCAUUGAUUCUCUUCUCCAUGAAAAGUGGUGAUUUUUUAGAGUUAAACUUUAUCUUGAAGUCUGAUUACACUCAUGUUCAUGUGGCCUAUGAUAGGAUCAUAGGUUGCAUGGACUUUAGACUAUACCCUUUCUCAAAAUAUUAGUAGCAAGUAUAACAUCUUGUCAUAAAACUUUUAAACGAUUUAAAAUUUUAUUUUUGUUUACUGGUUUCUUGCUGAAAAUUUUGUCGAGCCAAUUGUGACGUCAUGCCCAUUCAUUGCGAUCCUUUUUAAGAUUGACUUUGUCCUUCGCUACUUUUGACAGUAAGUUUUGUAGUUCAAGGGGCAUUUUCACCAUGAACCAAGAAUUUUUUGUUUAUGUUAUUAGCAGGAUGUGACUCACCCCACCAACAUUCAAGUGCUUCUUGUGGAAGCAAUUAAAUGCGCUUCUGUUGUAAAUUCAUGUCCAAUCCCACUAUUCCAUAUUAUUAACACCUUUUUGUGGUGCUGAGGGUGGGUUUGGUUUUGUUGUGUGUGGGGUUUGGUGUUGGGAAACUUAUGGAUGGGAUCUUGACGGAGUUAACGCUAGACCUUCAAUUCUUAUGGAGACAAAGGGCUGUUCUAUUGUUCACCUUUGUAUAUGAAAUGCAAUAUAUGGUUAUUGAUGCAUAGUGUUUUUUUCCCAUCUUGGAAGGGCUAUUGAUGUAUUGACAUUCAAGUUAUUUGGCUGUCUAAUUAUGUGUGCUGAAACUGUCUUUUCCAGACCAGCAUUCGCCUGAUUUACUUAACCGAAACACUUUAUUUCCUGGUUAAUCAUGAAGCACAGAAUAUUCAGGUUUAAACAUUUGGACAACUCUGUAUUGGCAAUGCAGUGUUUGCAUCUUACUACAGUGACUGCAUACCAAAAACAUUACGUAUUCCUCCUGGACAAGAUUUUUUGUCUUAUUUGCCUCCGUACUAUUUUUGGUUCCCACAGAAGACAUACCAUCAAUUCCCUAGAGAGUUUUGGUGUUGAUCUUGACAGAAUAUCAAAUAAAUUAUGGGGAAUUGUUGAUGACUGAAUUUGAGGUUUGCUUUGCAUUUCUUUCAACCUGUCUAACAAGUGAAGUAUCAUAUAUUCCGGCAUUGUAUGUGUCACAAAACUGAUUAGAGAACCCGCAGCAAGUAGAAAGAGAGAAAGAAGGAAGAGAGAAGGAGGAGAAAGAGAACGUAAAAGAAAGAAAGAGAGGGCUGUAGUUUUUCUGUAAUCAGAAACCCUACACCCAUUGUAUUUAUAUUGAAUAUAAAUUGUAUAUAACAAUAAUAUCCUUAUGUAAGUAAAAAAGGAAAUAAAACUCUGAUAAUAAAGGAAACUCAAUUAAAGUAACUUAACACUCCCCCUCAAGCUAGAGCAUAUAGGUCACCCAUGCCUAGCUUGGAACAACCAACAACAAAAGCAGGAUGAAAUAAUGCUUUGGUAAACAUAUCAACAAAUUGAUCUCUAGAGGCAACGUAAGGAGUAGCAACCAUAUUCUGCUUCACAGCAUCACGAACAAAGUGACAGUCAACUUCUAUAUGUUUAGUUCGCUCUUGAAAAACAGGAUUCCCAACAAUAUAAAUGGCUGCUUGAUUAUCACACAUCAUGUCAAUAGGUUGAUUAAUAGAAAAUCCAAGCUGCUGGAGAAGAGAUUUUAACCACAACAAUUCAGCCACAGUAUGUGCCAUAGCACGAUAUUCAACCUCUGCACUAGACUUGGCAAUGGUAGUUUGUUUCUUACUUCUCCAAGUAACCAAAUUACCACCAAUAAAAGUGCAAUACCCAGUUGUAGACCGUCGAUCAUAUGUUGACCCAGCCCAAUCAGCAUCAGAAUAGCCAACCAAAGUGGAAGAACCAUUAGAUUUAUAAAUGAGUCCCUUACCAGGAGAGCUUUUAAGAUAUCGAAGAAUGCGACAUACAACAUCCCAAUGAGCUUUCUUAGGUGACUCCAUAAACCGACUCACCACGCCAACAGCAAAAGAAAUAUCGAGACGUGUAACAGUAAGAUAAAUUAGUUUCCCAACUAGACGCCGAUAUUGAUGCUUGUCUUCAAUUUCUUUUCCAUCAUCAACUCCAAACUUUUGAUUUUGAUCCAUAGGAGUAUCAACUGGCUUGGAAGCUAGUGUACCUGUCUCAGACAAAAGAUCAAGAACAUACUUUCGCUGAGACAAAUUAAUACCUUUUUUACUUCGUAAAACUUCAAUUCCCAGAAAAUAUCUAAGAGUUCCCAAGUCCUUAAUCUGAAAUUGCUGCUGAAGAAAUGAGUUAAUCUCAAAAAUGCCAGUCACAUCACUACCAGAGACAAUUAUAUCAUCCACAUAUAUCACAAGAAUGACUACCCCCGAUUCCUUCUUGCGAACAAAAAUAGAAUGAUCAGAAUAAGAUUGGUGGAAUCCACAUCUGGAAAUCACCGAACUGAAUUUUUCAAACCAUGCUCUUGGAGACUGUUUCAACCCAUAAAUUGCCUUAUGUAGCCGACAUACUUUACUACGAUUCUCCCCCUGAGCAACAUACCCAGGAGGUUGCUCCAUAUAUACUUCUUCAGACAAAUCACCAUAAAGAAAAGCAUUUUUGAUAUCUAAUUGAUAUAAUGGCCAAUCGAAAUUCACAGCAAGAGAAAUAACAACACGAACAGAGUUGAGACGUGCCACAGGGGAAAAAGUCUCAAAAUAAUCCACUCCAUAAGUUUGAGUAAAACCUUUAGCAACGAGUCGAGCUUUAAGACGCUCGAUUGAGCCAUCCGGAUUGUACUUGAUAGUGUACACCCAACGACACUUCACCACAUCUUUCCCAAGGGGAAGAUCAACUAAUGACCACGUUUGGCGAGAGACUAGAGCUUCCAUUUCCACAUCCAUAGCUUUCUUCCAUUCAAGGCGAGACAAAGCCUCAGUGGUAGAAGUAGGGAUUGUGUGAGUUUGUAAUGAUAGAGCAAAGUCAUGUAAUGGAGAAGGAAUAUGUGAGAGAGACACAUAACGCUCAAUAGGGUAAGCCAAAGAGGAUUUUUGUGUGCAAGACCGAGUACCUUUGUGAAGGGCAAUAGGAAGAUCGUCUGGACUAGGAGACAAGGAGGAAGAUUGAUUGGAGGGCAUUGAAGAGCUUGAGACUAGUGGUGCCGUAGACUGCUUUCGCUGCUGAUACACCUACAAUGGAGGAAAUACUAGAGACGGACUAACAGAAUCUAAGGAGAUUUGUUGUGGGAUAGGAGGAUCAGCUACAAUGUCAGUUGAAAACUCUUUACCCUCAGUAGAAUAGUAUGGUGUGCCCUCGAAAAAAGUAACAUCAGCACUAACAUAUUGAGUAUAAGUUGUAGGAUCAUAACACCGAUAUCCCUUCUGUGUAUGUGAAUACCCGAGAAAAAUACAUUUAGUAGCACGAGGAGAUAGUUUAUCAAAACCGGAACGUAGGUUAUGAACAAAACAGACACACCCAAAGACACGCGGGGUAAGAGAGAAUAACGGCUUGUCAGGAAAUGCAACACUGAUUGGUGACUGAUGAUUGAGGACAAUGGAAGGCAUACGAUUUAUGAGGUAACAUGCGGUAAGGACAGCAUCACUCCAAAAUGAUUUUGGCACAUUCAUAUGAAAUAAGAGUGAACGAGCAACUUCUAGAAGGUGACGGUAUUUUCUCUCGGCCACACCAUUCUGCUGAGGGGUAUAAGUACAACUUAUUUGAUGUAUAAUGCCAAGAUUAGAACAAAACAAAGAAAUUGAUUUCUGUGUAUAUUCUAGAGCAUUAUCUGUUCGCAAAAUUUUCAGGGAUGUAUUAAACUGAUUAGUAACCUCACGAUGAAAUAAUUGAAAAACAUGUAAAAAUUCAGAGUGGUCAUGAAGCAUAUAGAGCCAUGUUAAACGAGAAUAAUCAUCCACAAAAAUAACAAAGUACUUAAAACCAUUUCUACUAGCAAUACGGGAAGGUCCCCAGAUGUCCGAAUGAACAAGUUCAAGUAAAGUAGAUGCACGAGAAUCACUACGACUAGGAAAUGAACUACGAUGAUGUUUCCCAAGUUCACAAGCCUCACACUCAAGAGUAGAAAUUGAUUUACACUCGGGAAUUAUUUGUUGUAACUUAAAUAAAGAUAAAUGCCCUAAACGAGAAUGCCAUAAUAGGGGGGUAAUAGAACUAGCAGCUAGACCAUUGGCGUCAGCAGUGGAGAGACCAUUGAGAUAGUAGAGUCCAUCACAUUCAUGUCCUCCACCAAUCAUCUUCUUUGUCUGAAGGUCCUGAAAAAUGCAAUGAGAUGGAUAAAAUGUAACUGAACAACUAAAAGCUUUAGUUAACUGACUAACAGAUAACAAAUUUAAAGGAAGUUGGGGGACAUGUAAAACAGAGGACAAAGAUAAGGAAGAUGUAAGUGAAACAGUCCCUGAUCCAACCACUUGAGUCGAUGAACCAUUAGCUAAAAUAACUUCGGAUGAAGGACUAGAAUUAGUGUGGGAAGAAAAUAGUUCUUGCUUACCCGUCAUAUGACUAGAAGCCCCCGAGUCAAUGACCCAAGAGGCGUUAGGAGACAAAGUAGAGAAAGAGGCCAUGUUACCUGUACGUGCAAGAGUAGCAGUGGAUGAGAAAUUGGAAGCCUCUAGUUGUUUGACACGUUUGAUGAGUUGUGCAACCAUAUCAUCUCGAGUCGUAGACUCAGAAGAACUACCCCCAAGUGGAAGAGAUGGGUUCAUGUCGUUGUAAGACACAUUUCGAGCACUCUCUUCAGACAUAGCAGCAUUUGCAAUAACCUUGGCCCAACAAGUGUCAACAAUAUGACCGAAUUUGCCACAGUGUAUACACUGACGGCUAUCUCGAUCAGAACUUUGUCCACUACGUCCACCACCGCGACUACGAUUUCCCCCGAAACCACGACCUCUAUUGGAAAAUCCACCACGACCACGACCACCACUACUAGCCACAAAUGCUGAAUUGUCUUUAGAUGAAGUAGAAGACGGAGGGAUAAUGCGCUGAAUUCGACAAAAUGCUUCAUUCAUAGAAGGAACUCUCUCUCCAGCAAGAAGCUGACUCUUCACAGGCUGUAAGUCAACAUUCAAGCCAGAUAGAAAUUUGGCCACUUGAAAUUCAGCUCGUUGUGUCUUUAGUCUCUCAAGAUUAGUAGUGAUGGGCUGAUAAAGAUUGAGUUCUUCCCACAUACCUUUCAAAGCACUAUAAUAUUCUCCAAGAGAUUUGUUUCCCUGUUUAAAAUUAAAAAUCUUCUCAUAUAGUUCAUAAACUCUAGACAUAUUUUUGUCUUGUGAGUAACUCUCCAUAAGAUCAUCCCACACUCCUUUAGCAGUUGUGUGGAACAUGACAUUAGCAGCGAUGGAUGGUUCCAUGCUAUUCCAUAACCACACCAGAAGUGUAUCAUUCUCUCUCAUCCAACCAUUAUAGUCUCUAGAAUUUUCAUCAGGAGGGUCUCUGGUAAGAUAAUGAAGUUUCCCUUUGGCAUUAAUAUAGACCUUCACAGCUUGGGCCCAUAACAAGUAAUUGGAGGAUCCAUUUAAUUUAAUAGUGGUAAUUUGAACGUUGACACUAUUUGUAGAAGCCUUAGUAUCACUCAUGAUGAUAAUCUCAAUAUAAGUAUAUCUACCACUAAUCAAGGAGGCUGAAACUUUAGUGCAAGUAACAAAGCAGCAACGCUAAUGUAUAAUCAGAUGUAAUUGGCUUCAUCAAUUAACCAAAGGGAUGCUGAAAACUCAUAAAUAGAGACUGCUGUAUAGAAGAAAAUAUCUGACUAGAAAUCUCGAUUCAAAUAAUUAUAUGUUUGACGGAAAACCAGCAAGACUAGUCAACCAUAAUCAAUAGAAUAUUCUGAUUCUUGAAUCCGCUGAUCAGCAAGUGUUGUAAUCCAUGUUCAUAAACCGAACCUGAUGAAUCCGAUAUCUUCUGAUCUCAUAUGUAUCGAGACUUGAAGAGAAAACAGAUAAAAAUUGCAGCUUUAGGUGGCUACGCACCAGAGAAGAAGUAGAGUUACUAGGGGACUCUCAAACCAGCAAUAUGAUUAAGUAAUCAGAUAGUUAGACCUACUCUGAUACCAUGUCACAAAACUGAUUAGAGAACCCGCAGCAAGUAGAAAGAGAGAAAGAAGGAAGAGAGAAGGAGGAGAAAGAGAACGUAAAAGAAAGAAAGAGAGGGCUGUAGUUUUUCUGUAAUCAGAAACCCUACACCCAUUGUAUUUAUAUUGAAUAUAAAUUGUAUAUAACAAUAAUAUCCUUAUGUAAGUAAAAAAGGAAAUAAAACUCUGAUAAUAAAGGAAACUCAAUUAAAGUAACUUAACAGUAUGUACUCUCUUUUUUCAGCUUAUAAAUUAUGACUGUCUUGUUUGUUUUUCUUCUUAACAAAGCAGGGUAGUAUGUAGGACUCAUCACGUUAUAAUUUACUUCAUGAUGAGUUUUUCAUAUCAAUUCCAAAGUUUAAGGCACAUAAUGAUGUUUAUUAUACUCUCUCUCUCUCUCUCUCUCUCUCUCUCUCACACACACACACACACACACACACACACACACACACACACACACACACACACACACACACACACUAUGUAUGUCUACUAAUGCGUAUAAUUAUUAGUGACUAGCUCAAGGACAGCCACGGUUGAACAUAUUAAUGUGAGAUGAAAAUGAUUUGAUUCCACCUGCUUCUCUAAUGACUAAUCAUACUAUGUAUGUCUACUAAUGCGUAUAAUUAUUAGUGACUAGCUCAAGGACAGCCACGGUUGAACAUAUUAAUGUGAGAUGAAAAUGAUUUGAUUCCACCUGCUUCUCUAAUGACUAAUCAUACUCGUAACAGUUUUCAUGUAAUCGGAAUCUUCCCUUUAUUGUAGGUAUGGCUAUAUAACAUAGGCUUUGGUAGUUAUCAGGUUGAGAAAGUUUGUGAUACCUCAGGAGAAGAUGCAUCAUGCAGCAAGUGAUGAGCUAGUUUCAGUCGAAGCUACUUGUUCAAACAAUUAUUUUGUGGAUUUAUCAUGCAAAAUGCAAUAAGCCGUGAUGGACCAGCUUGUCCUAGAGAAUGUCCUUUGUUACUAGGAAUAUUUGUGGACAACUGAUCAGGGUAUUUUCCUGCAGAUUGGUAACCGGUAACAGCAUUGUGGACCAUUUAGUCUCUCUAUAGUGUGCAAUUAAUGGCUAAAACAUGAGAAUCAUGCAAAAUCGUCACGGACACUAUUGACGAAAUGUGGAGGCGAAGAUGUCAAAGGAAAUCUUAUGCUUUCCAGGAAUCCUUUUGUUUCUGCAUUGAGGCCGCAUUCAGACUCUGAUGCCAAGAGGAAAUUCAGUUGAAAUGCUCCUGGGUCAGUACCUGGAUUCUCAAAGAUCAUCAGGGACCUUUGUGAUGAAGUUUGGUCACAAAAUGCAUUCCAUCGAUCUGUUGUCCAUAUCCAUCACAAGAUACAGAGGAGCUCUACUCUAAUUUACUCUGAAUGUAAAUAGCACAAAGUUGAAGGUAUCAUCCUUGUAAAUACAACUCCAUGGUUUCAAUUGAAUAAAUAUGUUCGCAAGUUUGCCUGUCAAUCUGUUAUUGGGCUUGGGGCUUUGUUACCUGACUUGAUGUGUGGAUGCUGAGCUGAGCUACAUUCAUAGUUGAAUGACGCAGCUAUUUUCCCUUGGUUUAAUGUGUUGAAGAAAUCCUUGAAACUGUAAACAGAAAAGACAAUCGCCAGAGAUGACCAAAAGCUAGUUUGCUAGACAUGGUUAUACUGUUUCGAUAGGAUAUUGCAGCGUAAUUUCACUGUGACAAAGUCAACGAUGCCUGGUGUACACCGUCCAUUCGUUUCCAAUGUACAGCCAAACAGCAGUGUGGUUUUGUGCUCUUCAGUAUCUAAUGCAUAAUGUAAGGUUCAUCAGUGAUUUCGUGGAUGAUUCCGACAAUUUGUUUUCAAUAAUCUAACCGCAGCGAUUGAGAGUCCACUGGGGAAGAAUGGACACAAAACAUCAGAUCCCUAUCCGAAAUUAGGACGGGCACAUGCCCACAUUGUCAGGCAUAUCGGAGAUAAAGAUGUCCACUGUUAAUGAUUGUUCAAAUAAGUUUUAGCACUAGGCUCCAAACUCAUCAUAGAGUACAAUUUAGGAAAAAAAAAGAAUGGCUCCUCAUAUCUAAGCACGAAAAUUGGUUCUUUAUGUGCUGCGACGCUCUCAAAAUUUUCUCUGUCAAGGACUUGCGGACAUCGUGAGACCAUUAGUCUAUAGGAAUUUCAAGCUCAGAAUAAAAUACUGAUACACUGCUAUACAUUUGAUAUGUCAAAACAAAAAAUAAAGCGCCAAUAUUGUGGUCAUUAUUUCAAGUUUAGCUCAACCGCAUUUGAACAAGUAUAUUUGUUCUAAGUCCUUUAAAAUCUAACUCUGCGACUCUAUCAUUAUGAUUUGACAUGUGAUUCAAGGUCCUCUUGUUUUCAACUUCUACUUCUGAUGAGUGUAAAACCACAAGGCGAUAGCAACAAGGGGAGUGAUAUGUAGGAACAACGAUCAUCUCUCCAACCCCAAUGCGCACAUAAAAAAUCCCAUAAAUCACAUCCAGUAGCUCCAACCCUUGAGUCUGUUCUCUGUUUGACAAUUUUUGGUGUCAAGAACCGAACUACAUCACUGUAAUUUUACGUAACUAAGGUAUAAAAGCUGCUUAAGAUUAGUUAUGGGAUUCUCGCGAUGCUGCUUCUUCGAUUCAGUUGCUCUUUGCUACUUCUCCGGUUGCUAAAUGAGCCACAAUUUCCUGCAAAGAAACAUAGUUCCAUUAACUUUGUUAAGAGUUAACCAUCUCAAUCAGAAAACCAGCUCAAAAAGUCCGUCUGAGAUGUUUGUACCUCUUGGUCUCAACGUCAAUGUUUAAUGCGUAGUAAAUGUAUCAAAAUCAAUGGAAAAGAAUGGGUUGUGUAGAUUAGCGUGAAUAUAAUCCACGUCAAGACAUAUGUCUGCGAACCUGUACAUGUGAUCUUAUGAUCCCGAAUACAUGUAUCUAUUAUUCUAACUCAGCAGUUAAAUUCUCGGAAGAGUCAUUCAAGUACAUCAUCAGGAGCAGAGUCAUUUUCCUUCUUCCCCAAUUCCUCUUCCUUUUCCAGUCCAGUUGGAUUCUUCUCUUCCACCACCACUUUAUCUUACUCGCCCUCCUUCACACGUUCAUGCCGAGGCAAGUUGUACUCGGAGGAGAGGCCCUCAGACACGAUCCCUUCCGGCACUUCCUCGUCUCUUCUGGGAGAGAAGUAAUGAUCCGGCGAGUCGUGGGAUGUGAACCUCCCUGGCUCUGCCUCUUCCUCUUCUACUAGCGGUUCUGUCUCCGGCUCUAGCUCCUGCUCCAGCUCAAUCUCCUUUUCUUCCUCUACACGCUUCUCUUCCUCUCUGUCUUCAUCCUCGGCCUUUGUUUCUUCUUCUUCUUCGUUCUCUUCUUCUUGUUCAGACUCGGGAUGUUCAGUUAUGUCCUUAACAUCAGCCGCAUUUUCUGUAUCCUGGCUCACCGCAUUAUUGAUUUCUUGUUGCACGAGUAAUGCCGCACCUCUCCCAAUUGCUUCCAUCUAAAUAACGUUCUGUUCCACUUGUUUGUUCUUCUCGGGAUUGGCGCUCGAAACUCCUACUUUUGACUCCCCGCAACCCAUUGUCAUAAAAAGGAACGUCAAUCGAGAGGAAUUUGAUUGGGGUAUUGAUUCUCUCUGCCUUUGUGCAUCAGAUUGAAAUGAAGUUUCGGCUUUUGUCUUCUUUGCCCGUUGCAGUUUUGAUUUGCUGAAGCGGGUUGUAUCCGUGGUUGACAAAACGACAGAUCGUUUCUUGUUAUCGGUGGGGUUUUCCUUUCUUUGUCUUUUUUUUUUUUUUCAACCCAACCUUAGUUCAAUGAAAAACAUACUUUACAAUUAACAUAUGAUGCAUCCAAGCAAAAUUCAAUAUUGAAAAGACCGAAUUAUUCCCACUCAAAAACUUGUUUAAAUCUCUUGCUCCAUGUUUGAGUGAUUUAAUUUUCAGUUGGUUUUAAGUGCUUUUGAUAGGUAAGAAUUUAGGAUUUGUGAAUUGACAUUUUUCGAGAGAUAAUGACAUUCUUUUAUAAAAAGAAACACAAGGCUAAUAGAUGUAAAAAUGUAGAAAAUGAUAUAUAUAUAUAUAUUUAUAUUUUUUAACAUCAAUCGGCCUCAUGAACCAAAAUUCAUAUGGUCGUCAAACAUGGAAUUGCUUACACUUAAUCACGUUGAAAAUUGAACUUAGCCAAUUUUUCAAAUUCACAUAUAAAUUAUUUUCUGAACCACUAAAUCAAAAUAGACAAAGAGUAAAUAUGUUAGAAAGUGAAAUAUCAUAAAAAGAUGAAUUAUAAUAAUGUUAACAAAUUAACAAUCCAAAUAUUACUAAUUAAUCCCACAAAUGGUUUACUUCACCAAAUGGAAUUUAAAUUUCUCUCGAGUUGCCAUAAUUUAUUUUUUCCUUAGGCUAAAUAAUAAGCAUCUCCAAACAUAUAUCCUCUCUACAUAUAUUACGCCAUCUUCUUCCAUCUUGAGAGUGUCGUUUGCAAAAGUUCUUUUAAUUGUUCCACACCGUAAGUGGCCAUGGACGCCGCCACAGGAGAACAUCAAACUUCAGUAGUUAUCAGUUCGAGCUGUUUCUAGUAAUUACGCUCUUCAUAAUUUUCAAGAAAAAUAAAUCUAAUCAAACUGCAGUUCCAUGGUGUAACUCAUUUUAGGAGAUUGCAGCAAUUAAUUGUCACUGGGAGUACAUGAUUUAAUCAGAACCUAUGUCUGUAAAUCCUUACUUAGGCUAAGAAAUUGAAUUGCAUGGUUCACUUAAUCCGUGAUGAUAGAGACUAAGGGUUGACAAAAUUGUAGGUAAGAAGGCCUUGUGGGAGCAUAAUGUCUAUUGAUUGACCCCUACAAUUGGCUCUGCAAACCAUCUUUUGGUAAUGAUGAAGUGUAUCUAUAUCAGGCAAUUCUUUUUUCCAUUUGUUUUAUUUACACUAUUCUUCUGCUAACUUGGGGUAUUGCAAUGCAGCAAUAUGCUAAAGAGCACAAAGAUGCUAACCUCAUGCAGGAAGUUAUGAAGCUUUUGAAGAAGAAUAACUUGCCAUUGCAACCCACCACGGCCGAUAUUGUUUUCAGGUUCACUUCGGUGCUGUUUCUCCUGAGAAGGAUGUUAUUAUCAUGUAGUAAGCCAUUAUUGCACUUAAUUGUGUGUUAUGUACUGCAUAGUUAUCAAGCAAUUUAUCCAAUUUAUAAGUGUCAUUUAUAUACGAUUUAAUCAACUUGUUUUUAUUUUGAAUUAUUUUGUCUGCACUGCUACUCUCGAUCUAAUAGUUUGCUCAUGUUAUUUGACAUCCUUUCUUUCCAUGGAAAAAUUUUGCAGCAUUUGUGAUGAUACAGACAAUUGGGUGUUGCUCACAAAGUAUUCAAAGAGAUUUGUCAAAAUUGGAGUGAAUUUGCAUAAAGCUGCAUUUGACAUCUGGAUGGAGUUUGCUGCAAAAGUAGGUGAGAAACACUAGCUCUGUCUCCCUUCGCUGCUCUCAAGCCCUUGUCCCUCAACAAUCUUAUUUUCCAUUUCUUCCCACAAAUAGUUUUCUCAUCCACGUCCCGCCACUUACUACAAAAGAUGGGAUGUGCUAGAAUAUUUUCUUCUGUACGGUGAUUUCUUUCUCUCCUUAAACAAAAGGGUAGAAAUAAGAAAUAAAAAGAAUUUUCGCUGCGCCAUGUCUUUCAAUGUCUUUGUUUCUUUAAUUGUUCUGAGAUUAUGCUUCUUUAUCCUAUUUAGUGGUUUGACGAAAAUUACCCUUUUCAGGAGAUUUGAAUCUCUAUGGAAAACUGAGAAGUUAAGAUGUGAGUCCAUGAAGCAGCACACCCUGGGCAGUGGAUUCUCAUGUGCGAAGGUAGUUUACAAAGGCAGACUGUUGAAAUCACAAAUAUCAGACCCUGAAAGCACUAAGUCUUCUUGCAUUAGAAAAUCUGAUAAUGGGAAAAUAUUAAUAUUGCAAUACAGAUCAGUACAAAGUUCUUGGUAAACCAGGUGAGAGGUCUAUGGCCGAAAAAAGCGAGAGUUAAUGAUUGAAUAAACCAAAUUUUGGCUCACAUCCUAGGACAUGAAACACCUAUGGGCAUGAGAAUGCUUAUUGUCACAACACAAAGGAGAUAAUAACUACUUUUUCGGUAUUUGGAAGCAUUUAUUGUGGCUUUUAGCACUCUGGUUUAAUAUUAAAAUUUAACCGACUGUCAUUUGCUUGUUUUGUGGCAAGCUAAAUGGUUUUAUAACCAAUUUUUUGUGCAGGGAUCUUUACUUGAAGGCAAACCUGAGGAGGCUGCGACAGUCAUUCAUGUCUUGAAUCAGGUCCUCCUUGCUUCUCCGAGCAUCUAUAGCUAUUAUUAAUAUGCUCAUCAUCACCAUCUGGCAUGAUUGCAAUCCUAAAUUACCUCAGCCUCUGAAUUAGUCUUCAAUUUUCCAUAUACUGUCAAGGAAUAAAGCAAUUAGUGGAAAAUAUACAGAAUUGUCCCCCAAAAUGUGCUCAGAUAAAAUUACCAUGACAUAUCCUCUCUCGAGGGGGACUGAGUGAUUUGGGUUUCAUAUUUGGUGCAUGCUAUACUAUUAAAAUAACACGGCUUAGUUCCAUGGAUCCUAAUAGAGUUCGAAAGAUCAUCUCAGACUCCUCCUGAAUUGAAUAAAGUUGGAAAUUCACCUAUGUAGGCUCUGUUUGUUCAGAUGUUGCUUCUUAGGUCUCACAAUGUGAAUGCCUUGGAUUGAUGCGAGAGUUUACCUGAUGCUAAGAGGUCCAGCAUUGUGGUUGAACUUCAAAAGCUUGUCAGUGAGUGGGUUUUCGAGGUCAUCAAAUGGAAGAAAGAAGAUGACCGCAAGGUACUUCCUUUGACUAAAUAUCCAUCACUUUGGGUAGAAGUAGAAACGUUGCUUGUUUGCAGUUAUAUAUUGCUCUGGUAAUGUUUUCUCAAUCGUUCCCUUUGCUGGAUGUAUAUAUGCUGCAUUGAACUAUCUCAAAAUUUUUAAAACCUCUCAUUCUUUUCGCUCAUGUAGGCAUUGGCUGCUUCUUUCAAAUCCAAUAUCCCGGCCAUGGUUAGUUUCCCUAUCAAACACGGGCUUGGAGGUGAAAGUGAAUAUGGAACAACUAACCACCAAAGGCGCCCUUUGUUAAAGUAUGACAGAAUUGGAGAUUAAAUGCACUAGCUGCAGAUCUGUCUCCUAUGUGGACCGCUAAGGUUGCCAUUUUAAUUUAAACCGAUUCCGCUGAGAAGCAAGACAAGCGUGGUACUCACGUCUCGAGCAACAAGCAUCUGAAGUUCUCUUGUGAAGGUCCCUGAACCAUGAAAAGAUCUGCUCCUUCUUGAUUUGAAUGUUGUCACUUCUGUACUCUGGAAUAAUGAUUCUUUUCUUUCCCCAAAAAAUCUGAGUGUAUUAGAUACGAUAGGUGCAUCGUCAGCAAUUGAAUUCUGAGAACAACCUCGGAUGACUAGUUUUUGCAGAGAGGAUUCUUUUGGCUCACGCAUUUUAGAUUGGACCAAAUGGGCAGUUAAGAGAGACAAUUGAUAAGGUGGUCCUUUCAAUUUCAAUCUGAUUUGGCAGCCUAUUUUGUUAUAUUUCUGACACAAUUUCGCUGUCCAAAAUUAAGAGUGAAUUUAAUGCCGACUCAUUUGAUGUUGGCAUACAGCGACCGCCAUGGCUUCCUGAUUUAAUCGGAUCGAACCGUCCAAUCGUGGUGCCAAAGUGCAUAACAUAAAUUACAUCCCCUUUUACGUCAUGAAAGAAAACGAAAACCUGAAUUACCAGAAAUGGCUUCGGUACCCACAUGCGUGGGUGGGUGGGUGGGUGGGUGCGUGCAUUUUGUGCAUUUUGUGCAUUUAAGGCGUAAAAGAGGCGACAAAUGCAAUCCUCUAGAAUGAAAACAUGCGCAAAUUUUAACAAUGAAUUGACAUAAUUGUAAUAGAUAUGAGACUUUUUUGGUAAUAUAGGACCAAAUUUGAAUUCAUACAAUAAGCUUACGACUGAAUUUGCGAUUCUCCUAGCUCAACACCUUAAGCAGUAAUUAAGCUCUUCAUAUGUUCACCUGCCAUAACCUAAAAAAAGUCAAGCAUGAUCAUGGUGAAAGAAAAGGUCCAAAGAAUCCUUCCCUUGGAAGCAAACAAUCGAAUCAUUCUUGUUGCCUAAAAGAAUCGAGCAUGAGCUUUGUUUACCCAACUCAACUGCAUAGACACGGAGAAGAGGCUUCAGAUAUAAGAACUUAACAGGGUACAUCACAAGAGCAGGAUCUGAUGAAAUGUAACAUCGUACAUUUUCUUUGAAGAUAUGGAAAUGAAUAUUCAAAGCCCAAGAUUAAUCCUGGGAAAAAUGGAAAAGUAUGGAACAACAAACUUUGAUUUGCAUCACAUGAAGCAAAGAACCACGUGAUAAGUGAAUUCAAGCAUCCUGUGGAAUUCUAUUGACACUGGCAGCUUCUACUGAUUCCUGUUCUGCCACAACUAUAGUCCUGGAAGGCCGCUUGUUAGGAGUCAUUUGGAGGCAUUGUAAAGCAAGCUGUGCUAUUUGGAAUGCAGAAUCUGUAUAUGUAAGGUAUAGGGAUGGUAUAAAUUUGGUUCCCAUUUCCUGCAGGUCGCAACAUUGUGAGCGACCAGCUUCUUCUAAAAUAUCCAGUGUUUCUUUUUCAGUAAUUGGAGCAUCUGCAGAAAAUGAAAAGUUAUGUGGGCAAUACAACUGUACAUUUUAUGCCAAAGGAUUCAAGUAGCUAAAAGGAAAACACACCUUGUAUUUCAUAGAGGGGAUUAUAGUGAACCUCACACCAGAAACACAACCAAAACUCUGCAUCAAUUGAAAGUAAGGUUAACAAAAGGAAAAACUCAAAAAACAUGGAGUUUCAAAAGACCAGUUGCACAUUGAACAAAAGCAACAGUAGAUCAAUUGCAAAUGUUUACACCUAGGUUUAAAAUCAAUCAAAUAUAUAUUGAGCCAUACCCAAGCAGCUGUUCUAAGCAAGCGAAAGAACAAAUAUUUAAGUUCCCCAGAUGAACAACAAGCAAAGCAUCACAAAGGAGGAUCUAUGCGUAUAUGUAUGUGAGCAACACUCUUUUUUCCAAGACAAACGAGAAGUAAAAUAUCAACUUCACAUUCAUCACAUUGCACGGACUGAUCAUUUGACCCAACAAAACAACUAUGAAGAAGACUAGCAAGCAAUACCCUAGGCAGAGGGAACUUAUAAAUCCAAUGGCCCAACAAUAAUCAAGCUAUCAAUAUAAGUAUCAUCAAGAGGUUAUAGACCUCCUUCAGGCUCUCCAACAUCAACCAAAUAAGCAUUGAACAUCAAUGACUCACCGGAACAAAUAACUUCAUCAUUCUUCAAAAUUCUGCAUUCUGACAGCUGCUUGCUGCCAUCAUAGGGCAUUACCUAUCAUAUAUCCGACCAUCAAUCACAGCAUGGACUAAUCUACUCCAAACAAGCUCAAUCACGGAGAGCAUUACAACCAAAAGCACAGAACAGAACAAUAUGUGAUAUAGAAAAAAUGAAACCCUAGGCAGCAUCGAGCUGCUGCCAUUAAGUUCAAUGCUGCUGCCAUUAAGUUCGAUCGAGCAAGCUAAAUGAGGGAAAACUGAUGCAGCCCGCAUUGAAGAACAACUCUCUCGACCAAGAAGAUCGGCCCGCAUUCAAGCUCGACGAAACCGAGAAGCCGUAACAAUAUCUUGAGUCCAUUUUGGAAGCUUGAAAUACACCUUGGGAGCUCGCGUGACGUGCAGAGUGAGAGGCAGCUGUCACAAUAGACCAUGCGUUUCAGCUUUCCAUGCUCUUUACUAUUUCGUGACAUUCCAGCACACGCAGACUCAAGCACGUAACUCAUUUCAUCAAACACCAAAAGUGCACACUGGACAGCCAAACACUGGACAGGCAAAUCUAGAUGGUUCACACUCACACGAAGCAUAAUUCAGCACACUAAUUACAAACACGAUCCAAAAGCAGUUCAGGAUUGAAAAAGAAAACAAGAGCACAACACCGAUCCGCUCCUAGAACUUACAUUGCCGGCUCAAAAUGCAGGCGUUGAGUCUAUCACAGAGCUGAAAGCUCUAACGUAUUCAUCCGUGGGAUUUUGUUGAGUCUGGAUAUUCUGUAUAAGGGCAACAAGGAUGGUGAUGCCAGACUUCUGUCCCUCAAGAUUCCGUUUGAUGCGAUGUUCAUUUUCCUUAAUCAAAACUCCAGAGUUAGAGCUUAAGCUGGCAGACUUGAAAUCCAUAUCCUUGGUGCAAUUUCUCCCUCUUUACCCAACCUUGAUUGAGGAUGAGGACCACAAUACCAAUGUGUGCGCAGAAGCUCUCCCUGAUGCUCAUAGAGUUCAACUUGACUAAAAUUUCUGAGAUUCUACACCCAAAGACAGUCAGCCACUGCUUCAGAUUUUCACUUGGUGAUUUGUCCUGUGCAAAGGUGAAUGAUGUUGAGCUGCGCAUGGCUCUGGCAUCAGCUCCGAAUAUGGAUCCCAAGUUGCUUUCUCAGCUGAAAGUAGCAUGGCGGAUUGGAAAUCUUUUGGAGAUUGUACAUGGGAAGAAUUUGGAAGAUUUUCUCAAAUUGAUGCUUGGCUUGUGCAAAGCUCUUCUUUUAUGAUCACCAGGUUCUACGAAAUUUUUCACGUACAUGGAAGAGCCAACACUACCUGAUGAAAGUUCUUCUGAGGUGGCAAGUAGCAUAUGACAUAUAAUGGACUUUGGUGGCAGUGCCAGUGUUUUCCUGGAAUUGAGUGGGUCUAAUGACAGAAACAAUGCCGAUAUUGCUUCUGAAUGAACAGUUCUAUUUCUGAAGGCGGCCUCCAGGGAAGGUGCUCUCUUUUUCUCAGCGAUCUUUUGUAAGUGAGUGCAAUUCUCGAGUCUCAGCGAGACACCCUCCUUCUCUACUGGUACCAACGAAUGCUGCAUUCUCUCAGUUACAACUGUAGGAGAUGUUUGCUGCACAGAAUGAAAUUAUGAUUGAAGGCAUCGUGGCUGAGAUAAGAUAUUCUGGUGCUGCUGCUUUAGCCAGUGCUGCCACACUGGUAAUCUCGGAAUUGCGGUGGGUCCCUCAUUUAUGACUUCUCCAUAACAUUUACAAUUCCCACUAAGAAGCACACCUUUCCUGAAAUGAAAAAUAAACUUAACUUAAGCAUAGCAAUAGAGUGCCUGUCUACUUCAAAGUCGCAAUAAUGAGUUGAUUGUGCUGUAAAGUCCCAGGAUGAGAACAAUAGUCAUAUGACCUUCCAGCAAACAUUCCAUCUAUUUGUUUACAUCAUAACAAAGUUAUCUCCAAUGCAAAACGAGGUUAUCAAUUUCGAAAUAUAUGAAGAAGGAAAUCGACAAGGAUCUCUAAUAACUUGGUACAUAUCAAAUAAAAACGAUGCAAUCGACAUGCAUAUCUCUAGGAGAAAUCAUCCUAAGAAAAUGUAGCUAAAAAAGUCAAAUCAAACUAGGAAAAGAACACAAAUACUCGUACAUAAUUAAGAGCCCUCUGGCUGUUUAGAGGUAUCAUAAUUUCAAUGCUUCAUUAGAUUUUCAGACAAGAAUCCGCUAAAAGGUCAUUAAAAAGUGCAUGCGAAACUUCUCUGUUUAUAUUUGCGAAAGAAUUUGAUUGCGAAAAAAAGGAAAACGUUGGUACUUACCUCAAUUUGUUUAAAGUUUGAUCACAAGGUUAGAAUUUGUCUUCUUCCACAAAUUCGUUUCUUCAUCGUCUUCUCCCACAAAUUUGAUUGACUUCUCCAAGCAAAGCCGAGAAAUUUCCUCCACCGCUAAUUUCCCACAAAGUCUUAUUGUAACCUCUCGCAGUCCCUUCAAACUUGAUAGAUCAGGCAACUUCUGUAAAGAUUCACAGGAUUCAAUAUCCAAGUAUUCCAAAGAUUGAGGUAGUUCGCCUUGAAUCUCAAUCAGAUUAUGACAAGAUUCUAUUGUAAGAAGUGUUAGUUUGUUCCAAUUGCUUAGAUCAGGGAUUUGCAUCAGUUUAAAGCCACGAAGCAGCAACUCAUGUCCACCUGUACAUUUAAACAUCUGAUUGCGAAUAUGCACAUAAACAUAUGUCUUACCCAUUAAGCUGAACAGAUUGGGGAACUCCCGUAACGAAUUGCAGGAAUCAAUUGUAAGAUAAUCCAAAAACCGCGGUAGUUCGCCUUGAAUCUCAACCAAAUUACCACAACAGGAUACUCGAAUAUACCUUAGCUUGUUUAACUUGCUUAGAUCAGGUAGCAUUGCCAGCCGUCUGACUUUGUCAAUGUGCAAAUGUCGUAAGUUCUCCAAACAACCAAGGCCUUGAAUCUCUGCAACUGCAGAGCACAAAAUCGAGAGAGACGAUAGUUUCCUCAAAUUCGAUAGAUCCAUCGAGCAAAGUGAGUCGCAACCAAAGAGACUUAAGGAGGAUAAAUUUGAGGGAAGCCUCGGGAGGCGACGCGGAUGAGGAGGGAGGCUCAGGUCUGUCGAAGAGUCAAAUGAGUCAAAUGAGUCAAAUGAGUAGAAUGAAUCGAAUGAGUCGAAUAAGCCGUAUAAGUCGGUCUCCCCUAAAAAGAGUAGUUCCAUGGAUUCCAAUUUGCUUAAAUUCCCAAUCCACAGCGGUAUCGGUUCUUCCAGAAGCCUAUAAGAUUUCCCAGCACAAUUAGGUGAGCAAAAGAACAGAUACAAUACCUUUAAGUUAGCGAGAUUUGAGAGAUCCAGAAACGUGUCCACCCUCAACUGCCCCAGUUCUAAUUCGAUGAGACUUUCAGGAAGCCUUGGUAGGGCGUGUAUUCUCACCCCUCUCAAUCUCAAGAUCCUCAAGGAUUUAUUCUCGUAGAUGCAAUCACCAAUUUUCAAGUGUAAACACUUGUUAUGAUAAUCCUUGCAGACGACUUCUAUUUUUUCAAGCUUCUCCAUCAUCCAAAAGGCAUCGUGUAUUUUGCUUAUGACACUUAUCUUCAUCUUCACUACUUUCAAAUUCUUCAACUUUUUGAUGGAAUCGGGUAGUUCUUUGAUGUUCGUGUAACUUAUGUUCAACUCAAUCAGCGAUUCCAAAUUCCCGAUUGUCUCCGGAAGCCUCUUCAAACUCCGGCAUCUUUCUAGAGAUAGGUAUUUGAGGCUUGCAAGAUCUCUACACAGCUCAUCCGGCAGCCUCUGAAGUCUGCUACAAUUGCUUACAUCUAAGAAAACCAAGCGUUUCAACUGACAAAUUAAUCUAUCAAUUUCAAUUAACGAUUUAGAACCCGAUAGGAUCAAACAUUCUAAUUUUGAAUGAGCAGAUAAGUCGGGGGUUAUCUCCAAGAGUAGGCAAUGGGCUAGAUCUAGAACUUUCAAAUUCUUAAUCACCUGUAAAAGAAAAAUCAUGCAAAGCUUAUUUUUGAAUCUAAUAAGGCAAAAGGAUAAGUAUUGUCUAGCAUAUAACAAACCUUCAUGUGACUCCACCCUUUCCAAUCAUGCGUAAUUUUACUCCAAGAUAGAUCAAGAAUAAUCACAUUCUCCAUGGAGAAAUUUGUAAUCGCAAAUGUUGGCUGAAUAUUAUGCCAAGAAAACCAUUGUAAUCGUGGAAGGAGAUUUGAAUUCUUCUGGAAUACAUUAGUUGAAAGAAUAUCUAACGGCCUUGUGUGCCAAAAAUGCUCAACUUCAAGGAACGUUAGAUUGGGUAGGUUCUUGAAGUCCUCAUAGGUAAAAUGAUGCUGAUCGUCAAACUUGAGAUGAAGAGCUUCAACUUUUUUCUUCAUCUGUCAAAGAGAAAAAUUUGAAAAACAAAAGAGUUGAAGAGAAACACAUUUAUCCAAGUUCACUGUUUUAAGGGGUUGAGUUGAGUACUUAUAUUCCUUUAAUCUUAAAAGAGCAAAAAUAUUGGUUGAGUAGGUUGUGACGGUGCUAGAGAACACAAAAAUAAUUCCCUCCUUUUGAAAAGAAAAUGUCCAUAAGUAACUUGGAGAUUUAUUUUUAUAGGGAAAUUUACCUCAUGGCUCUUCAGCAGAUCCAAUCCUUCCUUGGGAUUCCACACACAACGUUGCUUCUCAAUUUUCAUCUUACUUUCUUGACGAACUAUUUCUCUUCCGAGGUCUCUAAGUUGAUCAUGCAUCCACAAUUUAUUCUGUUCAUCAAUUUUUAUCAAAGACAUGUUCUGCAAAACUUCCAAGGUUGCUUCUGGAAAAAGUUUAGAUGCAUCCCAAAAAAUAACUACAAUGUCUUUGCGAUAUCCAAUGAAAUGACAAGCUAUAUCAAGGAAUAUAUGCUUUUGUCGAGAAUCUAAUGCAUCAUAACUUAUUUUCAGCUUAUUUUGAACUUUAUCAUGAGGAACACUUUCUAACAAGUUCAAUGUGGCAUCCCACAUUUCCUUAACUUUGCUGGAUAAAAGUGAACCUAUGACUUCAAGGGCUAAUGGAAGACCUCCAGCAAUGUAUAUCGCUCUGUUGGUAUGGUUGAUGUACUCGUCUAAAGGAGAAUCUCUUCUAAAGGCAUGUUUGCUAAAAAGUUGAAGAGAUUGAUGGGCAUCCAUGCUCGUAAGCUCAUACAUCCAGUCCACUUCCGGAACAUGGAGAACAUCUUUCCUUCUCGUAGUAAUAAUAAGUUUGCUUCCUUCACCAAACCAAUCAUGCUUGCCUACAAGUGCAUCCAUAUGAUCCUUUUCUUCCACAUCAUCAAGAAGAAUGAGGGCUUUGUGAGUAGGGAACCUAUCUUUAAUGGUCUUAAUCCCUGCAUCAAUGUUUCUUAUAUCCACCCAUUUCAUCUUGAGGAUGUCGCAGAUGAGCUGCUGCUGCAAGUACUCAAUGCCCUUGAGCUUUGACGUUUCACGGAUGUUGGAAAGGAAGCAACAAUUGUUGUACUUGUUGGAAAGCUUAUUGAAGAUGAUUUUGGCAAUUGUUGUCUUUCCAAUGCCACCCAUCCCAUGAAUUCCUACAAUCCGCGUUUCACUUAUGUGAGCACCUAUCUCUUCCAUGAUUUUACCCACAUGGUGGUCCAUAUUGAUCAAGUUGUUUGAUACCACCAAAUAAGCCUUUUUCAACUCAUUGAAAACCUCCUGGGUAACUGUUUUCGCGAUCUCACCUUCUUCCCUAAUGUUUGUUGGAGGUCAAAUGGCAAUGAGUAAGAAAAUUGUCUUGAAUCAAACUAUGUUUCAACAAGAACAAAGUGAAAACUGAAGACCUAAGUGAAAUGUAUUAUAUAAGGAUUUACUCCAGUGUAGAUGAAUUAGCAUCGAUACACAUGAUUAUUGAAUGACCUAAACUAGGAAAGAAAAAAAAAAAGGUUGUUUGGUUAUGUGAUUUUUAUAGUAUAAUUUCAAUAGCAUAAAAUUCAAUUUCAACAAAACUAACACGAAUCUAGAAAAUAAACCAAUUGAACCACAUCAAGUUUCAAUGAUACAAGGCACAUCAAAGGAAUGAUAGAGGCAAUCACCUGUUGGGGAUGCUUUGCAAGUCCCAUCCAUCUAGUUCCCCAACUGCAUUGAGAGCAGCCUUCCACUCAUGUAUAGUCGCUUCAUCAUAUCGCUUCUUGUUUUCAUGUGAAAGAAAGGCCUCUUCAUAACACUUAGUUUGGUGUCGAACCUCUGAAGGUUCCACAUCAUAAAAAAUUGGCAUAAUCUUUUGUCCCCUAAUUUUUUGGCACUUGACCAUUUGGACUAGCUCCUUGAGACACCAUGCACUAGAGGCAUAACCCUUUGAAAAUAUAGGUAUUGAGAUCUUUGAUUCACUAAUUACUCGGAGAAGUUCUGGGCCAAAAUUUUCCCCCUUGCGAAGCUCUUUGUCAUCCUUAUAGACGCGUAUUCCUGCAUCUAUCAUACUAGUGUAAAGGAAGCUAGUAAAACCUCUUCGAGUAUCUUUUCCUCUGAAACUCAAGAAUACUUCAUAUUCAUAUCCUGAUGAAUUAACCAUUCCCUGACCUUCUGUCGUAGUGUGAGUAAAAGAAGCGCUCACUGCUAUUCCAUCAUUUUUACAGGUACGUUGUUUUUUUGCACUCCUCUCCAUUGAUUUCACUCGAUCUGAUCUUCAAGAAAUACCAAACAGUAUAUCAGCAAAAGCAGUGGCAGCUAGAGAUGGAAAAUGUUUAGAAGCCUAACUCGUAAAUAUUGAAGAUCUCUGUAGGUCAUUAAACUUAGUAGCCGGGAUAAGCUAAAUAUGCAGAGUGUCAUGGGCUAGUUUGCUACAAUUGUUUAAUAAGAAUAAUUCAUUGUAGCAUCACUCUCACUUGUCAAAGUUGACAAUGCAUGUGAACAUAGGAGUAUUAAAUCUCAAGGGGCGUUUUAACACCUUAAGGAGUUUUAAAUCUCCUGGGGAGAACGUUGACAUAGCACAAUACAAAGUUUUCAUUUUAAAUAAAAUGGCUCGCUCUUCUCAAAUCUUGAGAACAUAAAUUAUUCCCUAGGAGUUCUAAAUCCUAAGGGGAGAACAUGAACAUGCUCUCAUUUGACAUAACACAAUGCAAGGCAUUCUUUUUAAAAAGAAAAUUUCCACACUUCUCGAAUUUCUACAACAUGAAUUGUUUCUUCUUAAUGUCACUUUUGCAAAUAUGACCACCACUCUCUCUAGAAUAAAUCAAAAUAUUAACCAGAGUUAUUCAUGUGGUGGGAUAGUUGUAGUUUGAAAUCUUACACGUUUCCAAAAUUCCAUUAACCAAAAAUGGAGUUUCAUUUCAUGCAUGCUAGAGUUAAAGAACCAAUUAUAAACUUAAAGUAUAACUGGUAAGUACAAAUUGACCAAUAACUUGUGAGUCUGGGCAAUUGUUAGAAAGUCACUAAAAAAAAUAGUUUUUUUCACCCUCAAACCAAAUAGUGGAUUACCAUUUUUUUCUUUUAGAUUUUACAAAUGGGUUAGUAUUUUUUCUUGUAGAAUAUGAAUGCUUACAUAGUUUAUUAAUAGUCUUGAUUGAUGUUCCAACUUACAAACAAACUAACUAUUUUUACCCCUCUAAUAUCCAAGUAUGGUGUUAACAUUGUUUCGAAUUUAUGAGUAGCAAUGUUCAUUUGUAUAUACCAUGUGAACAAAAUAACAGAUUUACCAUGUGGAAAAUACUCUUGUAACUUAUGAGCAAUUGUGUGCCUUUAUAAGUAGGCAAGUAUUUUUGGUAGUAAAUUACGAGUUGAUUGCAUGCUUUGUUAGUAGUUUCGGUUAACAGCCGUAACUUACAAACAAAUAAGUAUUCUACAAGUAUAAAUCCUUACUAUAUUAUUAACCUUGUUUCGAUAUUAUGAGUUGCAAUUUUAUUGUUAGUAACAUGUUGACAAAACAAUUGAUUUACCUACUUGAAAUAUUCUUGCAGGUUACGAAUAGUCGUUUGCUUUUACAAGUGGCUGUGUUCUUCCUCUAGUAGAUUACAAGUUCCUUACAUAUUUUUUCCUAGCGACACCAGUUUAUAUUUGUAACUUCAUAAUAAAAAAACCUAAAUUUUUAGUAGAUUAUUAACAUUGUUUCGACGUGUAUUUCUCAGUAACAUACAAACAUAUUUUAUGCAAUUGUAUGAAUGCCGGAUGAUUGUGUGUAUUUGUUUACUAGUGAUAUUGAUGAUUAUUUGUAUUGAUGAAGCGUUCUACCUGUUUACAUGGUCAACUAUAAGACAUUGAUUAGAAGCUCCGAGAUGACUAAAUAUGCCACACGAGACGACAUGUUGGUACUGUUUUGAAAUGAUGUUGCAACGUGAUUGGAUAUUGACAAAGUUAACGAUAUAUAAUGUUUGGAACUUAUAUAAUAUACAACCAAAUAAUAGUAUGGUUCUGUGUUAUUCAGCAUCUAAUGCAUAAUACAAGGUUCAAUAGCAACUUCGUAGAUGCUUCCGAUAUAAUUAGUUUGUUUGAUAAUCUAAUCGUGGUGGUCAAGAGUUUGCUCUAUCUAGGGAAGAGUGGACAUAGAGUAUUAGCUUCCUUUAUAAUUACUCUAUAAAAUUAGGAGAGGCGCAUGCCAUCAUUGUUAGGCAUCUCAAAAUUAAAGAUGUCCACACUGAAUGAUUCUGGUAUUGGCACUAGGCUCCAACUUAAUAGACUACAAUUAUGAAAAGAAGAAGAAGAAGAUUCUUCUCAUAUCUAAGCUCGAAAAAUUGUUCUGUUUGAUAUUGGUCCUAGAGAUGUGCCCCUCCACUUUCCAAUAUACUAACAGUGUCGAAAUUUUUUCUGCCAUGGACUUGCAGACAUUGUGAGACCGUUAGUCUAUAGGAAUUCCAAGUUGAAAAUAAAAUACCGAUAUACUACUAUUCAUUUGAUGUGUUAAAAUAAAAACUAAAUGCCAAUAUUGCAGCCAUUACUUCAAGUAUAGCUCAACGUUCAAAUUGGAUUGGAACAAGGGUAUGAGUCUAAGUACUUUAAAUCUAGUCUCCAUGGCUCUGCGCCUCUGCCUCUAUGAUUUGAUCAGCUUAUGUGAUUCAAGGGUCCUGUUGCUCUCAACUUCAUCUUAAGAUAAAGUGUAAAACCAAUUGAUGAUAAGAGUUGGCAAUUUACUGACCACAUGGAUAAAAUUUCAAAAGAGUUGGUUAACUACUUCAUUAAUAUAUUGAUAUAUUUUUUAAUAGUGCUGGUAAGUUAAUAUCAAAGGAGUUAGUAAUAUAUUAAUUCAUUAAAAUGUUGUUAAAUUCUCGUAUGUGCCGGCAAUUCAUCUAUGAUUUUGGUAAUAAGAGUUGGUAAUUAACCACUUGACUCGUAUGUCAGUAAAUUCUUGAUAAUGCUGGUAAUUUAUUUAACACGUUUUGAGAGUGGGUAAUUUAAUACUUCCAUGUAGUGUUUGUAAAUUCUUGACUGUGUCGGUAAUCUACUUACCACACUCAUAAAAUUUUGUAGGAGUCGGUAAUUUACUACUUUGUUGGUAUGUUGUUAAAUUUCUAAUGUUGCUGGGACUUUACUUACUAGCACAGACCAAAAUUUUCAAGUGAGUUAAUUUACUAAUGUCGUUAAAAUUUUGAUAAUCUUGUAAUUUACUAAAUUUCUUAAGAAAUGGUAAUUUACGAAUAUUUUGUUAGUCAGCAACCAUAAGGUUUGAAGCUUGAAGUACACUGGCGAAUGGUGGAAUAGCGGAGAUGAGAGCUAGAGCUCAAGAUCAGGAUGGAGUAAUUACAAAAGGCCAAGGUAGUCUCCAAUCAGACUAUUGCUGCAGUACUGUGGAAUAUUUGGAAGUCAGGAAACCAGGCCAUCUUUAGGAAUAAAAAACCAGAACCAAGCAACCUUGUGGAGCCUGCUUUAGCUGGGUUGAAGAGUUUCAACAGAUGGAACCCAAAAUCGAGCGAAUCUAGUAAGACCAGCAAAGGGUCGUCAAGAUUUUGGAACCCACCGCAGGCUGGAACACUAAAGAUAAACAUACACGGUGGCUACGAACCUGAAGCUACUAGAGGCUCGAUCGCUUGCGUCUGUCGUGAUUUCGUGGGGAGGUUGGUGGACGGAGUGGUGCGAGCAGUAGCGGCGCCUUCUGCGUUCGGGGUUGAGGCUCUUGCCCUCUUAUAGAAGCCUCCACUCUCUCUGUAUACUCUAAGAAAAGAAGCCCUUGUUCUUGAGUCUCGCAGCUUAGACUUGGUCAAGGCUGUGGAAAGUUCAGACAGGCUCACGUGCGAAGCUCGUGCUAUUAUUCCGUUGUGCAAAGAUUUAUUAUUAUCCUUUUCAAGUAUCCAGAUCAUGUUCAAAAAAAAAAAAGAAAAGUAUCCAGAUCAGCCAUUGGCUUAGAGAGGCUAACUCAGUUGUGGACUGAGUUGCUAAAACCCACGAGAGAAAGCCCAUUUAUCGAACCUUUCAAUCUUUUUCUGCUUAAUGAAACAAAAAAAAAUAAAAAUAAAAAUUCAGUCUCCAAUCUCAAGGAGCGAACGUGCAAGUGUUCGGUCACGCUUCACAGCGCACGAUGGCCCCCCCGGCGGUAGAAUACCUUUAUUUGAUGGUGAUAACAUUCAACUGCAACUUUAUAAAAGCGUCGGAAAGAAUACUCUCUCGAAAUCGGAAAAGGCCACCGUCCUUCAUCUGACAAUUCCUAAACAAUGUUCACGCUCCACUAGCUUUGAGGAAUGAAAAAGAAAAAAGUAGAAUUAGCAACAUUUCACGUGCUAUGAUGGUCCCCAUGACUAGCCAAGCUCAUACGCUUCGAUAAAAGGUUGUCUCUUCUCACAUCUCGGGAACAAAAAUUGCCCCUCUCUAAGUUUGGCUCUGAAGAUUUGGCCCUCAGCUCCCCUUUUUGAGUUUAUAAUUAAAUUGCCGAUGCACACCUCUACACACUAUUUUAUUUAAUAGUCAAAACAAUGUACAUGUUAUCUAGCACAACAAUUUGAUGGUGAAAUAUAAUAGAAAUUAAUGAGAGAUAAAUUUAUUAUAAGUGUACCAGUUUAAAAUUUUUAAUAAUUAAAAAAAUAAUUAAAAAUAAAUUUAUCGUAAAUAUAUCAAUUUGAGUUUUUCACGAUAACAAUCAUUUUCUAAUUAAUUGGCUUCUGCUUUUCUUUUCUUUUUUGAACAACUAAUUGGCUUCUGCUUCACCAGGCACGAUAUCAUCACUCCCCCAUGCGAACACCAACGGCUGACAGCUUGCUCUUUGUAAUAUUAUGCAAUAAUGUAAUAUUAUGUUAGUGGGCCCCAAAAGAAGAAACUGAAAAAGAAACUGAAAAGUCAGUAAAACAAAAAGGAGAGGGGAGAGGGCUCGGCUAAAUAGAAGCUGAGAGUUCCCUCACCAAAAAAGAAAAGAAAGAAAAGACGAAGAAGAGGAAGGAGAAGAGAAAAAGGGAAAAAAGGAAAGGAAUUUUGGCAUGUGCACGUCUCGGAUGCCUCGCCAAGCUGACUCGACUCCAUAACACAGCACCCGGUAAGAGAUCAAGCCCCUUGUUUGUCCGAUUGAAGUAAUUUUUGGAUUUAGGACUUAAAUUCGAAAAUUUUGGAAAACUGAGCGGCGAAGUCUAAUUUUGGAGUCGUUGAGCCGCGUAUUUUUGCAAGAAUGGUAAUUUAGGGUGUUGUGGAGCCGUGGGAUUUUACGGAUCGUGAUUUGAACUUAUGGUUUGUCCAAAACAGAAUUUCAAAGUUUCCCACGCGCAGUGAACAGUACGCGUCCAGCAGCUUUGGGCCCGUAUUUUGUCAUUUUUCGGCUUGAUUUUGGGAUGGCCAAGUCGGAAUUCUUGUGAUAUGUUUCAAGGGCUCUCUAUUGAAUAUAAGUACGUUCGGAUCGGAGUUCAGAAGAGAAAGUUAAGGCGCAAUCAAGUUUUGCACUUAAAUUUCGUGUUGCGAAUGGCUUGAACAAUCGCUUUGGUUAUGCGAUUUGUUAGCGCGUAGAAGUCCUUUUGUUAGAGUUAAGGCGUAAUUUAGUUGUUUCGAAGUAGAGACAGUGUUUUAUUAGAUUUUAACAUUUUUCUCGGUUAUUUGAUAGGACCUUGAAUUCGACGAUACGAGUAUCGUUCGUCGUUUGGUCAUCGACGACGAGGUGAGUGGUACUAUAUCUUCUUUGGUUUUAUAAAAUCAUGUCUUGAAGUAUAUAUAUGUAUAUAUAUGUAUAAUAUUGAAUUGAGAAGGGCAUUUUUAUUGCAUAAAAGCUAGAUCGAGCAAUUGCUACUCUUUGGUUGAUUGUGAAUCUUUGAAAAGCACAUUAUACAAGGUUUGUGGAGAAACAUAUAUGAAAUUGCUUUGCGACUGAUUUAUAAAAAGGUUUAUGAUGAUUUGAGAAACGGAUAUGAAAUGGAUGAUGGGCUAUGUUGCAAAAUGUUAUUUGUUUGGUUUGAGAUAUUGAUUUUUGGAUUGGAUUUCUGGUAUUGGAGAAUGGUUAUUUAUGCUCAAUAUGACUGUGAAUCCAGUGAUGGGUUUUUGGGGUAUGCAUACCAAGUUUAGGAUAUCCUUCUGGGCCUAGCCACCGGCUUUGUAGGUGGAGACCUUGCCAAGGGGGGAAUCUUGGUCGCCUUGUCACAAGGCGUUGUGUUGUGACCAUGGUUAGUUAUUGAGCAAAAGAUUGAUCAAUGGAUAGACCAUUGAUAUGUGUUUUUGAUGGAGAUUAUUCGAUGGAUUCGACCAUUGAUACUUGACUUUUGAUGGCAAUUCAAAUGAGUUUUUCGUAUUAGUAUAAAUUUUUGAUGAUAAGAAAUAACUUUUAUAUGAUUCGAUAUGUAUUUUAUAUAUUGAAUUGGUGUUAUGAAAUUUGGUAUUGUUUUGUAUACAUGCAUAGUGGUUGUUCGAUCUGCUUAGAAGAUAUGUACUACUCACUGAGCUGUGGUUGCUCAUCCCAUUCCUCCUUUAAUCUUUUCAGGUUCCUCAGCUAGCGGCGAAUAGAGCGAGUGCGUAGUCGGUGGGAACUUUUGGGGAGUUCUAUUUUGUUUUUGGUAUGGUUAAAGGAAGUGGUGCAAAUAAUACUUACUAGUAGUUGGAUCGUUUAAGUUUUAAACGUAUAUCUUAUUCUCUUUUGGUGGAUUAUAGAAACUCUGAUGUUGCAACCAAUUUGUUGGUUCAUCUAAUAUAUAUAUAUAUGGUUUGAGAUAUAUAUAAGUUAAUAUCAGUUUGUUGGUUGUAUUUGAGGCUGCGUCCUGUGAAAAGAAGGACGGCCGUGUCAUUCCCAUUCUUUGUGGUUUUGGGGUGUGACACUCUUCAUCCGAAUUGCGACCCCUGUCCUUGUCCUCUGCUCCUCCAUCCCUCCCCUUUCAUUCUCUGGAAUCUGUAGAUCAUCAAUUACAUGUGUCUUACGCUUUUGCCAAAAUGCCCAAAUGCUCUCAUGGCGAGGAAUUCUUUUGCCUUUUAUGGAUUGAUUUUAAUGAUAAAUAGGGUUGAGGGCCUUUCUCCUGCUAAAAAAAUCGAGCGAGUUAACUAAGUCGAGCCCCUAUGCCGCGGCCAUAUGCAACCAUGGCCGUGCGAGGCCAGCAACCCCUGUCUAUCGCGACUUCCACUGGACAUAGGUUGUGAGCUCCAUGCGGAGAAAAAAAGAGACCAAGGGAUAGCAAACAGGUCAAACUGGUGUGGAGUUAAUGUUGUCGGUGGAUUCACGCGCGAAGGUGAGGGCUUGUGAUGGCAAUGGGUGGGCGACAGUGAGCGGCGAUUCUGUAAAAAUCCUAAGCUAUAUUAAUUACUAAUUAUUCCAAUUUUUUUUUUCAUCAUAAAAAAUCGAAACUUGUCUCAGAAAUCCAAAAGUACUUUCCAUUGGAUGUUUACUUACGCACCGCUUUUCAUUAUUUUGAGUGUAAAUUUCUCUUCUAAAUUAUGUUAGGAUUAGUCUAGACAUUAAAAAAAAAACUACAAAAACAUUUGCAUGGACACUUAGUGGUUUCAUAAAGAUUAUAAUUGGUAAUCAAGAUUGUAUGGCCAUUUAGAUAAACAGCCUUCCAAGUUAGUGGUACCGCAAGGGCGCUAAUAGAAACAUUGGCGUAAACAAGUCCCCGUUCCUAGAAAUCUCUGGUUGCGUAUGAAUCGAGACAACACUCCCGUGUCUUGAUUGGUUUCCAGCCGACCUCAAUAGGCUAGUGGCGACUCCUAGAAUUACAUAAGUUGUUAAUAACUAAAAAACGAAUCCAACAUCGCGCGGGGUAUGGGCUUGGGAGAGCCCGCGCCUAAUCUAGGGCCAUUGGUCCACCUCUUUACGCAAAUACCCCUAAACCUUCUUCUUUUUCCCCGGACGGAAAAUUUGGAGGUCAUGACAGCUUGGCGACUCCACUGGGGACUUGGUUGCAAACCUUAGAAGACUUAGGCCGUAAUAACUUGGUUGGUUGUUCACUAACAUGGUCUUCAUUUGAUAGCGCGUGUCAAAGUCGCGUGGAAAACAAGGUUAGCCCGCUAACAAUGUGUUAAAUGUUUUUGUAGGUUUGGAGUAAUAAGGGGUGGAGUGUUUGUUAACCCAUCUCUUUUGUAGGGAGGCGUAGGAAUGUAUGCCGAUAUGGAUGAAAUUGAAGUGUUGUUUGGAUAUCAAUUGAUGUGCGUGCCUUUAUACUUAUCUUAGUACUACACAUUUACACACACAGCUUGCGAUCUAAAACCCCGAUCGCACUAGGAAGCCCAUAUGAGGUGCCAAAAGAUGGAACCCGUGCGGGGAAUGACCCAUGGUUAUCCACUUUUGGUCCCGCUCAUUUUGAUUAAUGAUAAAGAGAACUGUCCGACGUAAGCGCGGAGUGGGGAAAACUCUUUUGAUCUAAUCAAAAUGGGGACCUUAAGCCUUUAGAACUCCACCUUUAUGUGUCAAACCUCACAAGUUUGCAUCCGCAUGUCUAUGUGACUUAGAAAAAAAAAGGGUCUCUUCACCCACUGUAAGUAUGAUUUCUCCAUCUACUUGCUCACUUCGGAUUGAAAUUUUUAUUUAUUGGAGAUUCGCGGAAAUCAAUGGAAUGCCCUUGAAAAUAUAGGCUUGGCACUCACUUUUGAUAAAUAAGCAUUUCAAAUACCUAUGAUCUACUAAACAUAUGUUUUUGUUAAAUUUUCAAUUAUGAACUUAAAGUCACAUUUUGUAUAGAAAUUCUUCCAAAUCAAGAUUACAUUUUGGGGCAUAGAAUUAAAAUCAAAUUUUCAAUAAAACUCUUUGUUGGUCACAUUUCAAAAUUAAAAUUCAAAUCCCAUGUUGUAUAUUGAUUUUUCAAAAUAAAAAUCACCUCACCUUUGCAUGAGUGAAACCACAAAUUAAUUUUUUAAAAUCAAUGCCCCAUUUGUGUAUGAAACUUUUGGAACAAAGUGGGCAUUCAAUUGAUAGUCACGGAUCUAUCUUUUAAUGAAAUCUCCUCUUACUAAUAAAAUCUUGACGAAAUACCAAACUCUCGUAAGUGGAUACUACGGAGAAGGUAUCGUCGCCUUGAUUUCAUUGUAAGAGGCGGCUUUAUUGAAAGAUCAAUUUUUCAUUCAUAUAUUGACAUUAUCUUCCUUUCGCAGGUCAUGCGUGACAACCAUUCCUUAAAGCUAGGACGAGAAUUGUGCUUAUUAUGCUCCUCUAUGAAAGAGCUUCUUGUACUUUAUCCUUGUCAUUAUUCCUAUUAGGAAACGUGUUUUGCGUUUUGGGUUUUGAUUGUGGACCUAAUCAAAUGCCUCUGUAAAUCAUACAACUCACAUUUUCUAAUAAUGAAAUUAGAGUUCAUAAAAGUUAUACCCUUUAAAACACUUGAAGUGUUUCAAACGAACCCUCUGGGCUGAGUUUUAUGCCUUAGCUUCAAAAUGUGUGAAAAUAAGUUUCAAGAACUUGCGUAAUACUUUAUCUCUUCACUUAAUCGCUUUUGCAGGUUGAUCCGUAGAACGAUGCUUUGAGGGGGUAAGGUUGUAAUCGUUCCAAUAGGGAUUUCUUGCGCAACAACUAACUCAGUCAUCCAUUUUUGUGAAGCAGGCAAGAUGACGGUUUUGUUCAAGAUUGACAAAAGUGCGGGCCUUUCCCUAAUAGAGCGAGUCAUGAGAUGCACCAAUUCAUGCUCAUUUAUGGGCAUAGUUGGUUGAGCCAUGAACUACUUGAAUAUUUUCGCAACAUAUGAAUUCAAACAUUGUAAUUAAGUGUGAAAAGAAUCAUCAAGGCCUCGAAGAUCACAAAUCUACUGGUCUAAUGAAGUUCCACAUGCUGGACGACCUCAUAUUAAUUUGACAUUCUUCGUGGAAGAAGAAAUUUGUAGACAUUCUUUGGCAACAAACUACUUCGUUGGUUGCGAACAAGAAGCAUUUGCAAUCCCUACACUUCCAACGGUUUCUUGGCAUCCAAUCCUGUAUGGAGAUGAUUAUUGGUGGUAUGCAAGACAACACUUCGAGAUGUAGAUGUACACAAGCAAGAAUCGGUCAUCAAAUGUUGCAUUCAAAUAAAAGGUGGUAAUCGUUUCAAGUUAAAUUCGAUUUAUUUUAUGAAUGACUUGUCCUUCAACUUGGCGCAGAUUUUAGUGAGGCAAAUUACUGGCAAGCAACAAGAUUACAUGGGGAGGACAACCUGGUCCAGAAUCACACGAUCUCUAAAAGAAAAGGGUGUGUUCGUUCCAAAAGUCAGAACAACUCAUUCAUAAACUAACAUAGCCACCCAUGCUUACAGAUUGUGAAAUGGGAAAUGCAUUGAUGCAGCAAAAAUGGCGAAAAAUCACCUAGCCUAAAAGGGGUACGCGGGAAACCAAGUAAAGCAUGAAGGAUUCAAAUGAAAUGAAGAUUCAUCAAUCCAACAUAAUGAAGCUGAAAUUUUAAUUGGGGCAGAUGGCCAUAAAAUGGAUCGGGGGCAUGCAAUGCCUGAGUCACCCGACUUCUAAAAGGGGAAAAUUUCAAAUGGAAUAGACAUUUGCCAAGUGAAUCACUGUCAAUCAUGAAAGCAAAUCCCUCUUCAUAGCCAAGGAAACGAGAUGGAACGCAGUCAUCAUAUAUGCCGUAAAAGGGAGUAUACCGUUCCUAAAAUGAAUCAUGUCGAGUAUGAAAAUAACAUAUUCGUCUCUUUUUCCUUGCAGUUGAUGAAUGGGGCAAAUCACUUACAGCAGAGCAAUUUUGACCCAUGAGCAAGAUGAAACAUAGUCAAUUGAUUCAGCACGAAAAGGGAGUAUCGUUUCUAAAUUAGUCCAAUUCAAUUUUGGAAUAUAAGUACCAUGCCCUAUCUCUUGUAGGAAAAGGUGCACAUUGACCGUUGGAGCAACACCUUAUACCAAGAAGGCAUGUUAAGGCCUAACCAUCCAUUUUGAUGGAAUAAAUGGAGUAAAAUAUCCACGGAGCAAUGCCCUCACAUGUCGAAACAAUGAGUACCCCUCUCCUUUCAUCUUUGACGCCCACUUAGAAUGAGUGAAUUCGAUAACAUCUUUGAAAGGAAGACCUUCAAGGAAAUGUUAACACCUGAGGAGCAAAAGCACAUGAAGAGGAAACACAAGAUAUUUAAAGUCAGCUGCAGGAGAAGGGUAAUUCGGUAUUGUUUCCAAAAUGCCCCUCUCUAACUUCAUUAUUUGACGUAGUUCCCUUGUUUGACAGGAAUCGUCGGUAUUCGGGGAACAAGCUCGAGAAAUUGAUUUAAGCAUAAUUCAUAUCAACCAAGCAAGCAUGUGGAGCCAACACAUGACAAAGUCACCUAAGUUGGCUUAAAAUAUGUGUCGUUCUAGAGCCGGUUCAAUUAAAUAAAAAAAGAAGCGCCUUAUGGACACUACCAGCGCUUUGGCCUGGUGGUAUGGGGAAUGAAGUGGGUCUGAGAGGUACGGGGUUCGAUCCCUGGAAACAGCAACAAGGUUGCCAUGUAAAUAAUAAUAAUAAAUAAAUAAAUAAAAACUUUUGCAUCUCUUAUUUUUGCAAAAAGAGGAAAAUGCUUGAACUAAUGAGACCAAAGAUCUGAGAUUCUCUUCAAGCCUUAAAAUAGUACAUUCAUUCCGUUGUUUGCCGCCAAAUGGUGAAACUAACCAAGGGUAAUGUUGUAUCGUUUCCAAUUUUACGAUCCCUGAGGAUUCAUGUACUAACACAUUCCCUUUUGUUCUUCGUAGGGUCGCUUGACUACUAAGGCACAGGUAAGUACCCUUCUUCUCAAAAUCAAAUGGAAAAUAAAUGGGGAAUUUCCAUCACAAAAAAAGAACAUCUACUGUUUUUCUAGAAGCAAGCACAAAAAAAAAAAUGGAAAUUGAAGAAAAAAAAUUUCCACAAAGUUUGCAAAAAUCUUCUUUAUCAUUAAAUUGUUCAUCCACUUGAUGGAUCACUCAUUUCGAAUCAAAAUUCCCUAGGGAGAUUAAUCCAUCCAAAUGUUCUCAACAAAAAUGAAAGGGAUGUUACUCAUGCCAAGCAAGAAACAUUUAGAAUGAGGAAAGACAACCCAUUUCCAAACAUGUCCUUUAAACACUCUGGGAUUCGAGCGAAAAAGAAAACCUGUGUCAUUCAAGGUCAUCGAAUUCAUUCGCAAGCGGUACAUAGACCAAUAUGAUAAGAGGCAUUUCUUUCCUCUAUCAUACACACUACAGGUGACAAUAGUUAGCCCAUUUGAGCCUUUUAAUGUGAAGAAUUUUCUACAAAAUACCCCUGUCAAGAACCACCCCACGAUGGGGCAAUUAUGGAGAUUUGGGUUGACAUUAUUUGGAGAGAAAAGAUGAGAAAGGUUUCUUUACUCUCACUUGCAUAAAUCUUUUCUAUGGUAACUUCAGGUGAAUUCUUAUGGAAGCUUGAAGCAUCCCAAGGUAAAGAAGAGCAUUCUUUUCUCUACCCAAACACCGAUACCCUUUGCUUAAACCAUAUUGAGCCUAACUAUUCAUUUCUAAAACCCGAGUGGUGAUUAUCUCCCCACAUUGGGGCAGGGCACAUGAUUUACCAAUGCAAUUGGUGUUUAUAUGAGAAUAUGAAAAGCAUCUUGAAAGUCCCAAGAGCUCAAAAAGUUUGAAAGAACAAAAGUCAAGUGAAAAUUAAGGGGCAUGAAAAAGCAGUGUGCCUGGUAAAAGCAAGGCCAAUGCCCACAAAAAAGGGAGAGAGAGUGGAAGAAAAACAAUUGCAUCAAGAGGAAUAUCUCUGUGAAAGCAAAAAUGGCAAAAAAAAAUGCAUGCAUUGAAAAGAAAAUCAUUGCAAAUGCAAAAGCCAUUAUGUUAAGAUGAUUAGUCAAAGGACUUUCAAGACAAUUUGAAUUCUAAACAUUGAGUGCUUUAAAAAAUGGAUGAUAUGGUAAUGAUGCCAUGAUAAUCACCAACUCCCAAAUCCCCCUUUGACAAAAAAGUUCUAAGCCUUUUGAGCUAAGCCUUUUGAACCUUUCCCCGAAACAACAUUACAACCCAUUUCCAAAGUCUCUUCAGAUUGGGAUGAUUUGAAGUGGAAAUAAGGACUUCCUAAAGAAGAUGCCGCUCGAAGAAGUGAGAGUAAGGUUGUCUUAUCUCAUCUUAAGGUUUCUUGACUUGUAAACCUGGCGGAGAUGUCGAUCAGUGAUUAAUUCAUUUCAUAGCCAAUGAUGCUUAUCCAUUGCUAAAACCAUGACCAAACCUGCACUACGGUCCUUCUAAAAGACCUCUUUGAUUGGUCAAUGUGUACUUAUUGCGAAUGAUUCAAAGCCUUGCGCACUGGAAGAGUGAGGUUGAGUGAUCAGUUUAUUUCCCACAUGAACAGAUUGGGAUCAAAUAACCAUUUUCUUGAGGAUAUGCGAGAAGCCCUUUCUGACUAGGGAUCCUUGCUUGGCAUACUUAACAAACCUUUCUCAUAAGUCGGGGUCAUUUCGACAAGGACUUUUCUCCCAAGAGAAUUUGACGAUUAAUGGUAUCAUCCGAGCGUGAUGACAGUUUUGCGAGUUUGUCAAGUUGUCGGAAUUAGUUUGAUUUGUUUAUGCAAUCAUUGUCUUCUCAUUACCGAUACACUUUUGAUAUUGUUUCUAAUGACAUAUGUUGAAAUUGACCUCAUCUAGUAUGCUUUCGCUACUAGAACACUUGUUAUAAUGAAUACUAUUUGAUGUGCACCAUUUCAGAAUAUUCUCGAAUGACAGGUUCCUCCAGUGAAACCACACAAUUUCAAAGGGUUCAUGGGUUAGCCUUAAACCAUGCACUUUCAAGAGUUCUUGGUUACCUUUAAACCUUGCAAUUCUAAAGAGUUCAUGGGUUAGCUUUAAACCAUGCAUUUUCAAAGGGUUCUUGGUUAUCCUUAAACCAUGCAAUUUUCAAGGGUUCUUGGAUGAGCCUUAAACCAUGCAUUUUCAAAAGGUUCUUGGUUAUCCUUAAACCUGGCAAUUUCAAAGGGUUUAUGAGUUAUCCUUAAACCAUGCAUUUUCAAAGGGUUCUUGGUUAUCCUUAAACCAUGCAAUUUUCAAGGGUUCUUGGAUUAGCCUUAAACCAUGCAUUUUCAAAAGGUUCUUGGUUAUCCUUAAACCUGGCAAUUUCAAAGGGUUUAUGAGUUAUCCUUAAACCAUGCAUUUUCAAGAGGUUCUUGGUUAUCCUUAAACCAUGCAAUUUUCAAGGGUUCAUGGGUUAGCCUUAAACCAUGCACUUUCAAAAGUUCUUGGUUACCUUUAAACCUUGCAAUUCUAAAGAGUUCAUGGGUUAGCUUUAAACCAUGCAUUUUCAAGAGGUUCUUGGUUAUCCUUAAACCAAGCAAUUCUAAAGGGUUCUUGGAUUAGCCUUAAACCAUGCAUUUUCAAAAGGUUCUUGGUUAUCCUUAAACCUGGCAAUUUCAAAGGGUUUAUGAGUUAUCCUUAAACCAUGCUUUUUCAAGAGGUUCUUGGUUAUCCUUAAACCAUGCAAUUCUAAAGGGUUCUUGGAUUAGCCUUAAACCAUGCAUUUUCAAAAGGUUCUUGGUUAUCCUUAAACCUGGCAAUUUCAAAGGGUUCAUGGGUUAGCCUUAAACCAUGUAUUUUCAAGAGGUUCUUGGUUAUCCUUAAACCAUGCAAUUCUAAAGGGUUCUUGGAUUAGCCUUAAACCAUACAUUUUCAAGAGGUUCUUGGUCAUCCUAAAACCAUAUAACUUACGUGGUUAGUGGGACUGCCUUAAACCACACGGUUAGUGGGACUACCUUAAACCACACGGUUAGUGGGACUACCUUAAACCACACGGUUAGUGGAACUACCUUAAACCACACGGUUAGUGGGUUUACCUUAAACCACACGGUUAGUGGAACUGCCUUAAACCACAAGGUUAGUGGGUUUACCUUAAACCACACGGUUGGUGGGACUACCUUAAACCACACGGUUAGUGGACUGCCUUAAACCACAAGGUUAGUGGGACUGCCUUAAACCACACGGUUCGUGGGAAUGCCUUAAACCACAAGGUUAGUGGGACUGCCUUAAACCACAAGGUUAGUGGAAUUGCCUUAAACCACACGGUUUGUGGGAAUGCCUUAAACCACAAGGUUAGUGGGACUGCCUUAAACCACAAGGUUAGUGGGACUGCCUUAAACCACAUGGUUUGUGGGACUGCAUUAAACCACAAGGUUAGUGGGUUUGCCUUAAACCACACGGUUAGUGGGACUGCCUUAAACCACAAGGUUCGUGGGACUGCCUUAAACCACACGGUUAGUGGAACUGCCUUAAACCACAAGGUUCGUGGGUAUAUCCUUAAACCACACCUUUCAAAUUGUUCACAAGUACAUCCCUAGAUCACACUCUUUACAUUAAGCUUACUUGCAUUUUCAUUUUACUAUUGUAAAAAAAACAAAAAAACUAAAAAAAAAAACUAAAAAAUUAGGUGUCACAUUGUCUUUGAAAGAAAUCUCUUUGAGAUUUCUUCUAAAGAGGGGCAGCUGUUGACACCUAAAUUUUUGCCAAAAAAUAUUUCAUGUUAAAUUCUUGCAUAUAGAUUAUUUAGGCAUUUUAAUAUAGUGUUUUAAAUGGAAUAUGUUUUUACUUUAAAAGAAAAUUGAAAAAAAAAGAUUAAAAAAAAGAAAAGAAAAAAAAGUUGGGGCCAAUGAUCUAAAUGUGACUAGCCAAGCCAAGGAGGUUAGAUUGGAAUUCAAAUGGUAAGUUUGGGCCAAAAUGCAAUUUCCAAAAGUUGAGGGACCAAUUUGCAAAUUUUGCAAAAUUUGCGCCCAAGCCCGUAAAUCAUAAUCUUGGUCACCAAUUAAGUUGAAAUUGAAUUUGGGCCAACUCGAAUCAAUCAAAUUGAGCGAAAAGGACCAAAUUUGCCUUGAGUUGGGUAUUUUCGGAUAAGAAAAUGGCUAAGUUUGAGGGACUUUCUUGCAAAAUUGGGUGAGCUGGGUCAGUGGACAGGCUUGGUAGGUGGACAAAAGGCCGACCAAAAAUUCUCUAAUUGGGGGGGAUAACAUUACGGAAGGGAGGUCUUUCGAGGGAGUGGAGAGAGGAGACGAGAGGGAGAGGAGAGAGCUUGGAAUCGUCCCCCAAAGAGGCCCUCAGAAGCAACUCUAGAAAAGCAAAACCCAGAAAUUCCAGACCGACCUGAAGAGAGAAAAGUGAGAUUUUCACACACCUGUGGCCAAAAUUAGCCAAACCCUUCAACUAGAGAGUGAAAAUUCAUUCAAAGAUCUUUCCAACCAUAGGUCGCAAGUCCCAAAUGGAGAUCGGGAAGGCCUCCUAAAGCCCCCCGAAAACAGUGCCCUCCUGGCAGGCCAAGAAAGUCCGAAAUUUUUCUAAGUGUUGAGCCUGAUUGUUCAUGAGUGAGGAAAAACGAGUGCUUUUGAGAAACUUGAGAGACAAUUGAGGAAAGCCAUGACUUACAAGCCAAACGAUAAUAUAUAUAGUUUUGGUUGAUUUGAACUUCGUCAACAAGGAAGGUUUGGAAAUCUAAUUUUGGAAGUUAACGAAAACCUUCGUUGUCACCUUUUCUUCUGCAGAUCUCACUUUCAGCUCGAAGGAACCAGUUUCCACGUGCUUCCAGAGGACAAUUUCGUGGUUUCCUUGGCCAACAGUCACUUGAAAAAGGAACUAGGAAGCAAGAUUUGCAAAACGGCUCCAACCCGCAUAUUGAAGGCCGUUUUCAGUUUGAUUCUUGCGUGUUCUAGGCUGUAAUUUCUAGUCAAAUACGUUCUUUGCAUGUAGUAGUAUAUCCUUGAUACUUUACAUUCACAUGAGAUUGCUUAUGGGUUGAGAUUGAAGGCCACGAACAUGACCCGAAUAAGCCGUUUUGGAGUGAUUUGAUGCAAGCCAAGUGUUCGACAAAAUGCUCAAACUAAGCUUCGAUCUUGAAACGGUCGAUUUGAGCUUGAUUAUUGUGAUAUUCAUGUGCUGUGUUACUCCAUGUUAGCAUAGAUCGGUUUAAGGAAUUAUUUUUUUUUUUAAAAUAAUUAAAAAAAGAGAAAAAUAUGAAAAUUUCAAAAAUAUCAAAAAAUGUUAGAUAGCAUCAAAUUAGGAUAUAAAUGACAUAUAUGAAAUUUUCCUAAUUUUAAAAUGUCAUUUUCCUAAUUUAAUGCUAUUUUGGUAUUUUAUAACCAUUUUUGUAAAUAAUCCAUUUUGUGUAGAUUAAAACUAUUUAAAGUAAUUUCAUGCAUAUAGAGUAAUUUCAUGCAUAUUUGAACUCUCAUUUUGCUCAUGGGGGUCCUGUCCCGGGGUGUGAUAACAAGGCCAUGUAAUAUUAUUUGCCCGACUUGUAUCGGGUUUACCUUUUCCGCGUUUAUUUUCAAGUCAUUUCAAUUUCUUGGAUGUUUACUUACGCGCCGCUUUUCAUUAUUUUGAGUGUAAAUUUCUCUUCUAAAUUAUGUUAGGAUUAGUCUAGACAUUAAAAAAAAAAACUAAAAAAACAUUUGCAUGGACACUUAGUGGUUUCAUAAAGAUUAUAAUUGGUAAUCAAGAUUGUAUGGCCAUUUAGAUAAACAGCCUUCCAAGUUAGUGGUACCGUAAGGGCGCUAAUAGAAACAUUGGCGUAAACAAGUCCCCGUUCCUAGAAAUCUCUGGUUGCGUAUGAAUCGAGACAACACUCCCGUGUCUUGAUUGAUUUCUAGCCGACCUCAAUAGGCUAGUGGCGACUCCUAGAAUUACAUAAGUUGUUAAUAACUAAAAAACGAAUCCAACGUCGAGUGGGGUAUGGGCUUGGGAGAGCCCGCGCCUAAUCUAGGGCCAUUGGUCCACCUCUUUACGCAAAUACCCCUAAACCUUCUUCUUUUUCCCCGGACGGAAAAUUUGGAGGUCGUGACAUCUUGUUACUAAUACUAUAAGUAAACUUGAAUCAGUGACUCGCAAAUAUUAUGCGUCAUAGUUCCAUCCAAGACGGCCGUUAAAAAUCCAACAUGACCACUUGCUUGGACAUCAAUAGGCAAAUGGAGCCAAUGUAAAUUUGACGUGAUUUUAGUAUGGUCUAAAAUGACUUUAGAGAAACAAAUUGGACAUGCUUUUACCAAUGUGGAGUAUACAUCUUCUUAAUGUCACAAUUUUACGAUGGUUACUGUCAUAGAGGUGAUGCCAUAAGUGCUGAGAUACUUUCAUGCAGAUUGUAACAACUACUUUUUCGUAUACGAAAUAAUGAAGUUAACGUUCUCCUAGGUGAAGAGUGGGCAUCAACCAAUUUCAAACACAGUAAAGACAAAACAGCAAUUUAUAAGGUAUCUCAGAUAAUUCACCACAUAAUAAAUUGACAAAAUAAUGCACUUGGAAUUUAUAUAAUUUGACCUGACCUCACUAGGAAAGUUAAUUAGCAAUUCAAAGCCACUGAAACAUUUAAACCAAACCAAAACAAAACAAAGAAGAUCUGAACAAGGGUACUCGCAGAACUAUAUCACUAGUCAACAUGCAAAGUGCACGUGAGAAGAAGAUUUACAUAAACCUCUUUGUAAUUGAUAUGUAUAACAGAAUAGGAAGUACUUCUUAUCAGAAAAAAAGUACUCAAGAGAGAAGGUGUCCAUUCUUUUUUCUUGUGCAGAAAUUUAUCGAGUUUGAUCUAACAACUCCAUGAUGUGCUGAAUUUCCAAAUCUCCCGUGGUGAAUGCCUACCCGAUCAGACUGAAUUGAGGUCAUACAGCAACCCCUUUUUAAGGCAGGAAGUCCAUAUCAGACUUUCCCUUCCAUCUUGGUAGUUUGUAGAUGUAUUAUCUCUGUAAGAUGGAGAUUCUUGGUGUUUGUCCGUUAAGACUAGCAUGCGAAUCGAACAAAGUCAACCCCAAAAUCAUGCACCGCUUACCAAUUAGUCGGGGGUUCACACCAAUAGCUCUCACAAUACUAACCGAGAUACACUUCUUUCAUCACUUGAUUCGAAUCAUUUCACUGUUCCCGCCGCUCCAUGGCUUAUUGCAGCAUCAUUAUCUGGACUGCCCUUUCCAGUGAUCUAUCUUGUGCUUGUUAGACUCCUCUGGAAGAAAUCUUUGAACGGAACAGCAAAAAUAACGAUGGUAGCAACUGUGACCACACGUAGGGCAACCUCAAGUGCGUCAAUCGUUUUGCGCUUAGCACAAGUGGUCCACCUCGGCAGAAACAACAAUCACUGAGCUGCUACUGCUCCCCCUCCUCCUCGGAAGCUUCGGACGACGCUGCUGGUUCGAGGGCUUGGCCAUGGCAGUGCUAAGAACCUAUUUCGGCGGAGAUCGACCGAUCGAGGUCGUCGCUGCUCGUUCUAGAGAGAGAGAAAGAGAGAGGGGCUGAAUCAGAAUCCGAAGUGACGAUCUGAAAUAAAAAUGGGGGGAGGAGAGAGUCGGAGGGUGAUGGUGGGAUAGUCGGAGGAGAGAGUCGGUGUUGGAAACUGGUGGAAGCAGAGGAGGAUUCUUUGCGUCUUUUCGGAUUUUUGUUUUAAUUAGUUUCUCGCUUUUCCUUUUUAUCUUUUGGGGUUUGGUUUUUUCCUUUCGGUUUUUCUUUUCAUUUGUCGCAACACGCGAGUGGCGCAAAGAUUUGCCGCCAGCAAGAGAGGGAGGCAAAAUUGUAUUUUCGUUUCCCCUGCCGCAGAAUUGAGGACAGCAGCGUCAGCUCCCGCGCGAGAUGAGACUUGCGGCUCUAGGAUUAGAGGUGGUCUGACCUGCCCUUGCUGCCUGACGCAACCGACUCUCGAUGGUCUGCGAUUUUUUCCUCCGUAUAUUAAGAGAGUAGAGAGGGAAAAUUAAACGUAAUUUCCCUCCCUGAAGUUUUCGCUGUUGAAGAUUAAGUUUGAACCAAAACUACUCAAUUUACACGUACGUAUACAGGCCGGUCAUUGCUGUCUUACCGCGUGCUAUAAGCCAGGAAAUAUCUCCGUAUGAGGUAGCAAUAUAUGCAAGAUACAAGCUCGCCAAGGAUUCACUCAUCAUGUGGUUCGAAUUUGUCAACUCGGGAAAAAUAGUAUGACCAGCCUAUUGUUAAGUCAUCGCAUUUGAGGGUGGACUACAAUUUUUUCAUGUUCAUUCUUCUUUCUUUUUCAACUCAUUUCAAGUAAAUGAGUCGUGUAUGAAUUUGAUAAAAGCAUGAGAGGUGUAUAAAUCUGUUUCGUGCUUAUUAGCACGUAUGUUUGAUGAGUGACUGAUUUAUCAACACUAGCUAUAAAUGAAGGGAUUUGGGGAUUGUUCUCUACAAGAAGUUAUUGUUACACCCUUCACGCUCUUGAAUCACUCCUUGUUCUUCACUUCCGCUUGUUGUUUUGUGUACUAAUUGCUUUGUACUUUUUGAAUAACACGAUUUUUUAGAUUAAGCUUGAAUCUGAAAAUAUUUGACUCGAGAAGCUUGCCAUCGUAAUGGAGUACUCAAUUGCAAUUUCAAAUGCCUCCACUAAUAUAAAUAAACAAAUGAAUUAUAUCAAUUUUAAUUUUAGUGCAUAGUAACUAAGUAAUUGAAACGUAGAACACCCAUUUGUCCAAAAGAACAUCUCAUUCUCUUGGGCUAAAAUACAAUUGAAGGCAUCCCUAUGCGGUCUUUUUGAAUGUUUCGAUUUUAGCAAAACUUACUUCAAUGCCCUCACGCACACGACGUAAAUCACUGAAUGUGACAUUAAAAAUGCCCGCCAACAAAAUAAGAUCCCAGGGGCAAAUCAAGAAAGAUCGUGAAGAAUAUGGAGUGGAACAAAUUGCAUUUGAGGGUGAUGGUUGUUCUAACAUGCUUGUGUCACGGGCUUAUCGAUUAGGAUCGUGACCGCGUGGCGACUCGAGCACUUUAGGAUCGGAUGGAUCACCGAAGCACCUAAGCCAAGCCUUGCUCGGUCGAACGCUCACUCGCUCGCCUUACCCGGAUCGUAGAGAGAGAAAGAAUCUAGAUAGAAAAGCUCUAGAAAGAAGCUUUGCUUUAUAUUGCGGAAGUAAUGGAUGCCUACAAAUGAAAGAGGACACCCCUUUUAUAGUUGAGGGCCUCGGAUUACAUCCAUUGAUCUAGAAUUCUAUCAGCGGACGAGAUCGCACCGCCUCAACUACCGACAUAAGUGCCAAUUACCGUCUACCGACAUAAAUAACAGAACAGACUUCUGUAAUAGGACUCAAUGACGGUUUCGCCCGCCCUUGGAGACUUUGGGUAGAAGGUUCGGUGGGAAUCCGAGUGAGAGCAGGAGGUCCACGGGCGAGUUGGGGUCGACUCUGGGGAACCUCUCAGAUCGACUCUCUUUAGGCCCGUGAUAUUCUCCCCCACUCAAUCGAGCGACGUCCUUGUCGCUCUCAGCUUGAUGGGCAGCUUUGCGGGCUUUGACACGAGCUUUGUUGUUCUUGUUUCGCUUCGCUCGGACACUCAUGAACGAAGGGUCACAACCUUCGAUGAUGAAUUUGGAUUUGUCAUGCGGCUCGGUCUUCGAUUUGGACGGAGCAAGUGGCGCGCACUCGACCUCGGGGAAGAGCGCUUGGAUUGGCAUGGCGUGGGUUGGAGUAGGAUCCAACUCGACCUUUGGCUUCACCUCGGACAGCUUGUUGAUGCGCAUCACAGCCUUUAAGCUCUUGUUGAGGCGUCGGAUUGACGCGAUGGUCUUGGUGUUGACCACCCCUUUGAUCAUGGGGAUCAUCGACGGGCACUUUUGGUCGAGGAUCAUCAUGCACUUUGUCCUCAUGUCGAUCAUGGCUCCCACACUUUCGAAGAAUUGCAUGCCAAGAAUGAGAUCAUAAUCGUCAAGAGGGAUUACCUCGAACGUCAUUCUGCCCUUCCACCCGCCAAUUUUGACAUCCACGUCGGGUGUUGCUCCUACGCCAUGGAAGUCGCCCGAAUUGAUGGGCUUGUACGACUUCCCGGAUGGUUCCACGUGAAGUCCCAAGGCUUUUGCAACCUCAGUCAACAUGAACAUGUUGGAUGCGCCGGUGUCGACCAAAGCGUAAAGUGUUCGGCCGCCCACUUCGACCUCCACGAAGAACAUGUCUGUGUUUGGAGUGAUUCCUUUUCCUUUGGUUAGCGAUCGGGCUUGGAUCGAGUUUACCAUCUUCACAGCUCCAAUCCGGAUUUGUCUCCUAUCUUCUUUGGGCACCUCCUUUUCUUCCUCGAUGGCAAGGAGGGUGUUGAUGCGACCCCUCUUCGGGCACUUUUGGGUCCAAUGCAGACCUUUGCAAAUAAAGCAAGGAGAGGGUGGAGGUUGAUCGAACUUACUCGCGUAGUCCGUUUGCGGUCGACCUCUUUGGAAGUACGGCUUGGAAGACCCUUCUCCCCACAUCUUGGCUCGAUCGCCUUGAUCGGGCGCGCCUUGAGGAGUGUUUGUUCCUUCGUAGUCCGGUCGAUCCGACCUCUAAUCUCUUGCUCGGUUGUUUCUCGGCUCAACCUUGGUGAGAUCGACGAGAGACUCGGCCAUGCUAAGCGCUCGUGCAAGACUACUCACGUCCCGCCGUUUCAGCUCAAGUUGUGCCCAAGGCUUUAGUCCAUCCAUAAACGCUCCGAAAGCCUCCUCUUCGCUUAGGUUGCGAAUUUGGGGUUUGAGUUCCGUGAACUCCUUCACGUACUCUCGGAUCGCGCCUCUUUGCUCGAGGCGAUGGAGCAUGCUUCGGGCUUCUUGUUGAGCGAACUCGGGGAAGAAAUAGUCCCGGAACUCCCUCACGAAGUCGUGCCACAUGUUCAUGAGAUUGGCGCCACGUCGAAUCUCAUCGCACCUAUUGCGCCACCACAGCAUUGUCGUAUUAGACAGGAACAUGGAAGCGGUUCGUACCUUGGUUAACUCGUCUCGGAUGUUGACGGCGCCGAAGUAUUGCUCCAUGCUCCACACGAAGUUGUCUACUUCUUGGGCGGAUCGGUUGCCUUUAAACUCCUUUGGCUUCGGCACCUCAAUUUAGGGCACCGCUUGAGUAGGCACUGCACCGUUCGUGAUGCUGAGUUUGCAUAGGGCGAGCUCGGUUUUGAGCUCUUGGAUCUCCGCCUUCAUGGCUUCGACCUCAUCCCUACACGUGCUUACCUCUUCGAUUAUUUAGACGCGAUCGUUCAAACCAUCAAUCGAUGCUUCGAGAACUUCGUCCUUGUCGAACAAUGGAGCCGUGGCUUGGUUGAUGCCAGUCGUGAAGUCUUCGCGGAGCGAGCCCUCAACCUCCAUGAUCCAGUCUCGCACAUCAUCAAGACCUUCCAAGAGCUCGAGCAUAGCACUCCGGACCUUCCCGAUCUUCUCAUCGAACGUGACCGCAACAUCCACCGAGGCAUCUCUCUUCUUUGCUUUGCUGCGCGUGUCCUUGACUGGCACAGCUUCUCCAACUAUAGCCGCUUCUUGGCUUGACAUUCUCUCGAACAGUUGGUGCUCUUCAAUCUCUUGGAAACUGAUCUCUCUUUAGCUCUGAUACCACUUGUCACGGGCCCAUCGAUUAGGAUCGUGACCGCGCGGCGACUCGGGCACUUUAGUAUCGGAUGGAUCGCCGAAGCACCUAAGCCAAGCCUUACUCGGUCGAACGCUCACUCGCUCGCCUUACCCGGAUCGUAAAGAGAGAAAGAAUCUAGAGAGAAGAGCUCUGGAAAGAAGCUUUGCUUUAUAUUGCGAAAGUAGUGGAUGCCUACAAAUGAAAGAGGACACCCUUUUUAUAGUUGAUGGCCUUGGAUUACAUCCAUUGAUUUAGAAUUCUAUCGGCGGACAAGAUCGCACCGCCUCAACUACCGGCAUAAGUGCCAAUUACCGUCUACUGACAUAAAUAACAUAACAGACUUCUGUAAUAGGACUCAAUGACGGUUUCGCCCGCCCUUGGAGACUUCGGGUAGAAGGUUCGGUGGGAAUCCGAGUGAGAGCAAGAGGUCCACGGGAACCUCUCAGAUCGACUCUGGGGAACCUCUCAAAUCGACUCUCUUUAGGCCCAUGACACUUGAUUGCCACAAAUUGAGGCAAUACUCAAUUAUGAGUUUUGAUAGUUUCAAGUUUGAUAGAUCAAUCAAUGUAUGGAAGUCUUAAGACUAAAGCAUAGUUCAUCAAUAUAUUUAGAAACUUUGAUAGGAAUUUUAAAAUUACUUGCCUCAAAUUCACUGUCUGAGUCUGAUUCAGAGUCUGAGUCUGAUUGUGCCAUUAGACAUAGAUUGGCAUAUUCAUUAUCACUUUCUUCACACUCUGUGUCACUCCGGGUUUCGGCUUUGAGAGCUUUUCGAAAUUUUUCAGCUUUUCCUUUCUUCUUCUUCAGAAAAGGACAGUUGGGUCUGAUGUGUCCCUUUUUCUUACAUUCAAAGCAGACUAUGUCUUUGUUUGGUUCCUCAUCAUCAACAGACUUAGUCUGUUGUCUUUGAAAGCUUUGUUUCUUUGAGUUGAACCUUCUUCAUUUUCUAUUCAGUUUUCUGAAUCUUCUUAUCAUGAGAGCAAGCUCCUCAUCGUCCAUAUCUUCUUCAGAAUCUGUAUCAUCAGAAUCAUCAUUUGAUUUUAAUGCAAUGGAUUUCUUACCUUUUGGAUCUUCAUCUUCAUUGAUUCGUUCCAAUUCAUAAGAUUGAAGAGUUCCAAUUAGCUCGUCGACAGAUAGUGGCAUAAUUCUCUGCGUCUCUCUUAUCGAAGUCUUUAUGUGAUUCCAAUCCCUGGAGAGUCCACGCAGUAGCUUGUUUACCUUCAUGGGAUCAAAAGUUGGUUGACCUUGAUUUUCAAGACCAUUCACAAUAUCUGUAAAACGACUAAACAUGUCAGAUAUUGAUUCUCAUGGUUUCAUUCUGAAGGCUUCGUAUUGACCGAGAAGAAUGUUGAUUCUUGUUUCCUUCACUCGAUCUGUUCCUUCAUAAGUGAUAUGCAAUCUGUCCCAAACUUCUUUUGCUGUACCACAAGAAGAUAUUCUAUUAUAUUCAGUUGGUGAUAAAACACAAUAUAAUGAGUAAAUUGCUUUUGCAUCGAGUGUUUGUCUCUUGAUUAUUUCUUCCUGAAACAUUCCGCUGGUUUCUUCAGUUUCUUUUCCUCUUUCAGAGACUGAUGCAGUGGUAGGAGUAAUUCCUUUUUCUACAACGUCCCAUUCUAGAUGAUCCUUUGAUCGUAGGAAAGCUUUCAUCUUGUUCUUCCAGAUGUUGUAAUCCUUUCCAUCAAAGUAGGGUGGUCUGGUAUUGCUUUGCCCUUCCAUCAGCCCUGGUGCUAGCAUACUAGCCAUGGAUCUUUUACUAUGAAGUAAAACACUUCAAAUAAAGUAAGUACAUAGGCUCUGAUACCAAUUGAUAUUGCUAGUAUGAGUACCUAGAGGGGGGUGAAUAGGUGCAUAAACAAUUUAUAGAAAUACAGAAGCGAUUCUUAGCAUAUGAUAGAAAGUAAAUUCUCUCUUAAUUAACAAAAUGAUAUAUGAUCGAGGUAGAGAGAAUGAGGAAGAGAAAAUUGAACACAGGAUUUAUAGUGGUUCGGCUUAUUCCAAGCCUACGUCCACUCUUUCGCACUGACAGCCCACCGGCUGGAUUUCACUAUGAUCAAAAGAGAAGUUACAGCACAGCUUUGCCUUGAUUCCACAGUGUAGAUGUUCUACCACACCUCCUCAAGGUCUCUCACAAAUAUAGACUCUCUUUUGUAUACAAGUAUUCGCUCAAAUGAUUUAUCUAAACAAAUAGGAGCUUCAGACUUUGGAAUUCUUCUAUCGCGCACACCUUGAACAACUAAGACAGUCUUCCUUAUAUACUCCUUUAUGCCAUCAUACCCGUUGGCACUUACCAAAGGAAUUCCUCCAAUCUAUCCAUUGGACGAAAUCAAUUAGGAAGAUUGUUCAAGCUAUUAAAGGAACGUGUUGAUAGCCCAUCAAUCAUGUUCGCCCAUACAAUCAGGAUCUCGGUUUCCAUAAGCAGAACCUUCCAAUAAUACUUAGGCAAUCACCGGAUCUUCAAUUAUCGAGUCAAUCUUAGAUCAAUCAAAGGACUCCGUUAUGUCUUUUCCAGCCACGAGAUCUUCUCCAGUUGAUAAGGUCAAAUCCUUAACGAAAUAUACAGUUCUGGAUAACCUUUCUUCAACGGAUUAGAGACUGUCAAUGAGGAUAGACUUUGAGUCUUGAGUCUGGCUGUCCGGAGGUCUUCAGACUUUAAAUAGCAGAGUCUGCAAACCUUCAGACUAGACUGAUAGAAACGUUUUGUCAACUUCAAAAUACUUUAAGAAGAUUUCUCCAACAGCUACACUGUGAUGUAUUGAAAUACAUGCGUACGUGUCUAGCAAUGCAUCUUUGAAAGUUGUUGUGCUAUAGACAGCUACGAUGACUAAUAUGUUUGAUCGCUGUAGUUAUUAGAAUGAAGAAAAGACCUUUUAAUAUUGUCGCAAAGCUUUUACCAACGUUUAUAUCUGUGUUAUUGGAACUUUUGCUGGAUACCAUUUUCACCAUAUGAUGAUGAUGAUGAUGAUGAUAGUCGAAUCCGGAAUAGACAUUUUGAGAGGACUUCAUUUCCAACUUAAAUACCAAAGCAAUCCAUGUUUAUACAUGAAAUUGCAGAAGAAAAUAUAGGCAGUACGAUGCCGAACCCUUGAAAUGCACAAUCUACUGCAGCCCAAUGAGGCGGCAGCCAUAUGCAUCCAAUUGCAAAGGGCCACAAGAGCGACCGUACAAUCAUACGGGAAAGGAAAUCCCACUUGGAAUUGCUCUCUCCACCUGUCUUCCUCAACUUCAUAUCCUGUUGAACACAGUAGCAAUCUGUCCCCGUGAGCUUAACUGUUCAGAUGUUGAAAGGAUGUAUUCUGCACCAUGCCUUGGAGAUACAGCAAGACUGGCAUGAUGCCAGGUGAUAAGGGUAAAGAUAAAAAGUUCAUACUACUCGCCAUGCAGGUGAUGGGGGUAAAGAUAAGCGCAUCUCUCUCUCUCUCUCUCUCUCUCUCUCUCUCUCUCUCUCUCUCUCUCAAUUGUGCAAGCUUCUCUCCUCUGUUAAUUUACUACUGAUGCUGAGUUCUGCCUGCAAAGUUCUGGCAAGUUUUUUGCCAUUAUCUUCUUUGAAAUAUCAAAAAGAAAAGUGGGGUUCAGAGGUGGAAAGAAGAACAGCUUGAAGAGAAACGGAAAAGCGCAGACUUGCAACAGAAGGCAAGGAAAGCUGUUUGCUUUAAGAUGCAUGACAACCGUGCAGAUGGCCAGUGUGGUCUUCUCCACCCAAAAAACAAUUGCUUCUCGUGGCCUGAAACGGAAUUUUAUAUGAUUUGCAUCCAAAUAGAAGAAUAAUAUCGUAAUCUAAUAUCAUCUACCGCCUGCAAAGUUGCUAUUAUCUUCGUUGAAAAUUCAAAAGAAGGGGAGAGGCAGAAAGAAAAACAACAUAUGAAGAGAAACGGAAAGUGCAAACUCUCCAUAGAAGGCACAGGAAAGCAGUUCGCUUUAAGAUGCUUGAUAAACUACUAAGAAACGAUUUCAUGUGGUCUCUAAUGAAAUGUUAUAAGAUUCUACAUCAAUGAUAAUCGUACUUUGCGCUCCACUACUGCCUGCAAAGUUGCUAUUUUCUUCUUUGAAAACUCAAAAGAAGGGGCAACGUAGAAAGAAAAACCACAUCGAAGAGAAACGAACAUCAUUAACUCUCAACAGAGAGCACGACAAAGCUGCUUGCUUUAAGAUGCAUGAUGAACUACUAAUGAACAAUCAUUUCACGUGGUCUCUGAUGAUAUUUUAUAAGAUUUACAUUCGAAAUACCGGAUUGAUAUCGUACUUUAUGCUCCACUACUGCCUGAAAAGUUGCUGUUAUCCUCUUUGAAAACUUCAAAGAAGGGGGGAGAGUCAGAAAGAAAAACAACAUUGAAGAGAAACGAACAUCACCAACCCUCAACAGAAGGCACAAGAAAGCUGCCUGCUUUAAGAUGCAUGAUAAACUACUAAUAAACAAUCAUUUCACGUGGUCUCUGGUUAAAUUUAUAAGAUUUACAUCCAAAUACAGCAUCAAUAUCGUACUUUAUGCUCCACUAUUCCCUUGAAAGUUGCUAUCAUCUUCUUUGAACGCUCAAAAGAAGGGGAGAGGCAGAAAGGGAAACAACAUUGAAGGGAAACGAACAUCGCAAACUCUCAACAGAAGGCACGAGAAAGCUGUUUGCUUUAAGAUGCGUGACAACCAUGCAUAUGGUCAUUGUUGAAUUCCUACUUAAAACCAAUUAUUUCUCUUAGCCUCUGAUGAGAAUUUACAACCAUUACAGCCAAAUGGAGAAUGAUAUUUUACUUUAUGCUUCAUUACUAUAAUAUAUGUACAUAUCUAUUCAACGCAACCAAAAGAAUCAUGUUUCUCACACAUAAAUAGGACAAGUUUUUGGAGUGUCUGAAAUUUUUACAUUCAAAAUGUUAUUGUUUUGCAUCGAAAUAUUGUGACUCGACGCUGGAGAAUUGAAAUUCAAUUGUAAACCUAUCGUAUGAAUUCAAAUUCAAUCCUGAACAUUUUAAUUCAAACAAUGUUGUUUUAAACCUUUGAGUGAAAAUGUAAUCAAGUCCUCCUAGUCAAGUCUCGCCUAAAUGGCAGUCCAAUCAUUUGUCAUUGUACGUGUCCCGACUAGUGAUUUGACAUGGACAAAUUUACUCGAAACGGUGCCAUUGUUGCUCAACUCCACAAGCCGUCAACCUUGCCUAGAACCGCCCUCUCUCAAGUUGAUUUCUAUCAAUAGUCACAGCUCAGCUAGAGCUGGCACCUCCAAAUGUGGAGGCUCAGCAGUCGGUCACCAUGCCCAUCGGGCUCCUUGGCCCCUCCAUGGAAGAUGAUUGUACAAUCCUGAAAUUUUUAGCGAUGUUUGUUUUCCCUCCCUGACCCUUCCAUGCCAUGCAAGAUGAUUGUAUAACCCUUAAUUUUUUUUUUUUUGUGACGUAGAAUUUUUUGUUUAAUUUUUAAAUAAUUUUUUUCCCUUUUUUUCUUCCUUCUUCCUCCUCUAGAUGGUCAUGGGACCUCGGUGACUAGCCAGAGACGAGUUGACAAGGCCAACCUUGCCCAACCAUCGCAAGGCUCCAUCGAGAUUGGUGAGGCCACCCUUGUCGGCCCUCCUCUCUAGCCGGUCACCAGCUAUCAUCGAGGCUUGACGAGAAGAGGGAGAAUAAGAAAGGAAACGAAAAAAAAAAAAAAUGACCUUCAUUAGAAACUGUUCCUGAGGGCAAAUAAGUAAAUUCUUUCUACUUUCUGUUUUUGUUCUAAAUCUAUUUUCUGACUAUUGAUCUAUUUCGGAAAAGAAAAUUAACUAACAUUAUCAAAUAAUUUUUUUUUUCUGUUUUGGAGAAAGAAAUAACAGAAAAAUAGAGAAAUAAAAUGAUCACCAAAUAGGACCUAACUUUAUAAGUGAAUUUGUAAUUCUUCCCACUCAACCUAUGCCUAUUAUAAGUUUUCUUUUCUUUUAAUAAUUCUUCCUCUCUUCUGUCUCCUCUCUUCAUCGGUAUAAAAUGGGUAAUCAGGGAUGGGUGGCUUGUGUAGUGGAAGAGAAACCUAUUCCCAAUGGUCGACACAGCGAACUUGGGUCCAAAUUCAAAUACACCAGGGGAAGUAAACUGACCUCUUUCACCAUUAAAUCACCACGUUGAGUGUUGAUUUUAACUCCGUAAAAUCCUCUUGUUGAUUUUAACUCCAUAAAAUCCUCUAACACGUCUGCCCCUCGGGACCUUCCAGAUUAUAAAAGCAAGAGCAAAAGUCAUAUCCUAUUAUUUCCAAUCUUUAUCAACACAGAGAAACGGAUUCGUGCAUAGUUAAUAUGAAAAAACAGCUAUCCUAUACAUUGGCAUUUGAUAAAAAAGGUUGAUCAAUUUAUGGAUGACAUGCAGCGACUUGAAUUCCAUCCACACAUAGAUAACAUGCAGCCAAGGCUAUGUCAAAGCCCCAAUACAUGUAUUAGAUACUAUGCCAUCUCAAUCCACCAAGAGAAAAGGUAUGCAUUUUCGACUCCAGCAGAUGAGAUAUCCUUUGGGAUGGUAGUCUCGGAAGAUGAAUCUUGCUUCUGGUCUCCAUAAUUUGGCAGCAAUGAUGGUGAUUCCACUGGACUGGUUAGGACUACUUUUAUCUUCCUCUCCUCUAUGUAUUUACCACUUUCUUUAUCAAAUUUAAAAUUUAAAAGAAAACUUCUCAGGUUACUUGACCCAAAAGAUUAUGGAACACAAAGCAGCAAAAUCUACCAUGUAAGCAGUAAUGUCCUCUUCACCUGUAUCAAAACCUUGUCUCGACGCUGCAAGACAGGUGGAGCUACCUGCUGUGCUUACAUGGUAACGGCAUCAAACAGAAGAUAGGAUGAAGGGCCUACCCUAAUUCUUUCGAAGUAUCAGGACAUAGCUUCUGAGGCCUAUUGUGGUUUUCCUUUGUCUCAAUGUAUAUUAGGCUACUAUGGUAGGCAUUCAAAAUCUUAUUCAAAGAUGAUCCUUACUGCAAUGCGACUGACAUUGCCUUAAGCAGUUCAUGUCCUAGUAAUAAUACAGUCUUACAGACAUGUCGUGGCAAAGAAAUUGCAAAAUAAUCGUUCAGCUGAUUCAAGUACUGUGGGCAUGUCCAUCCUCACAAGUAUGUCAGUGGCUUUUUAGUAAGUAUGUGAACAUGAUGUUUCACUGACUUGAGCAGAACAAUUUCGAAUCAGAUUAUCCAUUUGGUUGAUGAUGCCUACAUUUGACCGCACACAGAAUUUCUUCUGAGACGUAGCCUUAGCCUGGAAUGUUUUGGAUAUCCAAUAUAGAUCUCAUAAUGUUUCUCCACAAUAGAGAGUUCUUAAUGCGCUGAUGUACUACUCUGAAAAUUAAAUUACAUCAAGAGAAUACAAGAUUGAAAGGAUAUUGUCCACCCGCCAUAGCCUAAAAAAUAAAACUUGAUCACGGUGAAAGCAAAGGUCCAAAGAAUAUUCACCUUGAAAGCAACAUACCGAUCAGUCUUAUUGCCUAGCGGAAUGAGCAUGAGCUUUGUUUGCUCAACUCAAUUGCAUAAACACGGAGAAGAGGCUUCAGAUGAAAGAAUUUAAAGAGAAAGGGGGCCCGACAUGAGGACAGGAUGUGAUGAAAUGGACCAUCUUACAUUUUCUUUGAUAUAAUGCAGUAAUGCAAUCUCGUCUUGUUCAUUCAUUUUCUCUACUAAUCAUUCUCUCAGUCAUUUGGUUACAACAACCAUUCACCUACUUAAUCUCCAGAAAGAAAUUUACCGCAGAAGUCAUUCUAAGAGUUUGUGGUGUGAGGGACUACGCAAAAAUGAACAAACCUGACCAAAUAUUUGAAAACGACACAAGGAAAAGAAUUUGAAAACGGGGCGACCAGUGACUGAUUCAUACAUGCCAUUGAAGCUUAUGCCUUAAGAUAUUUCCUUUACCAUUUUAUAUGAUGUUGAACCGCAAAUUCUCAAGCAAAUUAUUGUAGCACAGAGAACUAUCAUCCCCUUCACUUAUUGCCUAAUAAAACAGGUGGCAAGCAAUGCAAAUUUAACGUGGCGCCAAAAAUGAAAAUGAACCAAAUGUGCAGCACUAUAGAUACUCACAAAUUAAACUCAAGUUCAUGAGGCCGGAUCUCCAACAGCUCUUCAGCCAUGAUGACAACUAUAAAACCGAUCCACAUAAAACAACAGGUCACGUGGCAGGGUAACAACAAUCAAGCAAAAAGCUCUGCAUGAAGCUCAAUUUCAAGGUAUAAAUCUGAUCACGCGCUGUCUCUAGCAGAUUCCUCAUUUCAAACACCAAAAUUGCACAUGAUCAACAAACACUAGACAGUCAAAAAUGGCUCAGCACCCAAAUUACGAACACCAUCCAAGAGCAGUUCAGGAUUUACCAAAAAUCAGAGCACUACAUUUGGCAAUGAAAGCUUAACCAUCGGGGGAGUAUCUUACAGGUCAGAAACUUCCUUUGGCAGUGAAAUCUUAAUCUUCAAGGGAGUAUCUUACAGGUCAGAAUCUUCCUUUUGAUGGAUCCCAAUAAUGAGAAAAUCAAACUCCAGUGCAAGUUCACAACAAAGGACAUGACAAUAAUAUCAGCUAAGGGAUAUGCCAUGACUUGCACAACCCGAGAGAAAUCGCAGGAAAGACCCCAAGUCAGCAGGCCUAAAUUAUCUCUAACCACCUCUCCAAGACACAACACUAACAUAGCAUCAGCAGCAGCAGCAGCAGCAGCAGCACCAAACUCUAGUAGUCCCUGAUGACAGUUGGGUUGACUCUGACUUGGCAAUAACAACUUCGUGCCAUUUUACUCAGCAAAUGAACACAUAAUCUUCAAUACAUGUGGCACUACAAAUUCAUAAGAACCAAUGUAGCGGGAGUAGCAUUGAACCAAGAAUCCGAGAGAGCAAACAUGUUUUCCAUUAUUUGAUUUUUCAUACAAUAAAUUUAUGACUGAAUUUGCGAUUCUCUCAACUCACCUACGCUUAUUAUGAGUUUUUUCCCUCCUUCCUUUAAAAUAUAUCUUCCCCUCUUCUGUCUCCUCUCCUCAUCUGUAUAAAAUGGGCAAUCAAGGGUUGCUUGUGUAGUGGAAGGGAAACGGUCCUCCCAAUGAUCUUACUGGUGAAAGUAGACCCAAAUACAAAUCAACCAGGGGAAGAAAACUAACCUCUUUCAACUUUGUAUCACCUCACUGAGUGUUGAUUUUAACUCCUUAAAACCUCUGACACAUACAACCCUUUAGGAUGCUGGCAUCCAAAGACAAUCCUUCUGGAUUAUAAGAGUGAGAACAAAAGUCAUAUUCUAUCCUGAGUCAUAGAAGUGGAUACACGUACAGUUAAUAUGAGAAAAAAGCUAUCCUAUACACUCGCAUUUAGUUGCUAAAGGGGUUGAUCAAAUUAUGGAUGAUGCGUAGCAACUUGAUUUCCAUUUACAUAAAUAACAUGCAGCCCAGCCAAUGCUGUGGCAAAGCCCCAAUCCAUGUAUCAGAUACAAAGCCAUCUCAACCCAGAAAGACAAUAAAGUGACACAUUGAUGUUUUCUGGCAGUCAUACCCUGAGAAAAGGUGAUGCAUUUUCGACUCCAGCAGGUGAGAUAUCCUUUGGGAUGGUAGUCUCGGAAGAGGAAUCUUGCUUCCGGUCUCCAUAAUCUGGCAGCCCUGAAGGUGAUUCCACUGGACUGGUUAGGACUGCUUUUAUCUUCCUCUCAUCUAUGUAUUUACUGCUUUCUUUAUGAAAUUGAAAAUUCAAGAGAAAAUUUCUUGAGUCACUUGACCUGAAAGAUUAUGGAACAUAUAGCAGCAAAACCUACCAUGUCAGCAAUAGUGUCCUCUUCACCUGUAUCAAAAACUUGUCUCUGCACAGCAGGACAGGUGAGCUACCUGCCGUGCUUACAUGGUAACCACAUCAAACAGAAGAUGGGAUGAAAGGCCUACUCUAAUUCUUGUUGCCUAGCGGAAUCAGGCAUGAGCUUUGUUUACUUAACUCAACUGCAUAAACACAGAGAAGAGGCCUCAGAUAAAAGAACUUAACGGGGCACGACAUGAGAGCAGGAUGUGAUGAAAUGGACCAUCAUACAUUUUCUUUGAAGAUAUAAUGCAGCAACAAAAUCUCAUUUUGUGCGUUGGUUUUCUCUACUGAACAUUCUCAGUCAUUUGGUUACAGCACUCACCUACUUUAUCUCUAGAAAGAAAUUCACUCACAUGGCACUAUAAGAGUUUGUGGUGCGAAGAUAGAAACUAUGCAAAAAGAAAGAACCUGACCAAAUAUUCGAAAACAACACAAGGAAAAGAACUUGAAAAACAGGGCGACCAAUGACUGAUUCAUACUCGCCAUUGAAGCUCAUUCUUUAAGAUAUUUCUUUUACUAUUAUUUAUGAUGUUGAACCACAAAUUCUCAAGCAAAUUAUUGUAGAACAGAGGAAUAUCAUCCGCUUCACUUAUUGCCUGUAAAACAGGAGGUAAGCGAUUUGAAUGUAGCUCCAAAAUAAAAAUGAACCAAACGCACAGACUCAGAUAAACUUGCCUUCAUGAGGCUGGAUCUCCAAGAGUACUUCAGCCAUGAUGAUGACCAUAUUGCUGAUCUACAUGAAAUGGUGGAUCAUAUAGCAGGGCAACAACAAUCAAGCAAAAAGGUCUACAUAAAGCUCAAUUUCGAGUACCCAUUCAUAUAGGGUGCGUUUGGUUUGGCUUUUGGAGAAAGCCUUUGGAUAAUGCAAAGGCUCUUAGCCUAAAAACUGUUUGGUAAUUUGCAAUUUUAAAGUGACUUGGUAAGUAACAUUGGGAAAAUACUAUUUGAUAACAUAUAUUUAAAAAGUCAUUUGAUGUAAUCAAUUUUUUUAAAAUUUAUUUAAAAUUUUAAAAAAAAAAACACAACGAUGGAAACUUUUAUAUUUUCACAUUAAGAGUGAUGUAAAAGAGACAUAUUAACAAGUUCAAAAAUAAAAAAUAAAAAAAUUACAUGAGAAGUGUGAAAAAUAAUAGGGCCCUCAGAUAUACAAACAGUAAAGAAAGUAUAAUGACCAAUGGGCUAAGUUACUGAGAAUAUAAAAAUAAAAUUUAGUUGUUUCUGAUGUCAUAUGGAAAGUCUUAUCUAAAACUGGCAUAUGAUAAGAAAUGUCUCUUAUUCAGCAAUAAGACAAUUAGACAUAUCUCAGCUGCAACAUGACAGCACCAAAAGUCAUACCUUGCUCUUUUUGAAUGGACAAGUGAGCAACUCUUUGCCUUAAACGACUCCACCACAUGAACACAUUCGUGAUGGCAACCAAAAUGAGCUUUUGCUCAUGUUCAAAGCCUAAGCAUGCAAGAAAAUUAAAGAGCUCCGACUCUUGAAGAGCAAUGGACUUCUUCUGCAAACCUCAGAUUGCUGACAAAUCGAGGAUUAGCCUUAAAAAACUGUUCCUCUCAUAAACAUAAGUACAAUCACAACAUCUCAAUUCACAAGGCAGUGCAUGUAUUAAUAUACACAUCAUGGAUAUUCCAAAGAACUUACAAGAGAAGAUAACUCCUAGUAACUGCUGGGUACAAUGGAAAUGAACAUUCAAAGCCCAGGAUUAUUCCUGGGAAAAAUGGAAAAGUGGGGAACAACAGACUUUGACAUACAUCACAUGAAGUAAGAAUGAAAUAAUGAGUGAAUUUAACUGUCCCAUAGUAUUCUAUUAGCUAUGGCAGUGUCCACUGAUUCCAGUUCUUCCACGACUUUAGUCCUGGAAGGCUGCUUGUUAGGAGUCAUUCGGAGGCAUUGUAAAGCAAGUUGUGCUAACUGGAAUCCAGAAUCCAUAUAUGUAGGGUAUAGGGACAGUAUAAAUUUGGUUCCCAAUUGUGGCAGGUUGCAAUAUCAUGAGCGACCAGUUUCCUCUAAAAUAACCAGUAUUUCUUUUUUGGUUUCUGAGGAAGGGGAACAUCUGCAGAAAAUGAAAAGUUAUGUAGGCAAUGCAACUGUGGAUUCCAUGCCAAAUGAUUUAAGUAGCUAAAAGGGAAACACACCUUGUGUUUCAUAGAGGGGAUUAUAGUGAACCUCAUAUCCAGAAACUCAACCAAAGCUCUGCAUCAAUUGAAAGUAAGGUUAACAAAAGGAAAAACUUAGAAAGAAAAUGGAGUUUCAAAAGACCAGUUGCUCAUUGAACAAAAGCAAAAGUAGAUCAAUUGCAAAUGUUUACAUCUAGGUUCUAAAUCAAUCAAUAUAUUUAACCCUACCCAAGUAGCUGUUCUAAGCAAGCAAAAGAACAAAUAUUUAAUUUCAGAGACGAAAAACAAGCAAAGCAUCACAAAGGAGGGUCUAUGUGUAUAUGUAUGCAAGCAACGCUCUUUUUUCCAAGACAACCAAGGAGUAAAAUAUACCCAUUUGGAAUUUUAACAAACCAAACCCAAGAACUUCACAUUUAUCACAUUGCACCCACUGACGAUUUGAACCAACAAAACAACUAUGAAGAAGAAGACAAGCAAGCAAUACCCUCGGCAGAGGGAACUUAUAAAUCCAAUUGCCAAACAAUAAUUAGGCUGCGAAUAUAAGUAUCAUCUAGGGGCUUUUGCCCUCCUUCAUGCUCUCCAACAACGACCAAAUAAGCAUUGAACAUCGGUGACUCACUGGAAUAGAUAAAUUCAUCAUUCUUCAAAAUCCUGCAUUCCAACAGCUGCUCACUGCCAUCAUACGGCAUUACCUAUCAUAUAUCCGACCAUUAAUCACGACAUGGACUAAUCUACUCAAAACAGGCUCAAUCACGCAAAGUAUUACAAUCAGAAGCACAGAACAGAACAAUCCGUGAUGAUGGAAAUAAUGAAAUCCCAAGCAGCAUUGAGCUGCUAUCGUUCAGUUCAAUUGAGCAAGCUAAACUUGGGAAAAAAGGGUAAUAAAUCGAUAGCCACUGCAGUUUUGACAUAGAUUAGCUAGUCAAACCGAAUCACGUCCUACCCAAUCAAAGGCAACUAAAUUGCGGAUCGGGUUGAGCUGGACAUCAAUGGUAGAGAUUAGUAGUGAAAGCAAAGGUACCUUGCUGGUGGUGGUGCGGAGAGAGAGGAAGCUGUCGCAAUAGACCGUGCGCUUCAGCUUCUGCUUCAGGUGCUUCUUGAAGGUGACAUUCCAGCAAGCAUGGUCUCAAGCACAUAGCUCAUUUCAUCAAACACCAAAAUUGCACAUGAUCACCAAACACUAGGCAGGCAAAACUUAGAUGGUUCACACUCACACAAAGCAUAAUUCAGCACACUAAUUACAAACACAAUCCGAGAGCAGUUCAGGAUUGAAAAAGAAAACCAGAGCACAACAUCUGUCCAUUCCUAGAACUUGCAUUGCCAGCUCAAAAUGCAAGCAUUGAGUCCAUCACAGAGGAGUCAUACUGGAUUCCUGAAAGCUCUGACGUAUUCAUCUGUGGGAUUCUGCUGAGUCUGGAUGUUCUGUGGAAGGACAACAAGGAUGUCGAUGCCAGAUUUCUGUCUCUCAAUAUUCUGUUUGAUGUGAAGUUCGUUUUCCUAAUCAAAACUCCAGAGUUAAAGCAUAAGCUGGUAGACUUGGGUGCAAUUUCUCCCUCUCUGCCCAGCCUUGAUUGAGGAUGAGGACCCCAAUACCAAUGUGUGUGCAGAAGCUCCUUCGAUGCUCAUAGAGUUCAACUUGACUAAAAUUUCUGAGAUUCUACAACCAAAGACAGUCAGCCACUGCUUCAGAUUCUCACUUGGUGAUCUGUCCUGUGCAAAUGUGAAUGAUGGUGAGCUGCGCGUGGCUCUGGCAUCGGCUCUGGAAAUGGAUCCCAAGUUGCUUUCUCAGCUGAAAGUAGUAUGGCAUAUUGGAAACCUUUUGGAGUUUGUGCAUGAGAAAAAUAUGGAAGAUUUUCUCAAAUUUAUGCUUGGCUUGUGCAAAGCUCUUCUUUUUUUAUCACUAGGUUCUAUGAAAGGUUCCACAGACAUGGAAGAGCCAACACUACUUGAUGAAAGUUCUUCUGAGGCAGUGAGUAACAUAUGAUACAUAACUGACUUUGGUGGCAGUGCCAGUGUUUUCCGAGAAUUGAGUGGUUCUCAUGACAGAAACAGUGCCAAUAUUGCUUCUAAAUGCACAGCUCUAUUACUGAAGGCAGCCCCAAGGGAAGGUGCUCUCUUUUUCUUACCAAUCUCCUGUAAGCCAGUGCGAUUCUCGAGUCUCAGCAAAAGGGAGCUCCUUCUCUACUGGUACCAACGAAUGCUGCAUUCUCUCAGUUACUCCUGUAGGCGAUGUUUACUGCACGGAAUGACUUUUGUCAGUGUGCCUGUCAAAGAUUGCUAUGAUUGAAGGCAUCAUUGCUGAGAUAAAAUAUUCUGGUGCUGCUGCUUUAGCCAGUGCUGCCACAUUGGUAAUCUCAGAAUUGCAGUGGCUCCCUCAUUUAUGACUUCUCCAUAACAUCUGCAAAUCCCACUAAGAAGCACACCUUUCCUGAAAAAUAAACUGAACUUAAGCAUGGCAGUACAGAGUGUCUGUCUACUUCAAAGUCGCAACAAUGAGUUGAUUGUGCUUUCAAGUCCCAGGAUGAGAACCAUAGUUGUAUGACCUUCCAUCACACAUUCCAUCUAUUUGUUUACAGCAUAGCGAAUUUAUCUCCCAUGCAAAGUGAGGUUAUCAAUUUCAAAAUAUGUGUGAAGCAGCAAAUCAACAAUGAUCUCUAAUAAUUUGUUACAUAUCAAAUAAAAAUGAUGCAAUUGACAUGCAUAUAUCUCUAGGAGAAACCAUCCUAAGAAAAUGUAGCUAAAAAAGCGAAACCAAACUAGGAAAAGAACACAAUACUUGUACAUAAUUAAGAGCCCUCUGGCUGUUCGAAGGCAUCACAAUUUAAAUACCUUCAUCAGAUUUUCAGAAAAGAAUCCGCUAAAAGGUCAUUAAAAAGUGCAUGCAAAACUUCUCUGUUCAUAUCUGUGAAAGAAUUUGAUUGCCAAAAAAGGAAAACAUUGGUACUUACCUCAAUUUGUUUAAGGUUUGAACACAAGGGAACAAUUUGUGGUCGCGCAUCAAAAAGCUUCCAAGUGCAAUGUGCACUUAUUCAUCUUCUUCAUCGUCUUCUUCAUCAGAUUCGUCUUCUUCAUUGUCUUCUUCCACAGAUUUGUCUUCUUCAUCAGAUUCGUCUUCUUCAUCGUCUUCUUCCACAGAUUCGUCUUCUUCAUCGUCUUCUCCCACAAAUUUGAUUGACUCCUCCGAGCAAAGCCGAGAAAUUUCCUCCACUGCUAAUUUCCCACAACGUAAUAUUGUAACCUCUCGCACACUCUUCAAGCUUGAUAGAUCAGGCAACUUCUGUAAAGAUCCACAAUCUUUAAUCUUCAAUAUAUUCAAAGAUUGGGGUAGUUUGCCUUGAAUCUCAACCAGAUUAUGACAAUGUACUACUGAAAGAUAUGUUAUUCCGUCCAAAUUGCUAAGAUCAGGGAUCUGCAUCUGUUUAAAGCCAGAAAGCAGCAACCGAUGUCCACCACUAUAUUCAAACUCCCGAUUGCGAAAUUUUAUAAAAACAUUUUCCUUACCCACUAAGCUGAACAGAUCAGGGAACUCCAGAAACGAAUCUAAUUUAUCUAAUUUAUCGCAUCCUCUUAUUGUGAACCCCCCUUGCAGUCUCUUCAAGCUUGACAGCUCAGGCAACUUCUGUAAAGAUCCACAGUCUUCAAUGUCCAAGUGUUCCAAGGAUUGGGGUAGUUCGCCUUGAAUCUCAACCAGAUUAUGACAAGAUUCUACUCUAAGAAGUGUUAUUCCAUCCAUAUUGCUUAGAUCAGGGAUCUGCAUCUGUUUAAUGCCAGAAAGCUGCAACCGAUUUCCACUUAAAUAUUCAAACUCCUGAUUGCCAAUAUGCACAUACACAUAAACAUGUGUCUUACCCAUUAUGCUGAAUGGAUCGGGGAACUCCUGUAACGAAUCACGGGAACCAAUUGUAAGUUCAUCCAAAAACCGUGGUAGUUCGCCUUGAAUCUCAACCAGAUUACAGCACCCUGAUACUCUAAUACGCCUUAGCUUGUUUAACUUGCUUAGAUCAGGUAGCAUCGCCAGCUGUACGACGCCCCGAAGGUUCAAAUAUCGUAGGUUCUCCAAACAACCAAGGCCUUCAAUCUUUGCAACUGCAGAGCAGCAAAUGUCGAGAGACGAUAGUUUCCUCAAAUUCAAUAGAUCCAUCGAGCAAAGUGAGUCGCAACCAGAGAGAAUUAAGGAGGAUAAAUUAGAGGGAAGCCUCGGGAGGAGAGGCGGAUGAGGAGGGAGGCUGAGGUCUGUCGAUGAGGCGGUCCCCCCGAAAAAGCGCAGUUCCAGAGAUUCCAAUUUGCUUAAGUUCCCAAUCCACCGUGGUAUCCGUUUUUCCAGGAGCCCAUAAGAUUUCCCAUCACAGUUAGGUGGGCCAAAGCCCAGACGCAAUACCUUUAAGUUAGCGAGAUUUGAGAGAUUCGGAAACGUGUCCACCCUCAACUCCUCCACUACUAAUUCAAUGAGACUUUCAGGAAACCUUGGUAGGGCGUGUACUCCCGGCCAUCCCAAUAUCUCCUCAAAUGGACCCCCGUGUAAGCAAUAACCACUUAUUGCGUGGGCAUGCCUGACAUGAUUAUAACGGUCGGCGAUUUCCAUUCCCUUGACCUUCCCCAUCUUCUUCUUACAAGCAUCAUUGUUCGUUCUUUUUUCGAAACCAUUCUGCAUCUUCAUUACUUUCAAAUUCUUCAACAUUCCAAUGGAAUCGGGUACUUCUUCAAUGCUCGUGUGACUUAUGUCCAACUUAGUUAGCGAAUCCAAAUUUCCAACCGUCUCCGGAAGCCUAUGAAGAUUCCAACAAUUGCUUACAUCUAAGAAAAUUAAGCGUUUCAACUGACAAAUUGAUCCAUCAAUUUCGAUUAAUGAUUCACAGCCUGAUAGGAUCAAAUGUUCUAAAUUUGAAUGAGCUGAGAAGUUGGGGAUUCUCUUCAAGUGUCGGCAAUGGGCCAGAUUCAGAACUUUCAAAUUCUUCAACUUUCCAAUGGAAUUGGGUACUUCUUUGAUGCUCGUGUGACUUAUGUCCAACUCAGUUAGCAAAUCCCAAUUUCCAACCGUCUCCGGAAGCCUUUGAAGAUUCCAACAAUUGCUUACAUCUAAGAAAAUUAAGCGUUUCAACUGACAAAUUGAUCCAUCAAUUUCGAUUAAUGAUUCACAGCCUGAUAGGAUCAAACGUUCUAAAUUUGAAUGAACUGAGAAGUUGGGGGUUCUGUUCAAGCGUCGGCAAUGGGCUAGAUUCAGAACUUUCAAAUUCUUAAUCACCUGUGAAAGAAAAAUCAUGCAAAGUUUACUUUCGAAUUUAAUGAGAUGGAAGAAUAAGUGUUCUCUAGCAUAUAACAUACCUUCAUGUGGCUCCACCCCUUCCAAUCAUGUGUAAUUUCACUCUCAAAUAGAUCAAGGAUAGUCAAAUUCUCUACGGAGAAAUUUGCAAUCUCAAAUGUUGGGUGAAUAUUAUGCCAAGAAAGCCAGUGUAAUUCUGGAAGGAGAUUUGAAUCCAAAACAUCAGUUGGAAGAACACUUGAUGGCCCUUUGUGCUGAAGAAGCAUCUUUUCUACACAAAAAGUUUGCUCCGAGUCAUCAACUUCAAGGAACCUUAGCCUUGAUAGGCUCUUAAAGUCCUUGUAGGUAAAACGGUGCUGAUGGUCCAAGCGGAGGCGAAGAGCUUCAAUUUUUUUCUUCGUCUGCCCAAAGGAAAAUUUUUAAAAACAAGAGAGUUGAAGGGAAACACAUUUAGCCAAAUUCACUAUUUUAAAGGACUGAGUUGAGUACUACCAUUCCAUUAAUCUUAAAAAAGCAAAAAUGUCCAUAAGUAACUUGGAAAUUAAUGCGCAGGGGAUUUUACCUUAGGGCUCUUCAGCAAAUCCAACGCUUUCUCACGAUCCCACACCCUACUUUGUUUAUUUAUAUUGGUUUCUUGACAAACUAUUUGUCUUCCAAGGUCUCUAAGUUGGUCGUGCAUCCACACUUUAUUAUCCUAUUUAAUCUUUACCAAAGACAUGUUCUCCAAAACAUCCAUGGCAUAUUCCGAAUGGAAUUCAGAUUCCCAAAAAUGAACUACAAUGUCUUUAUCAUAUCCAAUUAAGAGACAAGCUAUAUCAAGGAACUUUUGCUUUUCCUUUUCUUUGUAUUCAUCAUAACUUAUUUUCAAUCUACUAUGGACAUCCUUAUGAGGAUCACUUUCCCACUUACGUAAUUCGAAAUCCCACUUUUUCUUUUCAGUAGUGCAAGAUAAAAGUGAACCCAUGAGCUCAAGAGCUAGUGGAAGACCUCCAGCAAUUUUUAUCGCCCUCUCGGAUUGGUCGAUAUACUCGUCUAAAGGAUGAUCUCUUCUAAAGGCAUGUUUGCUAAAGAGUUGAAGAGAUUGAUCGUGAUCCAUGCCCGAAAGCUCAUAACAGCUGUCCACUUUAAGAACAUCAAGAACUUCUUUGUUUCUAGUAGUAAUAAUAAUUCUGCUCCCUUUACCAAACCAAUCACACUCACCAACAAGUGCAUCGCUAUGAUUCUUUUCAUGUACAUCAUCGAGAAGGAGGGGGGCUCUUUUAUUAGACAACCAGGCUUUGAUGGUAUUAAUCCCAUCAUCAAUGUUUCUUAUAUAUGUGCAUUUGUCUUUGAGAAUGCUGGAGAUGAGCUGAUUCUGCAAGGAUUCAAUGCCCUCGCGUUCUGACAUUUCACGGAUGUUGGACAGAAAGCAACAAUCCUCAAAAUUUUCUAAAAGCUGAUUGUAGAUGAUUUUGGCAGUUGUCGUCUUCCCGAUGCCACCCAUCCCAUAGAUUCCUAUAAUCCGUGUUUCACUUGUGCGAGGACCUAUCAAUUCCAUGAUUGCAUCAACAUGGUUGUCGACAUUGACCAAGCAAUUUGAUACUACCAAAUAAGCCUUUUUCAACUCAUUGAAAACCUUCUGCAUGAUUGUUUUUGCAAACUGACCUUCUUGCCUAUUAUUCGUUGAAAGUCAAAAGGCAAUGAGUUAGAAAAUUGAGUUAAGCCAAACUAUGCUCUAACAAGACCAAAUUGAAAACUACAGACCUAUUCUAAAUGCGUUCCUCAACGAUUUAUACCAUUUUGAUAAACUAGCACUGGAACUUAGGGUAAAUGAAUGACCUGAACUAACGAAAAAUGUUGCUUGUUGGGAAUGAAAUGGGACAAAAAUUGACAUGGUGAUAUUAUUUAGCCUGAUUUUGCUGCAUAAUUUCAAUUGCAUACAAUUUCAACAAGACUAACACAAAUUUAGAAAAGAAACAAAUUUAAAUGCAUCGAGUUUAACGAUACAAGGCACAUGAGAUGGAAUGCUAAAAGUAGUCACCUGUUGGGCAUGCUUUGCAGGUCCCAUCCAUUUAUAUCCACGACUGUAGUGAGAGCAUUCUUCCACUCUGCUAUAGUCUUUUCAUCAUAUCGCUUCUUUCUUUUGUGUGAAACAAAAGCAUUUUUAAAACUCCCGGUUUGGUGUCGAACCUCCGAAGGUGUCACAUCAUAAAAAAUGGGCAUGAUCUUUUGUCCUUCAUUUUUCUGGCACUUGACCAUUUGAACUAGCUCUCUGAGACACCAUACGCUAGAGGCAUAACCUUUUGAAAAGAUAGGUAUUAAGAUCUUCGACUGAUUGAUUGCUUCAGGAAGUUCUGGGGCAAACUCUUCCCCAACACGGAGCGCGUCAUCGUCCCUAAAUGUGCGGAUUCCUGCAUUUAUAAGAUAAUUGUAAAGGAAGUCGGUAAAACCUGAUCGUGUGUCAGGCCCUCUGAAACUCAAGAAUACUUCAUAGUCAUGUCCGGAAGAUGUUGCCGUUUCCUCAACUUGUGGUGUAGUGCAAGUAUGAGUAGCCCUCUCUACGGUACCAUUCUGUGGAGCUGAAUCAUUAUCUGCACUGCCCUCCACAGCGGUCUGACCUGCUCUUUUCUUCAAGAAUCCUUUGAACAGGAUGGCAGAGAGAGCUAUGGUAGCAACCGUCACAAUACAGGGCAACAGCAAGUGCUCAAGCAUUUUGUGAGUUAGCAAAGAGAAGGUUUUUAGUUAGAAAUACAGGGGAAUGGUGGAAUAGCAGAGAUGAGAGGCGGCACUUAAAGAUCAGGAUGGAGUAACGAGGAACGGCGAGCCCGCGACGGCGAGAAAUCGCCAGAGAAAGAGUAGAGACUGAGGCGAGGGCGGCCACUGAUGCUGCGACGGAUCAGCGACGAGGCAGAGGAGGAGAAGGAUCGAGAGGAAGAGGAGAGGAAGGGGGUCGUGCG
rnacentral:lncRNA from 1 species